CUUAUAUCAAAACGACUUCUGGCAUCACCGGAAGGAUCGAAACCACAUUCGUAGGCCGACAAUUUUUCUGGAUAGGUCGAACUAUUGGAAGAAAAUAGAAAAGGAAGACCGAGUGGGAUCAAAGAAACUAGCGGGCUGAUCACUAAAUAGAUACAAAUAGGUGCAAAUUCUGACAUCACCACAGAAAACUUGGUUCUUUCGCUCCUUGCUGGCGGAGCGGCAUACCGGAAAAAAAAAGCAAGAAAUAGGAACGAAGUAAUUCGACCAAGAGGAGAGGAACGAAGAACGAAACUUUACGACAGCUUUUUCGUAGACGUUCGACUUGCAUGUGUUAAGCAUAUAGCUAGCGUUCCUUCGUAGAUCUCCGGAUUUCACCCUAACCCAAGAAUUUCGACCCUUAUUUCUUUCUCGUGUAAAGGGGAGCAAGAUCGAGUUUUACUCCCUCAACGAAAAAGAUUUCCUUUAUGUCUUUCUCUGACCGGGCCCCUUUCGGGGUUUUUGUUCUUACCUCUCGCUUCUCGGAAAAAAAUCCAUAAAGUCCUCGGUAGGAUUGGCAGCAUCCCCCCUCAAGGCACGAUUCCGAGAAAGAAUCUCUUGAAAGAGAAAAACAUUCGUGUUUUCUCUCCCUGAUUUGCAGGUCUCUGUUCUCGAAACAGAGUAACCUGCAAUAAUCUUUCUGAGAGCCAGAAUUGUUCAGGUGCUUUUUACUUCUUCCAAAUAGGCUCCUUUUGCUUUUUCAAGCAGAAUACGCUAUUUUCCUUUUCGAGCUUUCUUAUUCGAUUAGCAUAGAGGUCUCCAUACUCUCAUUUCUAUUAGAAAAAAGGUUCUCGAUGCCUACCUGAAGCCCCGCAUCGCAGGGUCCCCAUUUUCCUCUACCCGAAAUUCUUUGGGCAAGGGGAACCUGGCGGGUUCGCCCCCUUUCUCCCGCUCAAAGUUUCUUGUAAACCUGUCACAAAGGCGCGACAGUUCUAGUAAGUCGUUCAUUUUUUGUAUUUUAGAAUCGAUUCCGCCCCUAAGGCUAGCUCCUACUCCUCCCUUCCUUUAGGAUAGGAUCCUCCUUGUUUACAUAACAAUAACACACACUCAUAACAAUAACACAACACUCUCGGCCCCCAAGAGGACAAUCUCUCAAUACACAUGUGGUGUUGUUGACCCGUUUUUUCUUUCUUUGAAAAAUCUCUUUCUUUUUCUUUUUCGAUUUUUCCGUUUAGAAUAGAGAAGAGUCGAAACUAAGGGUACGCUCUCUAGAAGAUUUGCUCGGAGCUUUUGGUCGCCUGCUAUCUAUCUUGAAAACCUCUUUGCUUGCGGGGCAGGAGUGGAAAGAGCGCUUCGCGAAAGAAUCGUGUGGCGCGGUGAAAGGUUUCCCGUUGAGGUUUCCCGACCCUCCAGGUCUCCACCUACUUGUGGAAUAGGGGGGGUUCCUUGAUAUUAAGGUGUCAAGGCGGUCGAAGAAGGCCACAGGUGGAAGCAACCGAUGCCUUGAUAAUUCAAUUGACUCUUGGCUGCAGGUCCGUGCUUGCUGUCAUGCCGGCAAAAGCAGGGGUUUCGGUCGGUUUUACCUACUAUUGGAUUUGAACCAAUGACUCUCGCCGUAUGAAAGCGAUACUCUAACCACUGAGUCAAGUAGGUCAAGCUGAGUCAAGUCACUAUAAGAGAAAGUCGCGCAACCAAGUAGCCCUUACUAUACAAGGGGGCGGAGCGUUAAGAAAGAGAAAGCGUUAUCACUAUACGAAAUGAAGCAGCGGCUAGCACGCUAAGCUAAGAUCAACCAAUGUUCGAACGCGGAGCCUUUCUUUCUCGUCGUCUGUCUUAAUCUUAAUAAGCGGAUUCCGAUUCAUGCAGUCCUUCUCUGCUGCAUUGGUCUUUUCACUCCCACUCUCCACCAUAAAAAAAUCUUUCACUAUAUCUCAGGAGUAGUCAAAGGAAGUACGGCGGGUCCGAGUAGGAAUAAAUUGAUUAAGAAGUAGGGCAUACAACAAUGGAAUGAUCAAUUCAUUCAACAAGAUCUGUUCGGAUCAGACCAGGAUGAAUGGGAUUGGUCUGACCUCUUCGCUCGGAUGUAAGACUCCCGCCGCUGACAGAUGUCCCAUGCCACCUUUCGUGACAGCUACGCCCGAGAAUGCAUUGUGAUAUAGCGCCGAAUAAGCCACAGCUCUAUUCCCGACUCGAAAUCCAUAAAGGACUUUAAGGGAGAUAAAAUAGGGGGCCCUAUACCAUACAUCCUGCUGCCUUGGGACGACUGCACGUUACAUCAUAGCAGCACGACCAAAUGGAGGUGGAAAGCCCUUGUAUAGGUUGGGCCUAGCUAGCUCCUUCCUUAUACUAAUAGAAAAUGUUGGGCCUUCCCCUUAUUUAUUAGUAUUAGUCAAGUUGCUCGAGGACUUCUACUGGGAAUGAAAGUUCCCUAUUAUAGGAUCCCUAGUAAAGCCAAUUUAAUGAUGGCCGCUUAUCUGAGUAAGAAGACGAUGGCUCCUAUUAUUGGUGAGCGAUCUCCUCUACACGUUAUCUUUGGGCGUUUUUACUCUCUUUCAAAGAGAUGACUAUUCAAACCGAUGACUAUUCGGAUGCACGUGCUUUGUGAAAAUUCCAUCUCGCACAAGACAAACUGAGCCCUACAUCUCACUCUAUGUGUUUUCUUUGAGUGAGGUUGGGGUACCCCUCUCUCAAAAGGGCUACAAGUGUUAAUGAUCCUUCUACACGAUGAUUCCACCUUUCUCGACACAUUCAUCGAACUUACUACGGAGCUCGGGGCUUUGAGAUUCCCUGUGAUGGUGGGCCAUUAUGUUCCCCCUGUCUCCCCUUAGAGGGGAGGGGUGGAACUAUUGAGGAGUUUAUGUGAGACAGCAUCAGAAUUCUCCGAUUUAAUAGAGUCAGCAAGAUCCGGGUGACCAGAGUGAUCAGGGAAAGUUUCGCAGGUUUGUGAAGACAGAUUCUCGUCACUCAGUUUUCGGAGCUGAGCCAACUGAUUCAGUGGUCUCCCUCUCUCCCUAUACUUCGAACCAAGACUUUCUUCAGACUUAGGUUCUCUAGCUUCUAUUCUCGGGGUACGUAGAUCCACCCGUCUUCGUUUUCCUAUUCAUAGGUUUGUAUCAACUAAGUCUCUGUCUACUACUUCCCACGAGUAUUUUUUGCAUUUCAUCCAUCUUUUUUAACCCGAUACCUUUGCAGAGGCCAUAUCUCAACCCUGCUGGCAGCUCUAUGCAGAAAGAGAUCGUAGCACUAGAAUGGUUUGCUACUUGAUUGAGUCUCUCUCUUCCUCUAGGGAAAGAAGCCAUUGGCUAUAAGUGGGUCUAUAAAGUCAACAAAAAGCUGAUGGAGCAGUUAAGGGGUUGAAGGCUAGAUUGGUGGCCAAAGGAUACACACAAGAGUAUUGAGUCGAACCCCUUUCCUUACAGUCAAGUAGCCCAGGGGCCCCUUUAGAGAUAGUGGAAAGAUUUGCCCCUGCUUGGCGAAUCGCAUCCCCGCGCAAUGAAUUGCAUUGCCAACCUCCUGAUUGUCUUUCUUAUCAUUUUCCGUUGCAUGUUUGGGAUACGUUUGGUGUUCAAUAUAUUCCCUGAUGUCAGUAAACAAUGGUUUACCGUUGGGUGCCCUUUCAAUGGCCAAAAGAUCCCUAUUGAACAUGCCGGGAGUCCACUAAAAAAUUUCUAUUAGGNNNNNNNNNNNNNNNNNNNNNNNNNNNNNNNNNNNNNNNNNNNNNNNNNNNNNNNNNNNNNNNNNNNNNNNNNNNNNNNNNNNNNNNNNNNNNNNNNNNNUAUAAAAUAUUUUUGUCUUUCAAAGUUUGACUUUACACCUUCUUAUUUUUAGUAUUUAGUAUAUAUAAAAUAAUUAUUACUUAGUAUGUAAAUAAUAGAAUUUAAACCAUUGUGUCUAGAUGCAUGUAUUUAAAUAUGAUUAUUUAAUAUUAAAUUAAUUGUAUAUUCGUACUUAAUUUAAUUCAGGAAUAAAUUAAGGACAAAAUGGUAAUUCAACUUUUAAGUUAGGAGCUUCGACUUAUAAUAAUAUAUGAUAAGACAUCUGAAAAGAACUAUUUAUUUUUUUAUUCAUUUUGUAUGUGGUUAAGAAUCAAAAAAUCUUCACGACUUAAAAACACUUCUACAUAUAUUCUUCAAAACCUUUUAGUAUAAUUAGUUUUUGGACAUGCGUUUUGCGUGUGUAUGUUAAAUAUACAAGUAUACUAUUAGUAAACUCACAUAUAUUACUCUCUCCAAUUUAAAAUAGCGAAUGGUUGAGGUAAUGCACACCAGAAAUAAACUGAACACAUUUCUUACUUUUUUCAUUUGAGUUAUUCUCAAACUCCUAUGAAAAAUGCAAUAAUUUAAAGUAAAAUCAAUAAAUAUGAAUAAUUAACUCUCUUAGGUCCGAUACAUAUACAUGAUUCAGAUGUGCACAGUUGUUAUCGUAUAAAAGAUACUGGUGAAUUUAUAAAGGAAGGAUGGGACUAUACAGUGAUAAGAGAUUUUGUGCCGGAAUAUGUGGUAGACCAUGUUCAGGAAAAUCUGCAGCCUGCGUAUCACAGUAAUAAAAUUGAUAAAUCUUGAUGGACUGAAAUUAGUAAUGGUAAAUUCACAGUAAAAUCAGUUUUGGGGACUUUUGAGAAACAAGGAAGACAAAAUGUAAACAUGUAAAGUUAUGGAUAAAAGGUAUUCCAUUCAAAAUCUCAUUCUUAAGUAGGAGGAAUUUGUUUGGAAAGAUCUUUGUGGCAUUUUUAAUGCAUAGAUAAAAUCUCAUCCUUAAAGAGGAGGACUUGGGUUUCAAGUGAUUGUAGAUGUUGUGUUAUUCCUGUCGAAGAUACAAUUGAGCAUCUUUUUCUCAAUGUAGAAGUAGUUACCAGAAUAUCAAAUUAUUUUAGGUAUGCGUCAGGAAUCCUAGAUCCUAUGCUAUCCUAAUAUCAUUGUUUGGUUUUUGUGGAAAAGGAAAAAUAUAUGGAGGUAUUUUUUAGUUGAUACAAUGAUAUCAGAUAUUAUUGAUACAGUUUAAAGUUCAUAUAUGUAAGAUUUAAAUUAAACUGAAGCAAAAAUUGUUGGCCUCAUAUUCUAUCAAGAUUGAGCAAUAUAAGCCUAAGUUUAAGUAUAAAAUCUGAUGGUUGCUAAGGGUUUCAAGAUUAAGGAUACUACAAUCUUGGUGGCAGAAGCUAGAGCUAUAAGGGAAAGCCUUUCAUAUUGUAGUGAGCAUGGUAUUACUAAUCCUAUUAUUGAGACAAACUCACUAGCUAUGGUUCAUAUAAUUGAGGUCGCCUGGGAUGUACCCUUAAAUGUGGCAUUGGAAGUUAGUACCAUCAGGAUAUUAUGAAGGAGUGUUUCAGCAAGAGUAAAGCAUUCUCUUAGGGAGGAAAAUGCUCUUGCUGAUUUUUUUUACGAAUUCUAUUUUCUCUUUUGCAGGUAAUUUUUUUGAUAAAUUAUUUUCAAGAUACUCCAAUUGAGGGAAGAAAAUUACUCAAUCUAGAUAAACAAGGAACGUCAUACAUAAGAAUAAACACGAAGGAAUGAAGAGACACCUAUCAACAACACCAAAUAUUAAAUAUUCUUCGGAUUAUAAUCAGAUUCGUGCAAGAAUUUGUAAUAUUUCUAAAUAUCUAAGCAAGAGUUUGAAGUAAAUUCAAUAAAUUUUGUACUUACGCCUUGUGAGAUCUUGGGGCAUCCAGUGGUACCAAAUCAAGGCAUUAGCUUCUUGUGGAAAUUAGUCCACUCCAAUUGAAUUGAAAUAAGCAUAGAAAGAGAAGCAUAACAAGUUCUCAUUAUUAAGUAUUAACUUAUUAAAGCUUUAAUGGUGUUGUCAAACCCAUUAAGACUUAGAAAAGUUAAUACCAAUGUAAAGAAAAAAGAGAACAAAUAGAGAUACUUCGCUGAAGUACAGGAGAGAUCAGACAUGUGAAUGGUAAAGGAAAUCCUUGAGCAUCAGGUUGAUUGAACUCUUGCAAGUUGAAAAGAAAAUACUGGCAAGAUUUGGGGUGUCUCAACACCCAUAAAUCGACCAAUAUUCUUUGGCUCGGAACAAUUGCACCUAACAGAUCAUUGUUGAAGCUCUAGUUGAGAAGAGAGUAGAUGAAGAAAUGACUGAAACUUUCCAAUUCUGCAGAUCGAGUGUUUUCUUUUUAUUAAUUUGUUUACUUAUUUAUGUUUUAUAUUUUUUGUUUCCUUUUUGAUUCUGUAGAAGCUCUUUUUGGGCCUAAUUUAAAAUUUUGAUUAUAUAAUAAUAAGCCCUGACAAUUGUCUGUUGUUAUUUGGAAAAAAACUUGAAGCUCCACUCCUCAGCAAUUAAAGCUUUAUUUGGAGAUAAAAUUUCAUUUCACAUAAAAUUUGUGGUGAUGAAAAUGCUUAAUAAUGGAGAAAUUUCUAUUGACCAAUCAUGUCUUGCGCUCAAUUCGAGAAAAUAAAUUAUAAAUGAAUAUCAAAAUUCUAAUUAAAAUUGUAAUAUCCUCAUAGAUAUGAGGUUUAUCUUUUCAAAAUUACAAUUAACACCAUAUAUAUCUUAUAUCGUUGUAAUAUUAGUGAUUCCAUCCAAUUUACACACUCCCUGCCCUAAGCCCCCCUAAAGGCACUUUAGAGUUGAUUGAGAAGUAGAUCUCUUACUUUUUGGUGACCUUCUAGGACCAAAAACAAACAUCAUUGGCGUACUUGAAAAUAAAUGUAGCUUCCAGAAGAUUGAUGGGGCAUACUAAUUAGAAGUUUUGAUGAUAUUAGUACCACUCUAGUGGUUAAAAGAUAGUGGAAGUACAUAACUAUCCCAUCCUUUUGGGCUAGCUUCCUUAAUACCAAGUAUUGUACUAGACUUUAUGCAGUUGCAAAGUUGUGUGUAGUAAAACAUCUCAUAGUUUGAGACAGAUGAUGAAGAUCAAAAACUGGGUUGAACUCAACAUUUCUGAUUGUGAAUGAGUGGUAGAAGAAUGUGUAGUGGUUUUUAUUGAAGUUAGGGUGACAAUAAUGAUUUUUUGGAGGAGGAUUAAAACCAAGAAUAAAUGAGUCAAGAGAAAAGGCUUUGAGUAUAUUGAGGGUAUUUUCUUUCGAAAGAGAUUUUUUUAAACCAAAAGUUUCAGGCUUAUAGCCUAUUUAUUUUUAUUUAUAAAAUAAUUAGGCCCAAAACUGGCCCAAUGUUGGAACUAAAGAAAACAAAAUAAAAGUCAAAACCUAAAGAGACAAACCAAUAUAUGAGCAUCAAUUUCCUUAAAAAGGAGGAAGAUGAAGAGGCAUAGAGGUGUUGGCAUCAGAGAUGGGGUCGAGCAUCAUUUUCAGCUAAUCUAGUUUCUGCGCAAAGUUUUGCAACCACGAGGUGAACUUCAACUUCAUCUUCUCAGGUAAACUUUUUCUACUCUCUCUCUCUUUAAAUACUUGAAUGAGGUUUGCUAUGAAAAAUGAUCUUAUUGAACUGUGGAAUUUAGAAUCUUGAUAGUGUAGAAGAAAUCUCGAGUAAAAUUAGUUUUCCUUUAAUCAAUUGGAAUUUAGUGGAUUGAAUCAAAUACAUUUUAUACCACCACCACAACUCAAAUCCACAAAAAUAUUACUAAUUGAUUUUGUGAGGUUAUUUUGAUACACUCCACAUCACUUGUGUAAGAAAAUAGUACCUUUAAUUCAUCGUUCAGUUCUUAUUCUCCUCUAAUGAUUAUUCGGUAGUUUUCAAUACAUGAAUGAGCAGUAUAUGAAAUUUAACCUAAUUAUAGAUUAAAUAUGCUAUUUUUGCCCCCUUAAGUCCUGAUUUUAUAUCAUAUGUAACACCUCAAUGCUCUCACCAGGUGCAUGAUAUAUUAACAACCAGAAACUAAUUGAGAAAUCUUGAGGUACGUUAGUAGCGUAUACAAUCUAUGAUUCAUGUAAAACUUCAUAUGUAAUUGAGACUUGAUACAAUAAAGAUUACUUUAUUGAGUCAUACUUGUUUGUCUUAAUAUCAACUAUUGAAUACUAUGUUUAUCCAAAUUGAUGAUUCUGAUUCCUUCACUUGGGAUUUCCUGUAAAUGGUUAAAUUUAUGAGUACCCUGUAGUAUUUGAUUGCGUUAUCCUUAGCUGUAUUAUUCUUAUGAUUGUAUUUGGAACCUCUUGAAAAGCUCUAAAUUCAUAUGAACCUGCAAAAGGAAAAACCAAGUUAGCAAAAAUUAGCUAGAGUAUUCCCUCUCUUAAGGAGUUUUGUACUUCUACUGACAUAGAGUUUCUUAAUAUGUUGAUGGAAUAGACAUCCAUCGUUAAAUUCCAAGGUAUUUCGCACCCUCCAUUUAGUAUAUGUACCAAAGCCAAAGAAUCGAUUGCAAUUAUAAUGUUUUUAAAAUUGUUUUCCUAACAACAUUGAAGACUUUUUUUAAUAGCAAUAGCUUCAAGAACUACAUUCGUAGAAUCGGGACUCUGCACCCCUUAGAAAAAAUUAACUCUCCUUCAUGGUUUGUGAUACAAAAGGUAGCAGAACUACUAGGUCUAGGAUUAUCCCUCGAAACCCCAUCUGUAUUACAUUUCUACAACCUCAUGGUGGAGGAUACCAUUUAACCCUUUACGAAAUAAACUCAGGACUAAAACCAUCGAAUAAAGCAACUAGCUGAGGCUAAGUGGAAGGGAUAUAAGUGUAUUCAUACUCUAAACUUCAUGAAUUUAUACGUCCAAAAUCACUUUACUUGUGGUAUAAUUACCACCAUGAAGUACAAUAUUUAUCCUUUUCCAUAAAAUCAAAUUAGGAAUAUAAUGAAAAUAAUGUUUUGCCUCGUAUUUAAUUGAACAUCCCACCAUUUUUUGAUACACUGCGUUAACUGAAUCCAAGGAUCUAAUAUUCUCGCUGCAUAAGAGAAAUAUCGCCACACUCUAUAUGCAAUUUCACCUUCAAAAAAAAGUUUUCCAUAGUUUCCCUUUUGGGGCAGUACAACAAAAGCAAAGUUGGGACUGUUUCAAUUACCUAUAGCAACAGCUUCUGAAACUCUAGUAUUCAAAAAUCUCAAACUAAAGAAUGAUAUCUUGACAGGAAGAUCUUGCCCAUAUCUUCUUGAAAAUCACAUUUUCUGCCACUUUCUUUCUCAAAAUCUCCCAAGCAUUCUUAACUGAGAACUUUCAGGUGCUUGUUUUGAUCUCCGUCCAUAUUAAUUCGUCUAUUAUGAUACAUAUGAUGUAUGAUAUGUUCCACAAUAUGAUCAUGCAAAUGAUCAUGCAUACUAUCAUAAUCCCACCUUGUUUCCUUUAGGAAAAUAUCAAUGUUCAUCAAUGAGUGAAGAGUUUGUACUUCAGCUUGAUAUGUGUAAAGAGGCCCAAGUUGGGUCCUAUUAUCAUACCAAAUAGAAGAAAUCCCACUCUUAGUUUCCCACCAUUGAAAUUUUUCAAUGCACUCCUUAUUGUGUAACACAUUUUUCCAUAGUUGAGAUCUACCUUUCCAUUCAGCCAAAGUUGGAAUAUGGUUCUUACAAUAUUUGGUCCACAUAAAAUUAGAGCGUAAGGUGGUAUUUUGAGUCAUGAAUCUCCACCAUAACUUUGCAUACAUUUCUUUAGAAGCAUCAAACAUGGAUCUAAAACCCAAUCCUCCUUCCUGUUUAGGUAAAUACAAUUUCUCCCAUGAAGUCUAGUGUUUACUCUUAGCUGCAAUUUUAUUACUCCAAAUUUUUAUUCCAAAAAUCCUAUGAAGUUCCUUAAUCACACAUAGGAGGAACUAUAGCUGAUAAGACAUGAAUUAGAACACUCUGUAGCACACUAGUGAUUAGAACCUCUUUUCCUCCAUAUGACAAUAUAUUUCCUUUUGAAGAUUGAAAUUUUGCCUCACCUUCUUUAUAAGCUCUUUGUAGUGUUGUUUCCCUUUUUUGGAGUAGGUGAUACGACGACCAAGGUAUUUAAAGGAAAAUGACCUUUAGACAUACCAACGUAUUCCUCCACCAAUUCUUUCUCAGCGGCCCCUGCACUUGUUUUUCUUUCUUUUUUUUUCAAACUAUACCACUAGACAGAGCGUCUAGUAGUUUUUUUUUAUUAAAAAUAAAAAUCCUCAGUAUAAAUAAGUACAUGCAAGGGUUGGGAUUUGCCUUACCUUUUAAAUCCUAAUGAGACAACAAACCUCUAUUAAUUAACAAACAUGAAAAAAAAGAGCUAGAGAGAACUUGAUAUUUUACUAUCAUCACAGAAUUAAUACACUCAAUGAUGAUAUUACAAAUGAGAAUACUUGAAAAAUGCACAAAUAUAAAAUCCAAGAAGAAAGUGAGUUAUCAACCUCAAAUUUAUUUUUACAAAUGUGUGAAUUAAAAUUGAUAGAUAGCCCAUCUAAAGUGACCUAAAGUAUUUUCAUCUUGUCUUAUUCUUCAAAUCCAUCCAACAAAACUUGAUAGUUCAUCAUUUCUUCUUGGAUGUAGUGGAUCUUGUUGAAGUCAUUGACACUGUCAUAAGGUUCUGCUUUGCCAGUCGCAUUGGUAGGUGCCUUGGACCAAACUCUCCUAUCAGUUUAUUAUCCCAACUGUGUUGCCUUCCAUGUGUCUUCUUUUUAUUUUUGUUGCGUCCAAUUCUUUGAUGCCGAGGAGAUAUAUAUCCAUACCUAGCCACUUUGUCAAAGAAUAUAUCCAACAUAUUUUCUUCCUCAUCCUCAUCAAAAGGGACAUUUCCCAAAUCAUGAUCAUAACCCUAGUUGGACUAAAUUCUGAUGUUAAGGACUUUUGUUCCUUCUUAUUUGCAACUAUACAUGUAGGUACAAAUUCCAAAGCUUGUGGACUUAGUUUUUUAUUCAAAAGCGGAGGUGGAACAUGCUCUUCUUCAUCAACCAUAUCAUCCCACCUAGGAGUACUCAUCUCCCUUUGCUUUUAUUUCGAGACCUCAUGAGCUAAGGUAUUCAAUGUGACAAUGGGUGACUUGAUUGUUGAAUUAGGUUUGAGCGACAUGGAAGCCUUAUUUUUUCACUAAUCUUAGAUACUUCACGAUUAGAGAUAUAUGUAAGACUCAUAACACUAUCAUUAUUUCAGUCUGCCUGCUACAUACUCCAAUUAGUGUGCUAACUAAUUGUAUAUUAUUAUCAAAAUCGGCUCGAAAUAAAGUUUGAUAGUUCUUGGGAUUAGAAUCAACUACCUAUAAUUCUUUCUCCACCCCAUGUGCUUCAAAUGGAUUUGUACAAACAAUGUUAUUCGGUUCAUUAGAUUGUGAUACUAGAUUAGUAGUUAGAUAUUGCUUAUUUUCAAGACGUGGAAAUUUACUUGAACUUGUCGAGGAACUAAUACACAUAGAAAUUGAUUUUUUUUGUGCAAUUGUGUUCCGAUUCCUAGUUGCAUUCUACUCACGACCGGAAAUUUCAACUUGUAAAUCAACAAGUUCAAAAGGUUGCAAAACACCUAUUUUUGAUCCUUCAAAUUUUUUUCCAUCAAUUGCCAAAUUCUGAAGUUGCACAUCAGAUUUUGGCGUUUGUAUAGCAUUGUGAAGUUUCUCAAGAGUAUGCUUAUCACCUUGCCUCAUAAUUGAAUUUUCAGCAACAACUCCCUUCUCUUUUAUCAUGUUAAUUUUUUGCGCAAAUUCUGCAUCAUUUGAUUUAUUUGUAUCCACAACGAGUUUCUCUUCAAAUUCAACACGAUCAACUGAAUUACAGCUUUGUUGAUUGGGAGAAGAGUAGUCGUCUAACACUGCCAGACGCUGGACUGAAUUUUGCGGUACCAAAUUUUGAUCUUGAACAUCACUCUUUCCAGCCCUUAUCAGUAAAUCUUUAAUUGUUCCUUCAUUAUCCUUUUCACCAACUUCUAACCUGUUUGAAUUAGAUUUUUUAGCAUUGAGAUGAACAUGAAGAUCGCCUGAAAAUUUCUCUCCUUUAAUAUGACUAUCACUGACCAUGGCAUCAACUUGAGCAUCAGUGAGAGUUUUAUUAAGCUUUGCACUACAUUUUGGUAAACCAUAUCCCACAAAUUGAUCAUCCUCAAACAACAUAUUUAGGGCCCUUGAAAGCAGUUUUGCUAUUAAUAUAAAGAGAGACAGAGAUAGAGGGUCUCCUUGUUUCACUGUCCUAGAGGAAUCAAAGAAACCAGGUGUUUGGCCAUUGAUCAAGAUUGAAUACCGGUUUUUGGAAAUCAAUCUCCAAAUCAAAUCAGCAAACAAUUCUGAAACCCCCAUGUUUCUUAAAACUUUCAUCAGAAUAAAACAAGAUAAUGUAUCAUAUGACUUGGUCAUAUCAAGAUUUAUGACCACAUUUGAUGGUUUACCCCUCUUUCUGAUGUUACUAACAAUCUCUUAUGUCAAUAACACAUUCUCGAUGACGCUUCUACAUUUAACAAAAACUGAUUGAUUGUGGGUGAUCAAUUUAGGUAAUUAAACUUCAAUUAUGUCAUGAACAACCCCAGAUAGAAUCUUAUUAAUGAAUUUACUCAAACUAAUUGGUCUUAAGUCACAAAGAGAACGAGUUUGUUCCUUCUUAGGUAAAACGACCAAAUUAGUGUUAGUUAUGGAUUUAGGAUGAGAAUUUUAUAUGAAAAAAUCUUGUACCAUUUUGAAAAUAUUGUUACCCAAUAAAUCCCAGCAAUGUUGGUACAAUGCACCUGAUAAACCAGAUGCUUGUAAACCAGCAACCGAAAAAGGGUGGAUAGCGAUGGAUUGAGUCAUAUUUUUUAAGAGGAAGAACCGGACUGUUUCGCAAAGGACAACUAGUAGUAGCUCAGGGGUGAGCAAAAAUAGUAGUUCGGGGGUGAGCAAAGGUUUAAGAAGAAUUAUGUGCAAAUUGUGAUUUCUAUAAGUGUAGAGGCCACAUCAAAGAAGUUCUGCUACAAAACUCUUGGGUAUCCACCUGACUCCAAGUCUAACAGAAAGGUUCAAGGUAGUGAGUCUGGUGAGUAUGGUUACACUUCAGUACCCCAGGCUUAUUUCUCUUAUGCUCUUAACACAAAUGUAUAGAUUUCUGAGUGGGGGAGAAAGGUUGAUGAGUCUCAAAUUGAUAAUGGUGGAAAUUAUACAAGUGAGUGGGUAUAGAUUUACGUCAUUAAGCCAAGAUGAGAAAGAUGUCGAACAACUAUUUCCAAGGAUGUACAUUCAUAAAAGACCAAUAUGAUCACAUCCUCAAAAUGUUCUAGCAAAAGUCAAAUUAGCCUAUGUUUGGUUGCAAUGAUGUUAAUACUGCAGGUAAAUCAUUUAUUGUUUCUGAAAAUAACAAAAUUUGGAUUGUAGAUACUAGUGCUACACAACAUGCAGUCUCUAACUUGGAUAUGAUGUCUAAGGGGUCUAUGAAACAACUUGAUACUCCUAGUGGUAACACUACUCAAGUGACACUUGUGGGUAAUUAUGAUUUUUCAGCUAACAAAGUUGUUACAAAUAUAUUUUGCCUACCUGCAUUCCAGCAUAACCUAUUGCACGUAAGUAAAAGACAUAGGAACAAGGUAGUUCAGUCACCUUCUUUCCUCAUUUUUAUGUGUUCUGGGAACUUUAAAGUGUAAAGGUGAAGGAGGUCGGUAAAGAGGAAUAAGAAUUGUAUUUUUUGCUACAACAUACAGUUCACACAUGGGACUGAAAGUAAAAAGUAGAAGUCUACAUUUGUUGUUCCUAGAGUACUUUCUAACAUGGAGUUAUGGCAUCAAACAUUAGGUCAUGUAUAUUCUAUAGUUCUUGCAAAAAUCAUUGAUAUGAACAAAGACAAUAUGUGUAAAGUCUCUAGUUUCUCAUUCUACCCUUGUUCUAAGCUUGCUAGGUCUGGUUUUCCUUAAAGUAGUAUAAAAAGAAGUACUUGUUUUGAUUUGAUUCAUGUUGAUUUCUAGGAUCCUUAUAAAACACCUAUUUUUUAUGGUAACAAGUACUUCAUUACAAUGGUAUUUCUACUUAAAUGUAAGUCUGAUGUGUGUAUUUCUCUUAAACUAUUUAUGCACUAUGUUAGGACUCAAUUAGGGAGAAAUGUUAAGGUAUUAAGGUCUCACAAUGGGACUGAUUUUGCUAACUCUGUGUGCACUGCUUUGUUCAAAGAGUUGGGAAUUAUACACGAGAGGUCUUGUCCAUAUACCUAUCAAACUAGGGUUGUUGAUAGAAAAAUAGACAUAUACUUGAAGUAACUAGGGCACAAAAAAUGUAUGCACACAUUCCAUUGUAAGAAUACAUGUCAUUUUCAGAGAAAACAAUCCUAUUUUAACAGCAACCAGGUAUCUUGACAAACAAUCCUCCAUAUGAUCUUGUGGGAAAACAAAUUUGUAUUACUUCAACUCAAAAUACAAUUGUUUUACAAAGGGAGUUAACGUAGCAUUAUUCGUGCGAUGAUGAUAAACGCUUGCAUCUUGAGAAGUGAGUUUGUGACGAUUUAUGUUGGCUAGACUUUAUGACUUUCUCAGUUCAGAUUCAAUAAUCUUAAUUUUGUUUAUUUCAAUCAUAAGUUCACCAUUCAGUAUGACUUGAUAAUUUCAAUUAAAGGGGUUCAUAAUAAAGUCUUAAGCUAUAUUGGUAAUAGGUAUAUAUAUAGAAUUCAAUGUAUGAAUUUCCUCCGCUUGUAUGGAAUAUUGGUCGAAGCAUGACGUGAUAUGAGUUGAGUGCAUGAUUCGACUUUGAACCCUAUCACAAAUAAGGUGGCUAAUAGAAUAUAGAGAAAGAUUCGAAGAGUCUCUAACCAUGUGUCACUAGUCCUCAUGAAUUUAUCUACUAUUUAAAAAUAUAAGUAAAUAAACAUAAAAAAAAAUUAGAAGUUGUGAUCACAUAUUUCAUUGUUAGGUCAAGGGUAAAGUGGAUAAACGAAAGAGAAGGAAGUCACACAGAAAAAUCAUAUGAUCUAUUUUCUUUUCUUAUAUUAUUUGUAGUUCUGGCGUUAUUAUGUAUCAUGUUUCAUCAUUAGUUAGUCACAUCUAAAUUGUAAGUUAUUAUUUCAGUCGUACCUCAGUAGUUUUGUUUCAAAUUCUACAUUUGUGUCAAAAACCCACCUAACAAUAAAAAUAUGUUGGCCUUGAUUAAUUUUAAAAUAUUGAACCUAUGAAUUUAACAUCUUGAAUUCGACUUUGACACAAAUAUUUUAGUUUCCCUAUCGUGCAAUGAUAUAAUCAUAAUAAAAGAAAUAGUUUUAGUCCGUAUUGACAUAAAUUUGUUUUAUGAAUAUACUCCCUCUGUCUCAAUUUAUGUGACAGUUUUCAGAAUUCGAGAUUCAAAGAAGUCUAUCUUCAACAACAAAUUUUUUACAUAUCUUUUUAAUUUACAAAUAUUUUGAUUUAUAUAACUUUUUACAUGGUUUAUAAAUAUAUAAAUUACAUCAAAAUAUUGAAGAUUUCAUGCACAAAUUUUUUGUUAAACUUAAACUACUUGACUCUCGAAAAAUAAAAAGUGUUACAUAAAUUGGUAGAGAGGGAGUAUAAUUUUAGUUCUAGUAAAGGUGAUUUGAGUGAAAUUAUGUAUUAGGCGUAACUCACACCCCAAAAUCUGGCUCAAAGGGAAGAGAAUUGCACAGACCUCAUUAACCACUAAUGUGGGACUUUUUUCACUCUUUAACAAUUUGCCCAUACACCUUGUACUUAUCUUAAGAUAUCAAAAUAUAAAUUCUUCUAUACACUAAAAUUAUAUCAUAUUGCCAUUAAGAUUCUAGGAAAGUAAUAAAUAGGACUUGGCUAACAUCAUUAUGUGAAAGAAGGAGCUUAGAAGUUAUUUUUAUUUUCCUCUCAACAAGUUACCGCCCACAAAUUUUCGUUCAUCGAUUUUAUGCAUAUGUAGAAAGUUGUUUCUUCUAAAAAAAUUAUUUGAUUGUCUAUUAGAUUGUAAAAUGUAUGCAUAUGUAUAAAGUUGUUUCUUCUAAAAAAAGUUAUUUGAUUGUCUAUUAGAUUGUAACAUAUUAACUACAUGAACUUAAGAUUGCCAUGUUAUUGCAUUAAAUUCUUUGAGCUAACUUUUCCUUUUUCUUUUGUAUUAAUCUAUAUAUUUAUCAGUUCAUUAAUGAACGACAUUGCAUCUAACUUCCAAUUCUAGUUUGCAUCAUUCAAUUUCAUGGAUCGCAAUAAGAUUAUGAUGAAGAAAAUUGAGGAUCCAGUAUCCCGUCAACAGUUCUACUCAAAAUGUAAGGAUAGCAUUGUUAAAAAGUCAAAUAUUACACUGUAAAUGGUUUCUCCAAAUGGUGAAGUGACCAGCUAUUCUAGUGGAGAAAUGUUAAUGAGAUUUCAAGAAUGAUAUUUUAUGUUUGAAUGUUCUAUGUUUCGUAUAUGAUACAAAAUAUGAUGUAAUUUCUUUUUAAUCGCUUAGUUUUGAAGAUAUUAUGAUCAAAGCAAUUAACCAACCUAUUGAACACAAUCAACGGUAUGUUUAUUUUAUAUGUUAAAUUCAUGAAUUAGACUUCACCAAUUUCAUUCAAUUGACUAACUCAAAUGCUUUUUUUUAUUGCUAAAGAUCCACUCCAAAUCCAGAUGAAGAGGUACUAAAUUUUACACAUCUUUUACUAAUCUUUGGAGUUUUAUUUGACCUUAACAUGACCUUUAUUUUGCAGAAUUUGAUGAAGAGUCUCGUUCAAUCAAAAUUUGAAAGAGGUAUGAGUGAAAAGAUUUCUACGUAUGACACUCUACUUUUCUCUAGUUCUUUUCUGUUGAUUUAUUUCUUUGUUGUGUGGUACUUUUCUACAUGAUUGAAUAAUUCUUGUUAUUUUUGUUGGGUGUUUUUACGAUGCUGAUGAUUGGACAAUGUGCUUUAGGGUUGAAGUAAGGUUUGAUGUUUCCACACAAGUGUUGAUUGUGAAUACUUAAAAACACCUAAAAUAUAUCACUCUGAUAGCGAAAUAUUUAUAAAGGGGGUCCCCUUCAGUUAGUAAUUAUAAGGCUAUAUUUAUUAUUACUAAAAACACUGUAACUUGAUAUAUUUUUAAUGCAUUUUUAUAAUAGGCUCAUAAAGAGAAGCUUACUGAGUUCCAAAAAAUACUAAGUGAAGCAAAGGAGAAAAGAAGGUUUAAGAGUUGUUCACUCUUUUUUUAAAUAUUCUAAAAAGUGUUGCUCUUUAAUAACGAUUUGUUCCCUUGGACCUAACAUUUCUUAUGAACCACAAGUGGAGAAUAUCAACACAGUAGAAGAAGCUGAUGCAUAUAAGGAGUAUCUUGUGUGUGCUAUAAAACGGGUUCAACGAUCUAAAGUAAGCAUAUCUCAAAGUUAAUGCAAUUUUUACUUGUAUUUCAUAAGGUCUUGUCCAUAUACCCUUAUCAAAAUAGGGUUGUUGAGAGAAAACAUAGACAUAUACUUGAAGUAACUAAGGCACUCAAAUUGCAGGCACACAUUCCUUUGAAGUUUUGGGGGGCACUAUGUCUUAGUUACAGUUUAUCUAAUCAACAGAUUACCAAGUAGUGUGAUAGGUCAUCAAACUACUUCUGAGAAGUUAUUAUAUGGAAGCCAACCACGUCUGUCUCAUCUUGCUAAGAAUCUCACCAGACAUGUCAAACUGAUGGAAAGAUCAAGGCCAGUUCUUCAUAUGGGAUAUUCAGAAGUCUAGAAGGGAUAUGUUCUUUUUUAUCUGACCAAUAGGACCUUCUUUGUGAUAAGACAUGUCAUCUUCAUGGAAGAUGCAUUUCCUUUUGCAAAUGAGAGUGGUUCUAAUUAUCAUCCUACUUGAAGACACUGUACAUGGUUCAGGGUAGUUUUCGCAAGCCUUCACUGAGUCCACUCCUAUUCCACUAAGCUGUGAUGAGAAAACUAUUGUGUUAGAUGAUAGAGGAUAUUAUAUGCAUUUCAUAGAGCAGCAGCAAGAGCAGGAAGUAACAGAACAACAAAAGCUAGAAGCAACUUAUUGCUUUAAUCAGGCAAUUAAGAAUGUAGUGCCUCAUAUAGUUACUGAUAAAUUUGAUCAUGUAGUUGAGUUUGCAUUACCAGGGCCUAACAAGAUGUCUACAAGAAAUAGACAAACUCCUACAUAGGUGAGGGACGCUAUCUCACUAAAUAUAACUAAGGAUGUAAAGUAUCCACUGUGUAAUUACAGAAGCUAUGAUCACUUGUCUGUUCAAUCCAUCCCAUUUUUAGUCAACUUUAGCUAUUCAAUUGGUACAAGCAAUUGUUAAAAAGUAAUAGUAAUUGGAGUAGAAAAUAAAAGAUUUGGUGGUUGGCCAAUUGGUAAGAUUUGCAACAAUUCUUGACUUUGCUAUAUUUAGAUAUGUCAUUAGUGACAUAGGCAUGGUUUUAUCCUUCAAUAAAUAGAGCAUUCUUGUUAGAGAGACAAACCAUUUUGAGAGCAAAGUGAGGUAUUACAUAGAAUAUACAAGUAAAUAGUCCGUGAAGAAAAAUGGAGUGUGAGCGAUAUUUUAGUAAGACGGAAACCAAAAGAGUGUUGUUCCUUUUGAGUGUGUAGUAGUCACUUUGAGCAUUGUAUUUGUGACUACACACUAUAAAAUUCCUUACUAUAGUAAUAUAAAUUGCUCCUCUUGGCCGUAGUUUUUUCCCUUAUUUAUAAGGGUUUCCACAUAAAAUUCUUGGUGUCGUUAUUUUACCAUUUUAUUUCCAUUACGUUUACCAUAUAUAUUUUUGUGCUUGUCCGCAUUUUCCUAACAAACUUGUAUCAAAGCCAAGGUUUUAUCUGAGUAUGCUCAAUGGUUGCAGCACAAUUUGAACUUCCACAUCAAAAAAGAUUUACUUUGAUUUGCGAUAACUAUAUUUUGGGGGGAAAACAAUGGAAGCCAACACAAGUAGAAUGGUUACUUUGAAUGGUGUUCAUUAUGCCAUUUGGAAGGUAAAAAUGGAAGAUCUCCUUUAUGUUAAGAAUUUCUACAAUCCAGUAUUUACCACUGUAAAGCCUGAUAAUAAAACAGAUGAAGAGUGGAAUCUGUUGCAUAGACAGGUUUGUGGAUUUAUUAGGCAAUGGGUCGACGAUAAUGUGUUGAACCAUAUUUCUGGAGAAACACAAACUCGAAUCCUAUGGGAGCAUCUUGAAAGUUUGUAUGUUCGAAAGACUAGCAAGAACAAAAUGUUCUUAAUAAAGAAGAUGUUGAGUUUGAAGUAUAACGAUGAUUCUCCGAUGACAGACCAUCUGAAUAAUUUUCAUUGGAUUAUGAACCAAUUGUCUGCUAUGGGCAUCAAAUUUGAUGAAGAAAUUCAAGGCUUGCUUCUACUUGGUUCCCUACCCGAUUCUUGGGAAAUAAUUAGAAUAUCAUUGUCAAAUUAUGCUCCGGAUGGUGUAAUCUCUAUCGAUUCCGACAAGAGUAGUGUCUUGAACAAAGAGAUUAGAAGAAAAACUCAAGGUUCCUCUUCAUCAGAAGUCCUGAUAACUGGCCCCAGGGGAGAAAUAAAACUUGUGGUUCUUAGAAUAAAGAACAAAACAGGAGAAAAUCCAGAGGAAGACUUAAGGACAUUGAGUGCUAUAAUUGUGGCAUGAAAGGACACAGAAAGAUGUUCUGCAGGAAGUUGAAGAGGGAGAACAAAAACAAAGAGGAAACUAAAGAAGAUGGCAAUGAAAAUUGCGUAGACAUCAUCACCACCGAAGAUCUUGUUACCGUUCUUGAUGCAAACAUGAUAAAUAUUUCUUGUGAUUAGUCAAGAUGGGUUGUGGACUCGGGUGCCGCAUCUUAUGUGACAUCAAGGAAGGAUUUUUUCUCUUCCUACACUCCUGGUGAUUUUGGAACCUUAAGUAUGGGUAAUGAGAAUGUUUCUAGGGUGGUUAAUAUUGGUAUAACUUUUUUGGAAACUAGUGUUGGAACUAAACUAGUUUCGAACAAUGUGAAACAUGCUCCUGAUGUUUGUCUUCACCUAAUUUCUGUUGGCGUUUUAGAUGAUGAAGUAUAUGUUAGUACCAACGGUGCUGGAAAAUGGAAGCUCAUUAAGUUACCCUGAAAGAAGGAAUUAAAUACAUCCAUCUGAUGGAUAUGCCAAUAUCUAGAGGCUUCCAAAGCAACCAACCUUGGCUUGAAUGUUUCUAUAUCAUCAGUAUAUUUGUACUUGACUUUGUAUAUCCUCCUAUAACCUAUAUGCCUCUUCCCUCUUGGUAAGUCUGUGAGUUCCCAAGUUUGUCACUCCCCAAAUCUUGUAUCUCAGUCACAACCAAGGAACCCUUAAUGAGCGUCCAUUUUCCAUCACUGUUGGUAUAAACAUAUCCUUCAUUAUCUAAAACACCAACAGAAAUCAGGUGCCUACAAACAUUAGGAGCAUGUUUCACAUUGUUCAAAACUAGUUUAGUUUCAACAGUAUUUUUCAAACAAAUUUUACCAAUACCAACCACCCUACAAAUAGUCUCAUUACCCAUACUCAAGGUUCUAGAAUCACCAGAAGUAUAGGAAGAGAAAAAAUUCUUCCUUGAUGUCACAUGAGAUGCGGCACCAGUGUCCAUAACCCAUCUUGACUCAUCACAAGCAAUAUUUAUCAUGUCUUCAUCAAGAACGGUAACAAGGUCUUCGGUGGUGAUGGUGGCUAGGCAAUUUUCGUUGCCAUUUUCUUUAGUUUCCUCUUUGUUUUUGUUUUCCCUCUUCAACUUCCUGCAGAACUUCUUUGUGUGCCCUUUCAUACCACUAUAAUUGCACUCGAUAUCCUUAAGUCUGCCUCUGGAUUUGCUCGUGUUUUGUUCUCUAUUAUGAGAACCACGAGUUUUGUUUCUCUCCCUAGGGCCAGUUAUCCGUACAUCCAACGAAGAAGAACCUUGAGUUUUUCUUCUUAUCUCUUUGUUCAAGACACUACUCUUGGCGGAAUCCAUAGAAAUUACACCAUCCGAAGCAGAAUUUGACAAUGAAGUUUUAAUUUUUUCCAAGAGUCUGGUAGGGAACCAAGUAGAAGAAAGCCUUGAAUUUCUUCAUCAAAUUUGAUGCACAUCGCAGAUAACUGAUUCAUGAUUCCCUAAUUAUUCAGAUGGUCUGUCAUUGGAGAACCAUCAUGAUACUUUAAUCUCAACAUCUGAUUCAUUAAGAACAUUUUGUUAUUGCCAGUCUUCCGAGCAUACAAACUCUCAAGAUGCUCCUAUAGGGAUCGAGCAUGUGUCUCCCCAAAAAUAUAGUUCAACACAUUAUCGUCGACCCAUUGCCUAAUGAAUCCACAAAACUGUCUGUGCAACAAAUUUCACUCUUCAUCUGUUUUAUUAUCAGGCUUUACAUUGGUAAAUACUGGUUUGUAAAAGUUCUUGACAUAAAGAAGAUCUUCCAUUUUCCCCUUCCAAAUGGCAUAAUUAACAACAUUCAAAGUAAUCAUUCUACUUGUGUUGGCAUCCAUUAUUUUUCCCUAAAAAUAUUAUUAUCUCAAAUCAAAGUGAAUCUUUUCUGAUGUGGAAGUUCAGACUGUGAUGCAACCACAAAGCAUACUCAGAUAAAACCUUGGCUCUGAUACAAGUUUGCUGGGAAAAUGCGGAUAAACACAACAAUAUACAUGCUAAAAGUAAUGGAAAUAAAAUUGGAAAAUAACGACACCAAGAAUUUUAUGUGGAAACUCUUCUAAAUAAGGGAAAAAACACGGGCCAAGAGGAGCAACUGAUAUUACUAUUUUAAGGAAUUUUACACUGUGUAGUCACGAAUACAAUACUCAAAGUGACUACUGCACACUCAAAAGGAAGAACACUCUUUUGGUUUCCACCUUCCUAAAAUAUCGCUCACACUUUAUUUUUCUCCAUAGACUAUUUUUCUUGUAUAGUCUAUGGAAUACCUCACUUUUCUCUCAAAAUGAUUUUUCUCUCUAAUUUGGUCUGUUCUAUAAAUGAGCAAGAAUUGCUCUAUUUAUAGAAGAAUAAAACCAUGCCUAUGUCACUAAUGACAUAGGUAAAUAUAGCAAAGUCAAUAAUGGUUGCAAAUAUUACCAAUUUGCCAACCACCAAAUCUUUUAUUUUCAACUCCAAUUACUAUUCCUUUUUAACAAUGGCUUGUAGUAAUUGAAUAGCUAAAGUUGACCAAAAAAUGGGAUGGAUUUAACAGUCUUUUCAUGAGUUAGUUAUAACUAAUCCUCUGGUUGUUAGUUACACGAAGAUUAGUUACUAACAGAAGUCAUAAUCGGUACGUUUAAUCAUUGAAAGAAUCUUCUUCCUCCUUAGAUAUUUUUCUACCCAAUUUCUAGAUUCUUCUUUAAGAUUAAAAGUAUUGGGGGAAAUUUAAUGUGUGGAGUAGGACAAAUGCAUGAAAGAGAAAAUCAAAGAAUAGUUAAAUCUUAUUGAUGAUAAUAGAAAGUAAUGAGAACUCUUUGAAUCCUUUUGAAGUAUCAAGAAAAAUUUAAUGAAUCGAGUAAGAUGAAUGCGGGAAAGAGAAAAAAAAUGAAAAAACAAGAAACUUGUUGAUGAUAAAGGAAAGUGAUGGGAGCUCUUUCAGCCUUGGAAAGUAUAAAAGGAAAUUCAACACGUGAAGCAGUACGAAUGUGUAUCGAAUAGUGAAAGAGUUCUGAUUUUUUAUGUUUAAUCUCGAAAAGAAAACAUAAAAUACGUAUAAACUUUCCUUGAACAUGAGAAAAAUGCAUGUUUUCAGGUAGAUCAAUUGUUGAGCUAAUACCAAGAAGUGGAGUUUUUCCAAUGCAAAUGAUCAUUCCUUUUCACAAGGGGCUUACAUAGCUUUAUUUGAACAAAGAUUCAAAUAUUUCUUUUAGGUGCUCGCCACAUUAGGUGAUUCAGUGUGAUUUUUUGAAAGUUGACAUUUUUUGGCUUAUAUGAUGUUACUUCACACUCACUGUUCCAAAAAAAUGUUAAUUUAACAGCAACCAGGUAUCUUUCCAAACAAUCCUAUAUAUGAUAUAGUGGGAAAACGAGUUUGCAUUACUUCAAUUCAAAAUACAAUUGUUUUACGAAGGGAGUGAACGUAGCAUUAUUCAUGCAAUGAUGAUAAAUGUUUGCAUCUUGAGAAUUGAGUUUGUGGCGGUUGAUGUUAGCAAGACUUUAUGACUUUCUCAGUUCACAUUCAAUAAUCUUAAGUUUGUUUAUUUUAAUAAUAAGUUCACCAUUCAGUAUGAGCUGAUAAUUUCAAUCAAAGGGGUCCAUGAUAAAGUUUUAAGCUAUAUUUUAAAUAGGUAUAUAAAUAGCUCAAUGUAUGAAUUUCCUCCGUUUGUAUGGUAUAUUGGUCGGAGCACGACAUGUUAUGAGUUGAGUGCAGAUUCGAGUUUGAACCCUAUAACAAAAAGGGUUGCUAAUAGAAUAUAGAUAAAGAUACCAAGAAUCUCUAACCAUGUGUCUGUAGUCCUCGCAAAUUUAUCUACUAUUUAAAAAUAUAAGUAUAUAAACUUCAGAAAAAAAUUAUAAGUUGUGAUUACAUAUUUUAUUGUUAGGUCAAGGGUAAAGUUGAUAAACAAGAGAGGAGGAUGUCACACAGCCAAAUGAUAUGACCUAUUUUUUUUCUUAUACUAUUUUUAGUUGUAUCAUUAUUAAGUAUCAUGUUUUAUCAUUCGUUAGGAAAAUCUACACCUUAAGUUAUCGAUUCAGUUGUACCUCAGUAGGAUUAAUUCAAACUUUAUAUUUGUGUCGAAAGCUCACCUAACAAUAACAAUAUGCUGGCCUCAAUCGAUUUUAAAAUUUAGAACCUAUGAAUUUUUAACAUCUUGAAUCUGACUUUGACCCACAUAUUUUAGUUUCCCUAUCAUGCAAUGCUAUAAUCAUACUAAAAGAAAUAGUUUUACUCCAUAUUGUCAUAAAUAUGCAUAUAUAUAUGUGUGUGUAUAUAUAUAUUUAAUUUCUUGGUUAUUAGUGGUUGUACAUAGUUUUAUCUUCUCAAUGAUAUUUAUUCUGAUCAAUCUUUUCACAUUCAUUAAAUACUUUAUAAAGUGUAUCGUAAGGUGAGUUUUUCCAAUAAUUUCAUUUUCUUUCUUUGGUUAGAUUUCUCCUCCAAAAAGAGUCUACUUCACGUAAAUAUGUGCCAAUAUAAUUGGUUUAGCUAUAAAUAUAGACCACACUUUUUGUAUUAUUGCUAAUCUAGCAGCAUAUUCACUUCUUUUAGUAUAAUAUCUAUUUGUUAAAAGUUUUUGUUGCAAUAAAACUCAAAUUGAUAUAAGUUAUGCCUUUGCAUAUUUGAACUUUUAUAUGUGGACAUGGACUAUGUAUGAAGCACGCAGUUUCAUAGUUAACUGUGUGUUUCUGUAAUUUAAAAUGGUAUGAAAUACACGUGUGUUUCACGUUUUCGAGAACUAGUUUAUCAAAAAAGUAUAACGGAGGGUGAAAUGAUCCUUUUCCAAGUGUAAAAGGGAAAAUAUGACCCUUUUCCUUUAUAAAUAUAUCAAUUUCAUUAAAACAUUUUGAAGAUUUCAUGUGCGAAUUCCCGAUCAAACUUAAACUUUGGGACUCCCAUGAACAAAAAGUGUACCAUAAAUUGGUAGAGAGUGAUGAAGACAACUCGAUAAAGAAAACAAUAGUUGAAGAAAAGGAAAUAACAAUGUUAUUAAAUCAUAUUCCCACUAAACCACGAAUGUCAUUCCACUAAAUGAACUCACCUAAACAUUAGGGAUACAAUUCUUCAUUACUACACAAUAGAAAAACUAUCAAGAGUAUAAAGAAAACAACUACCAACUGAAAGCUAAAAUAUAGAUCUACUGCAGACUUAGUCAAACUAAAUAAUAGUGGUUGAUGUUGUACAACUUUUAACACCCCUCUCGACAUCAGCUUCGGUCUUAACCAUGCCUAGUUAUUGACAUAAACUUUCAAACUUAUGGAAACUUAAGCCUUUCGUGAGCACGUCUGCAAUUUGUUGCUCAGUUUUAAUAUGUUGUAAAUCAAUCUCUCAUUGCAACACUUUUUCCCUGAUGAAGUGGUAAUGUAUUUUCACGUGUUUCUUUCUAUCAUGAAAAACAGGAUUUUCUGCGAAGCAAAUUGCUGACUGAGUAUCACUGUACAAGUUAGCUGAGUAGCCAACUGGUUUGUGUAAAUCCUUAAUCAAUUGCAUAAGCCACAUACUUUCUUGUGUUGUAACUACUGUUGCCCUCUACUUUCCUUCGUUGUUGACACCGACACAGUUGGUUGCCUUUUGCUGCACCAUGAAAUCACUCCAUCUCUGAGAUUAAAUACAUAGCUAGUUUUUGAACCUUGGGUGAUCCCCUGCAUAGUCAGAGUCACAAUAUCCGACCAACUUGCAUUCUUCACCUUUCUUGUACAAAAGACCAUAAUCAAUUUACUUUUCACUUAUCUUAGUAUUCGUUGAAAAACCUCCAUAGGGCGCUUCCUUGGAUUAUGCAUGUAGCGACUCAUCACACCAACUGCAAAAAAAAUUUUAGGUCGAGUCUGAUUUAAAUAUAUCUUAUUACCUACCAAUUGUCGAUACAUCGUCACAUAUGCUAAGUCUUUUCCUUCAUGUGCACAAAUCUUAGCAUUUGGCUCCAAUGGUGUUUAUAUUGGUUUUCAAUUCAACAUGCCAAACUUCAACAACAUAUCUUUAGAAUAUCUUUUCUGAUGCAAACAAAUUUCAUCUUCAUUACAAUCAACCUCAAAGCCAAGAAAAUGGUUGAGUUGACCAAGUUCCUUAAUCUGGAAGCAAACUGACAAAUUCUUCUUUGAUAGAAGAAUUUCUUCUUCACAGUCUCCUGUUCGAAGUAGAUCAUCCACAUAUAAUAGCACAAUGGCUAGUUUCUUUCCAACAAUUUUCACCAACAAGCUGGAAUCUGCCGGUGCUAUAGAAUAACAACUAUGAGUAAGAAAUUAAGAAAUCUUACCAUACCAUGCCCUUGGUGCUUUCUUUAACCCAUAUAGCUCUUUUAGAAUCUUACAUACAUACUUGGGAUGAUCUUGACUCUGAAAUCCCAUUAGUUGACACCCAUAGAUCUCUCGAUACAACUCUCCGUGCAGAAAGACAUUUUUUAUGUCCAUGUGUCGUAGGUUCCAAUUUUUACUGGCAGCAAGUGCAAGUAUGAUCGGGACUCUAGUAAGAUUAGCCAUUGGACUAAAUGUUUCAUCAUAAUCUAGUCCAUAUUGUUGAGAAAAGCCCCGUGCUGCAAGAUGAUCUUUGUUCCUUUCAAUUGACCAAUUUGUGUGACUCUUUAUCUUGUUAAUCUAUUUGCAAGAAAUAGGUUUGACAUCUCUUAGAUUUACCACGAGCUCCAAAGUUUGAUUUAGUUCUAUCGCAUCAAUCUCCUCCUUUGUAGCUUUAAUCCACGUCGAAUUUUGUAAUGCUUCCUCAAAAUUCUCUUGUUCUGUUUCAUCUUUUUCUACUACUAUGGCAGCAUUGGCAUACUUUGGAUUAAGCUUUUUGUUUCUUGAUGACAAUCUAAGAGACGUGUUUGUUCAACUUAGCUCGUCUGCUUCACUUUGAUGUUGAUAUACACAAAUUUGCCAAGAAUUUUGAGCCACGCCUUUUUCAGCAAUAUUAUUGUUAGCUUCAUCUUCAGCUUCAUCUAAACUCAGCUGGACAUGAGACGAGUCCAACACAUCUUUGAGAAUAUUUGAAUCAGACAUGAUCUGUUUAUUUGAAGGCAACCAUGAAGAAGUUUCAUCAAAUAUCACAUUCCAAAAAGUGUAACACUUUCCCGUGCUUGAGUCAAAAAAAUGCCACCCUUUUUGUUGACUGUCAUAUGCAACAAAGAUACACCUAACAACCUUUUUGUCCAUAUGGCUACUUAAAUGGUUAGGUACGAAUACAUAGAAUACACAUCCGAAAGCAUGAAAAUAGCUAACGAACGGUUUCAUAUACCAUAACUUCUCAAAAGGUGAAAGAAAACUUAACCUUUGUUGAGAAAUUCUAUUGAUCACAAAAGCUGCAAUUUUCAUAGCUUCCGCCCAAAAUUGUCCCGAAAUAUUUUUUGCGUGAAGCAAGAUUUGACAGAUUUUUGCUAGGUGUCUGUUAUUUCGUUUUCCUACACCAUUUGGAGUAUUUUUACAUGUCAGUUGACGACGUAUUCGAUACUUCAGAAGGAAUUUAGAGACUAUAUAUGAUGUGUAUUCCCCACCAUUGGCAGUUCGCAGACAAAGAAUUUUCUUGCCAACUUCUUUUUCAACAACCUUUAUAAAUUUUUUGAAUUUUAAAAAAAUGUAUAAGACUUUUUCUUCGGAAAAUAAAUCCAUAAAUACCUGGAAAAAUCAUCAAUGAAGGUUAACAUAUAUUUCAUCCCACCAACAGAGAGUUGCUUGAGAGGUCCAAAUACAUCAGAGUGAUAUAAUUCUUAUGGUUCCUUGGCCUUAUAUUUUAAAUCCUCGUAUGAAAAUUGAUGUGCUUUACCAUAUUGGCAAUCCACACAUAAAACAUUUGUCCUUAGUGGAAGUUUUGGAAGACCCUUCAACAUUAACUUUUCCAUUAUGACACUUAAGUAUUGAGUAGCUAACGUGCGUCAACCGCACAUGCCAUAAGUCUGCAAUUUCAUUCUUCCUUGUCAUGUCUAUAUAUGUGGUUUCUCUCGACAUAACAUAAACAGAAUUCAAUCCUUGUCCCGUAUUUAGUGGCUUUUUUUAAUCUCAAGAUCUUGAUAUAUACUUACAUCUUGCGGAAAAAGUAGAAUAAAAUGACUCGUAGAUGUUAGUUGUGCUACUUAAAGAAGAUUUUUCUUCAUUCCUUGGACAUUAUAAACAUUUUGAAGAAACAACAUAUCAAUAUUACUAUUUGGUGACACUACAGCCUUACCGAUACGAGUUAUCGAUAAUUUUUUAUUAUCAGUUGUCACCACUUCACGAUUUCCCUUGUACUUGAUUAGAUUUUGCAUCUUCUCCUUGUCGCCAUUCAUAUUGUUUGAUCACCCUAAGUCAACAAUAUAGUCACUCUCAUAAUUAAUUUGUGUAGAGGUUGUUACUGUAAGAGCUAACUCCUUUUGUUCUACAGCAAAAAAUGCUUCAGCAUCCCAAUCAUCUUCAUUCUUUUUCCUUUGACUAGAAGUGGCUGCAGCAUUGCUCUCAACAGCCUUCUUAUUGAACCAACAAACCUUUGAUUUAUGUCCCAUCUUUCUGUAAAGAUGACACUUCCCUUAAAACCUCUUAUUUUUGCCCCAAUAGUUCUUUGAAGCUCUCAUUGGAUGAUAAUUCUCCUCUCCUUGAUGAUUUUUUUCGUUAUCGUCACUUUUUUUCAUCACAGCUACAUUGUACUACUUGAGUUCCCCCUGCUUUUGUUGAUAUAGAGUGCUUCCUCUUCACUUUUUAUGAAAAUCCGCCCAUUUGCUUAGCCAAGGCUUAUUGCCUAGCACACAUAUUCUCAAACUUUACAAGUGAUGCUUGAACUUUCUAUCCCAGUACUUCAGUAACAAAGUUUCUACACUUAGAUAUCAAACCAUGAAUGAUUAUUCUUUUUAUCCUGGUUUCCCCAGUUGUAGUUUUUUGUUGCACUUUUGAAAUUUCAUGGCAUAUCGACUUCACUUUGUGAAAGUAUUGUGCAAUGCUCAUAUCAUUUUGAGCUAUCUACAAUAACUCACUUUCUAAAAGUUGUUGUAAUGACCCGGAAGGUCAAUUUUGGAAAAUCUGAAUAUUAGUGUAACUUGAAUUAAUUAAUCAGUAUGUAAUGGACUUAUGUAAUCAUUUAAUAAUACUCUAUACACCAUGGGUUAAAGUGAAUUAAAUUAUUUAAAGUUAACGUAUGGGACAUAACUGAAAAGGGUAAAGAGGAGAACGUGUGACCUUGAGAGAACGAGAGGACUGAUUGCGGGGAAAAACAAGAACAAAAGAAAACAUUGUGAAUCUAGUAAAGUAAUCGAGCUUUUCUUCCUUUCAAUAUGAUCAAUAUAUAUGUUUGAUGGUCUGCAUAUUGUAUUUUAUCUUUUUGGAAAAAUUAAGGUUAUUGUGGGAAAUUGUGCAUAACUCCGGAAAUUUUUGGAAGAAGUACAAGACAACAAACAAUGUUACUAUUAUUAAUAUUAUAUUAUUAUUAUUAGUAAAGAUGUAGACCCUGUAUUGAGGGAAAAAAAUCUGCUCGAGUUUAAAGAAAAAAAUUUUGGUUGGCAGGUUUAUAAGAGAUUGAGUAGUAAUUAAUUAAUAAAUUAUAUAAUGGCUGAGAUAUGUUAUUGUUCAGCUUUAGUUAUGUAUGUUUGAAUGUGAAUAACAUAUUGUUAUUUGUAUUUAAAUGGGUUCUUGAUAGGCACAAUAUAAUUACAAUAUAAAAUUGUAAGUGGAGUAUAAUGGUUGCAUGACACACAAUUUACGAGGAAACUCUAUCAUAGGCAUUAAUAAUUCUAUAAAAAUAAGAUAUUAUUGAAUUGGUUGUUGGAAGUUAUUUGAAAAGAAAAUAUAUGUAAAUAUUUGUACUUUUGCAAAGUUGAGAAUGUACGAGGAUAGUGACCUCUACAAAUUAAGCGUUUGACUAGAAGGGUAAGAAUAUAAUAGUAAAUUUAUAGAAAUAUCCUUGUUAUUGUUGUCAUAUUAUAAUUAAAGUUUUGCUACACUAAUAUAGAAAAUUAAUUAUUGGUUUAUUAUAUUGUAUGUGAAUUAUUAGAAUUGGUAUUGAAAAAAAAAGGGACUUAACCUUAGACUUGGAACUUCGAAAAUAUGAUAGUCGAAAUGUUAGUUGACAUCAAGAAUUAUGAAUUUGAUUAUUCAUUUGGGUGAAUUUUAAGUUCAAGGUUAAACACUGAAUAAUGUGGAUGUUUUUAGUUCUGAAAUCUUAUUGUGAAUAUAUAUUUGAAUAGAUUGUAUUGGUUCAUAAGUUCAACGAAAAGGGAAGGCUCAAGUCCUAGAGUGAUUAUUCGAUUGACUAAGGCAAGUGGAUUUCUAAACCCUUGUUAAGCAUAUCAAAUUCCUGUAUUUCCUUGUGUGGUUUUGAGAAUUACUUGGAAACUUGUUUCUUAUUUGUUGGUGUUAUAUUCGUUGUUGUAAAUUGCUCUUUGUUAUCAAAAUGUUUAUCUCCUCAUUUUCGUUUGAGCAUGUCAUUUGCACUACAUAUAAGACAUGGUUGUGGUCAGAGAAUAUAACAUUUCGAGGGAUGUAUAUAUUUCGACGGAUGUGUCACGCGCCAUGAUGGUUUCUAUUAUCGAGGUUCGUAUCACGCGACAUGAUGGUUUCUAUUAUCGAGAAUCGUGUCGUGCGCCGCGACAAAUGCACUCACAGAUACGUCCCCCAUAGGUUAGGUACCUCAAAGGUUUUCUUGGCAAAGGGAUUGAUCAAGAAAGAUCUUUUGUUCUUUUUAUAUAUAGGUUCGUGAUUGGAUCCGCAUAUGUUUGGUAAAGAGAAUAAUUGUGAAUAUUGCAUACCAGCGGAUCUGGUGGUCGACAAUCGUUCGGACUUGGUAAAGGUUGUCGCUGCACCUGUAGUAGGACAGAGGACUUAUCGUGAUGCCUGCGUACCAAUUUACCUGUCUCCGGGUGUGUAUCGUUAGGGAAGACAUGCAUUACUAUACUUGACAUUGCAUGUUAUGGCAUUACACAUUUUUUAUUAUUGAUUAACUUGAAUACGUGGUUUGCUAAACUCGUUAGUAUUUCUCUUUGAAAAUUGUGACUGUUGAAUAUUGAGUUGUUAUUGGAAAUAUGUAAACUAAUAGAGUGUGGUUAUUGAGUUGUGUGUUUGGUAAUUUGUGAACUGUUUGUAUUGUGGAGGUUCAGAUAGGGUGUAAGAAGUACCCGUAUUUUGUUCCCUUAACUUGUGCUUAGAGGUUUCCUUGUUGGGUACCGUGUGUCUUGGUACUCACCCCUUGAUUCUACAAAUUUUAUAGGUUACGAGCCCGGAUUUUUGUGAUACCUUCCAUUCUCUUCGUUUUCGAGGCAUCUUGUGGAGUAUUGUGAGGUAGCUUCUUGUCAUCUCAACGAACUUUCGUACUCCAGUUUAUGAAUUUGUUCUUACUUAAAAGACAACUUCAUGUUAUACACGUAUUUUUAUUUCAGUUCUAGUAUUUACAUUCGAGUCUUGUGCUCGUGACUACCAGUUCUUGGGAAUUGAAUUAAGUUGAAUUGUUUUUGUAUUAGUAAUCGUUAUCAGACUUUGUUUUUAUUUAUGCAUUUUAUCAAAAUUAUCGGGUUAGAAUGACUUCUCUUAGUGGGAUAAUACAAGUGUCAUCACGUCCGUUUUUGGGUCGUGACAGUUGUAGUUAUGUCUCGCUUUUCAUUGAAAAGUGUGCAGCCAACGUGUCCUAAGCUUCCUUUGUUGGUCUAGCAUCUGGUAUAUAUUCUUAGACGUCUUCUUGAUGGUGGUCUUGAGGGCAAAUAAUAUUUUUCCUGCUUUAAUCUACCAUUUUCUCAAUGUGCCAUUUGGCUAUUCCUCCCCUAGUUUGACUUCACUUCCAUUGACGAACUCCCAAAGAUCUUGACCUUCAUUUUAGGAAGUCAUACAUGUCAUCCAUGUUUCGUAAUUUUGAUGGUUGAGUUUCUUAUCUCCACCUAUGGCUUGUAAAUCAGUCAUCACAAUAGAUGUGUGGCAUCUCUUUCUCUCUUUUAAACACAACUUUGAUACAAAAUGAUGAGGACAACUUGUGUAACACCCCAUUUCCAAAACACACCAAAAAUGCAGAUUUUCAAAAGUUGCAGGUGCUAGCGACAGAGCCUACUACGAACAGUCAGUCAACUUACGGUCCGUCAGUUGAAUCCGUGGAUAGGCCAGUCAACUUUCCAUCUUCAUUCGCGAACGACGGUCGACCAAUACGGAUUGUCAAUCAACUUAUAGUCCGUCAGUCGACUCCGUCGAUGGGGACUUCAAUCCUUAUUCGCAAAUGAUGGUCGACUAGCACGGACCGUCAAUUGACUUACGGUUGGUCACUUGACUCCGUCAGUGACUCCAACAACAGUUAAUUCAGGGGUCUUUUUGUCUCUUCCUAUUUUGUUGGACCCCUAAGGUAUGUCAUUUAGACCAUAUAUCAUAAAGUUUUAUUUAGUUUAUGUCUAGAAACAUAACUAGAACAUAGCUUAGUCAAAUCAUUAAUCAAAACAUAUAAAAUUAGAAGCAAGAGAACAGAAAAAGGGUCAAGAACCCUAGUUCAAGUAUGCAACAAGUUUCCAUCAAUACCACCCUUUAAAUCAAAAGAUCUCUCCAUGGAAUUCAUCACCAAUUAUGUGGGAUUUCACUAGUGGGUUCCUUUCACCCAUUAGGUCCCUAGUUUUCAGUCAGUUUCUUGAUUCUCUUACUCUGACUAGACCUAGUGUUUCUUGAAUAUUAGAAUGGGAAAAGGGACAAAUAUACCCCCGAACUAUCGUAAAUGGUAUGCCGAUACCCUCCGUCAUACUUUAGGGACAUUGGUGCCCUUGUUGUCCAAAAACUAAAACAUAUAUACCCUUUAAACUAACGGACAUACACGUGUCAUAAUCUUAUCCAUCGACCCGACAUCAGAUCGAUGGAUAAGAUUGUGCCACGUGUCCCUAAUUAAUCAUCCGUUAAAAUUAAGGGCAUAUACGCUCUAGUUUUUGGACGGUAAGGGCACAAAUGUCCCUAAAGUAUGACGAAGGGUAUUUGCAUACCAUUUACGAUAGUUCGGGGGUAUAUUUGUCCUUGUUCCCUAUUAGAAUUAUUUGGUUCUUUAGCUGAUAAAAUUACCCAAAUCAGAUUACCAUGUUGUUAUUCCAUUUAUCACCUGAAUUCUAAAACCCUAGCUAUGUACUUCUUUGGUUCAUGAAUUACACAUGUUAAGUUAGACAUUUAAGUUAUACAUGCAUCAAUUAUUAAUGUAUCAAUAUAAGUUUAAUUAGUUCCGCGGUACACAAAUAGUCCCAAAACUACUGCAAGUAGGUUGUAAAUCCCCUCCAUGGGCAUCAGUUUUUUGGUCAUGCCAGCAUGCUUUUAUAACUCUAGCAGGGUAUAUCGGGCACUUUCAAUGGGGCGUACACAUUAAAGAGAAAAUAUAUAAAGUCACCAUUGAAGUUGUUUUAGAUUUUCAUAGACACCUUUACUUUGCGACUGUCCUAUUAUCCCACUAAACAAUUUUGAACCACGUUAUUACAUCAUUUUUCGAUCAGCCCCAAAUUUUAACAAGCAAGUGAGUUCACACCCCAAUCAUUACAUCACACCUGUUAAUUAAAAUUAUAUUUUUUUCAUUUAAAUUUUCCCUAUUUCUUUUUCCUUCUUUAAUUCUCUCUCUCUCUCUUACUUUUGAAUUUUAAUUUUGAUAUAUCUUAAAUUUUCCACCUCCCACUUUCAUCCCUUCAUUUUCUUGUUUUUCUUCAUUCUCCGACCCCCCAUGAACUCACAUUCGUUUUUUUUCUUUUCUUUGUUGUUCUUCUUGUCCGUUCAAAUUCUUUAUAAAAUUCAUACUAUUAUUUGGACUUUAUUGAAUCACUGAUAACAAAACUAAUUAUUUUUUAAAGAAAAUUAAAAAUUUUGAAGGUAUUAUCAACUACUCAUUUUCAUAUACAUUCAAAAUUAGAAAUUAUAAUUUUAAAAUAAUCAAUUAAUUUAUCAAAAAUUGAAAGAACUCAAUUGAAAUCGAAUAAAAAAAUUAUAUGAUACUUCCUAAUCAUCUUCAAAUCUAAUGAGUUUAUCGAAUUGUUCAAAAUAUAAGAAAAUAUUUAGAUAAAAUUUUAAAAUUAAAGUGAGUAAAACUAAUAUUAAUAAAAAAAAUGUGCAGUUGUGAUAAAAAUGACAAUGAAAGUAAGAAGUUGCAAUGGAUGGAUAUGAAAAUCAAUUUUUGAAUAGAAAUAAGAAAGAAAGAGAAAAAUAAAAAGGAGAAAAAAAGUUAAAAUCAUAAAAAGAUUAAGAAAAUAUAUUUUAUAAUAAAAUACUUGUAAAAAUAAUACUAUAUUAGCUAUUUUAUGGUGCUUACUCUCUUUAAGAGAGUGUAUAACUCUUGUUAGAUGGACGAAAAAUAAUGUAAGUACAUCUAUUCAAAAUUGUUUAGUGGGAUAAUAGGUUGCAAAGUUAAGGUGUCGUUUUAAAAAUUCAAGACAACUUCAGUAUUGACUUUAUAUCUUUUCUCUACAUCAAACAACAUAUUUAGCUCAUAUGAUUUUAUUAUCGGUUAUUAGUAGCUCCAUAUUUCAGUCAAACUCUAUUGAACUGACCAUAUUUACAAUUUGGUUGGUAUUCAGUCUAAGCAUGUUAUAAAUUUGGUCAUUGCAUCCUGUUAGCUAAGCAUUCAGUAUAUGAUGUUAAAAAUAUUAUACUUCCUUUUGGGAUGUUAAAUUUUGUAUUAUUUCAACUCUACUCUAUCCUACAUGCUCAGUACCUUUCAAGUACUGAUGCAUAUGUGCAGUAAAUCUUCUCGUGAUGUAGGUUCCAGUUCUCAACAUCAUGAUCACUCUUAGAUCGAUUUUCCAUCUCUAGUUUAGCAUAAUUAGUGGUCAACCCUCAUUCUCCGAAGACAAUAGUCAUGAGUUUUUUUCCGGUAUUUUUAGUACUUUAGUUUUAGUUUUGUUAGAUAGUCAGUUAGAGGUUAUUUUCAGUCAUAGUUAGUUUCAACUUAUUAUUGAGUUAAUAUCUUCUUUGUAUUAAACUCAUCAGUUUUUAGAUAUCUCGGUUAUAGUAUACGGCCCAUUUUUUUCAUUGUAAUUAUAUUUAUAUGCUCAUGAUCAUAACAACAGGGUUAGCUUGGAAUCACUUGUGAUCCUAGGUCCAGUGUCCGCGUCUCGGGGAUAGCUCGAGGCGUGAUAACUUAUAGAGAAACAUGUAAGGCCCCGUAUCUAAAACAAACGAGAUUUUAGUUUUUCAGAAAUUGCAGGUACAAUCUACGGUCACCAUCUACGGUCCGUAGUCUGAUCUACAACCCUUAUAGUAGGUCCGUAGUUGACAACUGCAACCCCUCCCAAACUCAACUUAAAAAAUAGACUAAGUCUCGACCCACAGAAAAAACUAAGGUCCGUAAGUUAGACCACGGUCCAUGUUCUUUCUUGGAUUGAGUCUCAUGUUACCCAGCCUCUGACAUAAACUAUGGAUGCCCAGCACGGUCGUCAUUCGAUCUACGAUCUGUAUGUCUGACCAUAGGUGAAGUUAGCAUUUACUUAAGGGGAAAUUGCUGAUUGGGUGAACUUCAUAUAGUCAUAACUGUUUGCACAAAAAGAAGUAGGUGUACUAUGACCUAUAUAUGAUAGACAAUUAAAUCCUCUUUCCAAUGCCGCUGAGUUUGCUAAAACCGACCUCCGAGUAAAACUUUAUGACCAUUUUAGUAAAGGCGUGUCGAACAAACUCUAAUGACGGACCGUCAAUCUUGGUUGUCGAUUUCUCCGACAAUAAUUAUUUCAGGGGUAUUUGGAUCUUUUCCUAGUUCAUGCAACCCAAUACAUCGUUUAAACCUAAAUCAUGAUAUUUUAGUCAGUUUAAGCCUAUAAAUAUAACUAAAACUUGACUAUGUUGAAUCAUUAAUCAAAACUUAGAAAAUUAGAAGCAAGAGAGGAGAAAAAGGUCAAGAACCCUAGUUCAAGAACGCAACAAGGUUUCAUCAGUUCCAGCCCCAAAAUCUAAAGAUUUCUCUGUUGAUUUCAUCACUAGGUAUGUGGGAUUUCACUGGUGGGUUCCUUUCACCCAUUAGAUCCCUAGUUUUCAGUAAUUUUCUUGAAUCCCUAAUCAUGACUAGACUUAGGGUUUCUUGAAUGUUAGAAGGGUUCUUAGAUAUUAGAAUGAUCCAAAUCAGUUUAUUACGUUAAUAUUUAGUUUAUCGCAUGAAUUUCAUAACCCUAGCUAUGUAUUUCUUUAGCUCUUGAAUGACACAUAUUGGGUCAGAUAUUUUAGUUAUUCAGUUGUGCAUGCCUCAGUUAUUAAUGCAUCAUGAUCAUAUUAAUUGUUGCAUUCUCAGUUUGCAUGUUGAGUUUGAGCUAUCCAAUAUUUAUAGAAACUCAGUCAUAAUUAGUUAACUACUUAAAUCAUUGGGAGUAGCAUAACACUGAGUUGGACUAGGGAUAUAACACACAAAAAUAGUCCCAGAACUACUAGCCAAGUAGGUUGUAAGUCCCCUCUGUGGGCAUCACUUUAGUGAUCACGCCAUUAUGCCUUUAUACCUCUAGCAGGGUUUAUUGGGUCCUCUCGAUGGAGCGUAUAUAUCAUACUCAACAUUUCGCUCAUGCGAUUUUAUUAUCGGUUAUUGGUAGCUCCCACAGUUCCAUCAGACUCUAUUGCAUUGACCAUAUUUAUAGUUCAGUUAGUAAUCAAUCUCAACAUGUUAUAAAUUUGGUCAUUGCAUCCAGUUAGCUCAACAUUCAGUAUAUCAUGUUCAGAAUAUUAUACUUGCUUUUAUGCUUAUUCAGUUAUAUAUUAUUUCAGCUUUUCUCUAUCCUACAUGCUCUUACCUUUCAAUUACUGACACAUACAUGCUACAUCUUCUCUUGAUGUAGGUUCAUGUUCACAGCAUCCACAUCACAGCUCGGUAGAAUCAGUAAUGAGUCCUCAUUCUUGAAUGACAAUAGUCAUGAGUUUCUUUUCAGUAUUUUAGUCCUUUAGUUUCAAUUUUACUAGACUUAGCUAGCGCCUUUCCCAACAUUUCUAGUCAGUUAGUGGCUAUUUUCAGACAUAGUUAGUUUGAGCUUAGUAUUGAGUGAAUAUUUUCUUUCUAUUGAACUCAUCAGUUUUUUUAUGUAUUUCAUUUACACCAUAUGAGUAUUCCCUAUAUUUUCAUUUUACAUAUGAUAUAGCUUCUGCAACAUGUUAUUAUCUUUAGUAUGUUUAAGAUCAUGCCAGCUAGGUUAGCUUGGGAUCAAUUGUGGUCCUAGGUCCCCGUGUCCGCAUUUUGGGGAUAGCUCGAGCGUGAAAAAACCAAUAGUUGAAAAACAAGAAAUUGGAGGAAGAAUAAAAGAUAACUAAAUUUUGUUCCAAAGAUUAUUACUGGAUGAUAUUAUUUUAUAGACUUUGUAGCUUUAUAUAAGUUUACAUUUUAUGGAAUCAUAUUCCACUAAACCACUAAUGUAAUUCCACUAGAGCAACUCACCUAAACAUUAGGAACACAAAUCGGCAAUACAACACAAUUGAUAAACUAUCACGAGUAAAAAGAAAAUAACUAUCAACUGAAAGCUAAAAUAUAGCCAUACUGUAGACUUAGUCAAACUAAAUAAUAGGAGUUGAUAUUGGAGCAGAGAGGGAGUAUUAUUUUAAUUAUGUUAAAUGUAAUUUUCCUAUGCACCUUGUACUUAACUUGAUAUCAAAAUAUAAAUUUUUCUAUACAGCAAAAUUAUAUCAUAUUGCCUUUAAAAUUCUAGGAAAAGUGAUAAGUAGGACUUGUCUAAUAUCCCUAUAUGAAAGAAGAAACUUAGGAGUUAUUGUUAUUUUUCACUCAACAAGUUACGCCCACGUAAUUUUGUUCAUCAAUUGUGUGAAAUAUGUAAAAAAAACACUAAUUUUGACUUAAGAUUAAUACUGAAAGUCGUUUUCUUCUCAAGUAAUAUUUAUCUGAUUGUCUAUUAGAUUUUAACAUAUUAACAAUUUUGAAUUAAGACUUACAUUAAAUUCUUUGAGUUAUUUUUUUUCCUUUUUCUUUCUGUUGAUCUGUAUUUUUCUCAGUUCAUUGAAGAACAACAUUGCAUCUAACUUCCAAUUUUCUAGUAAUUUACAUAAUUUAAUUUCAUGGGCCACAAUAAGGUUGUAAUAAUGAAAAUGGAUGAUCCAGAAUAAACAUUUCUACACAAAGAGGAAGGAUAACAUUGUUGAUUGAAGGGCAUUUUGGAGCGAAUAGGUGGAUGAGAAGGAAUUUUGUUCACCAAUUGUGUAAAUAUGUUGAAAAACACUAAUUUUGACUAAAGAUUAGCAAUGAAGGCCGUUUUCAUUUCAAAAAAAGAAUUAUCUGAUUGUAUAUUAUAUGGUAACAUACUGACGUCUUUAACAUAAAAAUGGAAUGUUAUUGCAUUAAUUAUUUGAGCUAUUUUGCAUCAUUUAAUUUCACGGGUUGCAAUAAGGUUGUAAUGUAAAAUAAUGAGGAUCCAACAUCCUGUCAACAGUUCUACUAAAAUUGCAAGGAUAUCAUUUUUAAGAAGUCAAAUGAGUGAGUUGGGGUUUUUAUAUGAUACAUGUAUUGCACUGCUAAUGUUUUCUCCAAUGGUGAGUGAUCAACUAUUCUAGCCGAGAAAGGUUGAUGAAAUUUCUACAAUAUUUUCCUUUUUGAGUUUGAAUGUUAUAUGUUCUGUUUAUGAUACAAAAAGUGAUGUAAUUUCUUUUGAUUGCUCAAUUUUGAGGAUAUCAUGAUCAAUGCAAUGGUAUGAUUAUUUCAAUAUGUCAAAAUCAUGAAUUAGACUUUGCCAAUUUCAUUCAAGUGACAAACACAAAUGUUUUUUUUGUUGAAGAUCUAUUCCAAAUCCAAAUGAAGAGGUACUAAAUUUUGCACAUCUUUUACUGAUGUUUGGAGUUUCAUCUAACCUUGACUUUUAUUUUGCAACAUUUGGUGCAGAGUCUCGUGCAAGCAAAAUCUAAAUAAGAAAUGAUUGAAAAUAUUGCUAUGUAUGACACACUUACUUUUCUCGAGUUCUUUUCUUCUGAUUAAUUUCUUUGUUUUGUGGUACUUUCUACGUGAUAGAAUAUUUUUUGUUAUUUUUGUUAGAUAUUUUUACGAUGUUGAUGAUUGGAAAAUGUGCUUUGUGUUAAGGUAAGGCUUGAUGUUUCCACACUAGUGUCGAUUGUGUAUACUUAAAAACUCUUAGGAUUAUCACUCUAAUAGGGCAAUAUUUAGAAGGGGCAUCACCUUCGGUCAGUAGUUAUAAGCCUAUAUUUAUCAUUACUAAAAACUCCUAACUUGAUAUUUUUUUAAUGUAUUUUCAUAAUAGGCUCAUAUGGCGAAGUUUAAUGACCUCAAACAAACACUAAGUGAAGCACAUGAGAAAAUAAGGUUGAGGAUUUCUUCUCUGUAUUUUUAGAUAUUCUAAAAAUGUUCUCUUUUAUAACGAUUUGUUUCCUUAGAUCGGUCAGCUCCUAUGAACCAAGAGUGGAAAAUAUCAAUACAAUCGAAGAAACUGAUGCAUACAAGCAGUAUCUUCUAGGUGCUACGAAAUAGAUUCAACGAUCCAAAGUAAGCCUAUCGCAAGCAUGCAUUUUUUAACUUCUAUUUUCAUUAGGCAAAAAAAACAUAAAGCUCAAUACUUGACUCACCCUCCUCCAAUAAACACACAUACACAGAAUGGCACAAAUUUGUUAGUUGAAUUAAGAUCGGCAUGAUCAUGUUUUAUAUUCUUCUUACCUGGAAAAACUCUUGGAUAACCAGAAAAGUCUCAAGAGAAAUGAAAAUGUCGCGGUAAGACAUUUUUUUAUUGUGUCAUAUUUGAAGGAAUACUUAAUUGUUUUUCAAACAUCUUGUAUGAAAUUGACUAUUAACAUUAUGAUCUCUAGAUGGAUUCGGUAACACAGAGGAUAUGGCUUGUGACGAAUUAUCUUUAUUAUCAAACUACUCAUCGAAUGGUAUAAAUAUUAGUAAAUCUAUACAAUAACUUACAGACUUCAGUCUCAAACAAGUUGAUGUGAACUCUGCACUCCUUCAUUUAAACUCAGAGGAAUAUAUUGAAUGUUGUUUCUCUAAAUUUGUAGGAACCAGUAGGGGAUGGAAGAUUUGAGGAAACAGAUUGGAUGACAGUGGAGAGGUAGUUGUAUGUGUCCAACAGAUUCAACAAGGAAUUAUGAUAUACUAGUUUAUUUAUUAAAAACUUAGUAGAAUGAAUAACUUGCACCAUCCAAGCAAGCAAGAAUAUAAAUUAUGUUGCAUAUGCAUAUUAUUAAUGCAACUUUAAUAGUUCUUAUAUGAUAGGAAAACAUAGAUAUUAGUAAGUACACAAAUAUGUAGCUACUUAAAGAAACUAUAUUAGUAAGGAAAAAUAAAACUAAAUAAAUAUUAUAAAAGUACAUUUAAAAUCGAAUCUAAAUGUCAUAAAUUAGUAAUUUAAGCACUAAUAAAAAUAGACUUAUAACAUUCAUAAUUUCAUAGAAGAUUAUAUUAAAGAAGUAUAAUCGGUAAAGAAUACAAAAAAAUUAAACAGAUAAGAAUAAAUACAACAUUCAUAUCCUUCUUAAGACUUUUAUUAUAACAAUAUAUAUAGUAAAAAGAAAUACACAAGGAGUAGAGUAUUUUUUUCUCCCGUAACAAAAAAAAAUUAAAAUGAUAAAGAUAAAAUUUAAGAUACAAAAUAUCAUUCUAACGAAGAUCGACAAAUAUUAAUAUUUUAAAACAAAAAAAAAGUACCCGAAAAUUUUCUGAUGAUUCACAUCAACACGAGGCAAGUGGUAAAGAAAAAUUAUUUUUUCAUGAUACAUAUAUAUAGCUAAAUAUGCAUUGGAUAAGAUGAAAAGGUGAAGAGUUGUUUAAGUUAAUUUUUAGAAGUUAAGUGAUCUUAGACAUGGGGUAGAGGGAAAGGUGAUUGUUUUUACUAAUAAUUCAAUACACUUAUUUAUACUAACUAAAGAGAGAGGAUAACAAAUUUAAUCAUUUAGUCACAUUAAUUAUACAGAAAGAAUAGAUAAUUUUUAUUUUUUUUAAAAAAUAAUUCCUAACAAUUUCCUAUGAAAUAAUUUCUAACAAUUUUCUAUAAAAUAUUUUUGUCUUUCAAUGUUUGACUUUACAACUUCUUAUUUUUAAUAUUUAGUAUAAUAUAAUAUAAUUAUUACUUAAUAUGUAAAUAAUUAGAAUUUAAACCAUUGUGUCUAGAUGCAUGUAUUUAAAUAUGAUUAUUUAAUAUUAAAUUAAUUAUACAUUAAUAUUUAAUUAAAUUUAGGAAUAAAAUAAGGGAAAAAUGGUAAUUCAACUUUUAAGUUAGGAGCUUCCCACUUAUAAUAAUAUAUGAUAUGAUAAGAGAUCUGGAAAAAACUAUUUAUAUUUUUUAUUCAUUUUGUAAUUGGUUAAGAAUUAAUAUUUCACGACAUAAAAACACUUCUACAUAUAUUCUUCAAACCUUUUAGAAUAAUUAUUUUUCUUGGACAUGCUUUUUGCGCGUGUAUGUUAAAUAUACAAGUAUACUAUUAGUAAAAUCACAUAUAUUACUCUCUUCAAUUUAAAAAUUGUGAAUGGUUUAGGUAAUACACACCAAAAAUAAACUGAACACUCUUUCUUACUUUUGUCCUUCGAGUUAUUCUCAAACUUCUAUGGAAAAUGCAAUAAUUUAAAGUAAAAUCAAUAAAUAUGAAUAAUUAACUCUCUUAGGUCCCCUACAUAUACAUGAUUCAGAUGUGCACAGUUGUUAUCCUACAAAAGAUACUGGUGAAUUUUUAAAGGAAGGAUGGGACUAUACAGUGAUAAGAGAUUUUGUGCCGGAAUAUGUGGUGGACCAUGUUCAGGAAAAUCUUCACCCUGCGUAUUUCAGUAAUAAAAUUGAUAAAUCUUGAUGGACUGAAAUUAGUAAUGGUAAAUUCAUAGUAAAAUCAGUUUUGGGGACUUUUGAGAAACAAGAAAGACAACAUCGAAAACAUGUAAAGUUAUGGAUAAAAGGUAUUCCAUUCAAAAUCUCAUUCUUAAUGAGGAGGACUUUGUUUGGAAAGAUCUUUGUGGCAUUUUUAAUGCGCAAAUAAAAUCUCAUCCUUAAAGAGGAGGACUUGGUUUUCAAGUGAUUGUAGAUGUUGAGUUAUUCCUGUAGAAGAGACAAUUGAGCAUCUUUCACUUAAUGUAGAAGUAGCUACCUAUAUAUGAAAUUAUUUUAGGUAUGCAUGAGGAAUCCUCGAUCCUAAUAUCAUUGUGUGGUUUUUGUGGAAAAGGAGAAAUACAUGGAGGUAUUUUUUCAGAUGAUAGAGUGAUAUCAGGUAUUAUUGAUACAGUUUAAAAUCAUGUAUGUAAGACUUAAAUUAAACUGAAGCAGAAAUUCUUGGCCUCAUAUUCUAUCAGGAUUGGACCAAUAUAAGCCUAAUUUUGAAUAUAAAAUCUAGUGGUUGCUAGGGUUUCAAGAUUAAGGAUACUACAAUCUUGGUGGGAGAAGCUAGAGCUAUAAGGGAAAGCCUUUCAUAUUGUAGUGAAUAUGGUAUUACUAAUCUUAUUAUUGAGACAAAAUCACUAGCGAUGGUUCAUAUAAUUGAGGUUGACUGGGAUGUACCCUUGAAUGUUGCAUUGGUAGUUAGUAGCAUCAGGAUGUUAUGAAGAAGUGUUUCAGCAAGAGUAAAGCAUUCCCUUAAGGAGGAAAAUGCUCUUGCUGAUUUUUUUACGAAUUCAAUGUUCUCUUUUGCAGGUAAUUUUUUCGAUCAACUAUUUUCAAGAUACUCCAACUGAGGGAAGAAAAUUACUCAAUCUAGAUAUACAAGGAACGUCAUACAUAAGAAGAAACAAGAAAAAAUAAAUAGAAACCUAACAACAACACCAAACAUUAAAUAUUCUUCGGAUUAUAAUCAGAUUCGUGCAAGAGUUUGUAAUAUUUCUAAAUAGCUAAUCUAGUGUUUGAAGUAAAUUCAAUAAAUUUUGUACUUACACCUAGUGAGAGCUUGGGGCAUCUAAUGGUACCAAAUCAAGGCAUUAGCUUCUUGUGGAAAUUAGUCCACUCCAAUCGAAUUGACAUAAGCAUAGAAAAAGAAGCAUAACAAGUUCUCAUUAUUAAGUAAUAACUUAUUAAAAGGUUCAACACACCAUUGUUGAAGCUCUAGUUGAGAAGAGAGUAGAUGAAGAAAUGACUGAAACUUUCCAAUUCUGCAGAUCGAGUGUUUUAUUUUUAUUAAUUUGUUUACUUAUUUAAUUUUUUUAUUUUUUGUUUCCUUUUUGAUUCUGUAGAAGCUCUUGUUGGGCCUAAUUUAAAAUUUUUAUUAUGUAAUAAUAAGCCCAGACAAUUGUCUGUUGUUAUUUGGAAAAAAAACUCGAAGCUCCAUUCCUCAUCAAUUAAAGCUUUAGUUGGAGAUAAAAGUUCAUUUCACAUAAAAUUAGUGGUGAUGAAAAUGCUUAAUAAUGGAGAAGUUUUCUAUUGACCAAUCAUGUCUUGCGCUCAAUUUGAGAAAAUAAAAUAUAAAUGAAUAUAAAAAUUCGAAUUAAAAUUGUUUAUAAUAAUGAACUCAUAGAUAUGAGGUUUAUCUUUUGAAAUUUACAACUAACACCAUAAUACAUCUUAUGGCGUUGUAAUAUUAGUGAUCCCAUCCAAUUUACACACUCCCUGCCCUAAGCCCCCUUAAAGGAAUUUUAGAGUUGAUUGAGAAGUAGAUCUCUAUCUUUUUGGUGAUCUUCUAGGAAAAAAAAUAAACAUCAUUUGUGUACUUGAAAAUAAAGGUAGCUUCCAUAAGAUGGAUGGGCCAUAUUAAUUAGAAGCUUUGAUGAUAUAAGUACCAUUCUAGUGGUUAAAAGAUAGUAGAGGUACAGAACUAUCCCAUCCUUUUGGUCUAGCUUCCUUAACGCCAAGUAUUGUACUAGACUUUAUGCAGUUGCAAAGUUGUGUGUAGUAAAACUUCUCAUAGUUUGAGACAGAUGAUGAAGAUCAAAAAACUGGGUUGAACUUAACGUUUCUGAUUGUGAUUGAGUGGUAGAGGAAUGUGUAGUGGUAUUGAUUGAGGUUAGGGUGACAAUAAUGAUUUUUGGAGGAGGAUUAAAACCAAGAAUAAAUGAGUCAAGAGAAAAGGCUUUGAGUAUGUUGAGGGUAUUUUCUUUCUAAAGAGAUUUUUUUUAACCAAAAGUUUUAGGCUUAUAGCCUAUUUAUUUUCAUUUAUAAAAUAAUUAGCUCCAAAACUGGCCCAAUGUUAGAACUAAACAGAACAAAAUAAAAGUCAAAACCUAAAGAGACAAACCAAUAUAUGAGCAUUAAUUUACUUAAAAUGGUGGAAGAUGGAGAGGCAUAGAGGUGUUGGCAUCAGAGAUGGGGUCGAGCAUCAUUUUCAGCUAAUCCAGUUUCUGCACAAUGUUUUGCAACCACGAGGUGAACUUCAACUUCAUCUUCUCAGUUGUACUUUUUCUACUCUCUCUCUUAAAAUACUUGAAUGAGGUUUGCUAUAAAAAAUGAUCUUAUUGAACUAUGGAACUUAAAAUCUGGAUAUUGUAGAAGAAAUCACGAGUAAAAUUAGUUUUCCUUUAAUCAAUUUGAAUUUGGUGGAUUGAAUCAAAUACAUUUAAUACCACCAUCACAACCUAAAUCCACAAAAAUAUUACUAAUACUACUAAUUGAUUUUGUGAGGUUAUGUUGAUAUACUCCACAACACUUGUGUAAAAAAAUAGUACCUUUAAUUCAUCGUUCAGUUCUUGUUUCUCCUCUAAUGAUCAUUCAAUAGUUUUCAAUACAUGAAUGAGCAGUAUAUGAAAUUUAACAUAAUUAUAGAUUAAAUAUGCUAUUUUAGCCCCCCUUAAGUCCUGAUUUUAUAUCAUAUGUAACACCUCAAUGCUCUCACCAGGUGCAUGAUAUAUUAACAAUCAGAAACUAAUUGAGACAACUUGAGGUACGUUAGUAGCGUACUCAAUCUAUGAUUCAUGUAAAACAUCAUAUGGAAUUGAGACUUGAUACAAAAGAUUACUUUAUUGAGUCAUACUUGUUUGUCUUAAUAUCAACUACCGAAUCUUGUGUUUAUCUAAAUUGAUGAUUUUGCUUCCUUCACUUGGGACUUCCUGAAAAUGGUUAAAUUUAUGAGUACCCUGUUGUAUUUGACUGCUUUAUCCUCAGCUGUAUAAUUCUUUUGAUUGUAUUUGGAACCUCUUGAAAAGAUCUAAAUUCUUAUGUGCCAGCAAAAGGAAAAACCAAGUUAGCAAAAAAAUUAGCUAAAGUAUUCCCUCCCUUAAGGAGUUUUGUACUCUUACCGACAUAGAGUUUCUUAAUAUGUUGAUGGAAUAGACAUCCACUGUUACAUUCCAAAGUAUUCCGCACCCUCCGUUUAGCAUAUGUACCAAAGCCAAAGAGUCGGUUUCAAUUAUAAUCUUUUGAAAAAUGUUUUCCUAACAACAUUGAGACUUUUUCUAAUAGCAAUAGCUUCAAGAACUACAUUCGUAGAAUCGGGGAUCUGCACCUCUUAGCAAACAUUAACUCUCCUUCAUGGUUUGUGAUCCAAAAGGUAGCAGUACUACUAGGUCCAGGAUUAUCCCUCGAAGCCCCAUCUAUAUUAUUUUUCGACCAUCCCAUGGUGGAGGAUACCAUUUAACCCAUUUCGAAAUAAACUCAGGACUAAAACUAUCUAAUAAAGCAACUAGUUGAGGCCAAGUGGAAGGGAUAUAAGUGUAUUCAGACUCUCAACUUCAUGAAUUUCUACGUUCAAAAUCACUUUACUUGUGGUAUAAUUACCACCAUGAAGUACAAUAUUUCUCCUUUUCCAUAAAAACUAUAAAAUCAAAUUAGGAAUAGCAUGAAAAUAAUGUUUUUGCCUUGUAUUUAAUUGAACAUCUCACCAUUUUUUGACAGACUGCGUUAACUGAAUCAAAGGAACUAAUAUUCUCGCUGAAUAAAAGAAAUAUCGCCACACUCUAUAUGAAAUUUCACCUUUCAAAAAUAAGUUUUCCAUAGUUUCCCUUUUUGGGGCAGUAUAACAUAACCAAAGUUUGGACUGUUACAAUUAUAUAUAGCAACAACUACUGGACCUCUAGUAUUCCAAAAUCUCCAACUAAAGAAUGAUAUCUUAACAGAAAGAUCUUGCCCAUAUCUUCUUGAAAUUCACAUAAUCUGUCGCUUUCUUUCUCAAAAUCUCCCAAGCACUCUUAACUCAGAACAUUCAGGUUCUUGUUUUGAUCUCCGUCCAUAUUAAUUCAUCUAUUAUGAUACAUAUGAUGUAUGAUAUGUUCCACAAUAUGAUCAUUCAAAUGAUCAUGCAUACUAUCAUAAUCCCACCUUGUUUCUUUUAGGAAAAAAUCAAUGUUCGUCAAUGAGUGACAAGUUUGUACUUCAGUUUGAUAUGUGUAAAGAGGCCCAAGUUGGGUCCAAUUAUCAUACCAAACAGAAGAAGUCCCACUCUUAGGUUCCCACCAUUGAAUUUUUUCAAUGCACUCCCUAUUGUGUAACACAUUUUUCCAUAGUUGAGAUCUUCCUUUCCAUUCAGCCAAAGUUGGAAUAUGCUUCUUACAGUAUUUAUUCCACAUAAAAUUACCCCGUAAGGUGGUAUUUUGAGUCAUAAAUCUCCACCAUAAUUUUGCAUACAUUUCUUUAGAAACAUCAAACAUGGACCUAAAACCCAAUCCUACUUCCAGUUUAGGUAAAUAUAAUUUCGCCCAUGUAGGCCAGUGUUUACUCUUAGCGGUAAUUUUAUUACUCCUAAUUUUUAUUCCUAAAAUCCUAUGAAGUUCCUUAAUCAUACAUAUAGGAGGAACUAUAGCUGAUAAGACAUGAAUUAGAACACUCAGUAGCACACUAGUGACUAAGACCUCUUUUCCUCCAUAUGACAAUAUAUUUCCUUUGGAAGAUUGAAAUUUUGUAUCACCUUCUUUAUAAUCUCUUUGUAGUGUUCUUUCCCUUUUUUUGGAGUGGGUGAUACGAAGACCAAUAUAUUUUAAAGGAAAAUGACCUUCAGACAUACCAACACAUUCCUCCACCAAUUCUUACUCAGCGGCCCCUGCACUUCUUUAUUCUUUUUUUUUUCAAUUUAUACCACUAAACAGAACGUCUAGUAGUUUUUUUAUUAAAAAUAAAAAUCUUCAAUAUAAAAAGGUAUAUGCAAGGGUUUUGAUUGGCCUUGCCUUUUAAAUCCUAAUGAGGCAACAAACCUCUAUUAAUUAACAAACAUGAAAAAAAGAGCUAGAGAGAACUAGAUAUUUUAUUAUCAUCACAGAAUUUAUAAUACACUCUAUGAUGAUAUUACAAAUAAGAAUACUUGAAAAAUGCACAAAUAUAAAAUCCAAGAAGAAAGUGAGUUAUUAACCACAAAUUUAAAAAAUGAUAGAUAGCCCAUCUAAAGUGACCUGAAGUAUUUUUCAUCUUGUCUUAUUCUUCAAAUCCAUCCAACAAAACAUGAUAGUUCAUCAUAUCUUCUUUGAUGUAGUGGAUUUUGUUGAAGUCAUUCACACUGUCAUAUGGUUCUGCUUUGCCAUUCGCAUUGGUAGGUCCCUUGGAAAUAACUCUCCUAUCAGUUAACUAUCGCAACUGUAUUUGCCUUCCAUGUGUCUUCUUUUUAUUUUGGUUGCUUCCACUUCUUUGAUGCCGAGGUGAGAUAUAUCCAUCCCUAUCCACUUAGUCAAAGCAUAUAUCCAACAUAUUUUUUCCUCAUCCUCAUCAAAAGGGUCAUUGCCUGAAUCACGAUCAUAACCCUAGUUGGACUAAAUUCUGAUGUUAAGGCCUUUUGUUCCUCCAUCUUUGCAACUAUACUUUUAGGUACAAAUUCCAAAGCUUGUGGACUUAGUUUUCUAUUCAAAAGCAGAGGUGAAACAUGCUCUUCUUCAUCAACCAUAUCAGCCCACCUAGGAGUACUCAUCUCCCUUUGCUUUUCUUUCGAGACCUCAUGAGCUAAGGUAUUCAAUGUGACCAUGGGUGACUUGAUCUUUGAUUGGGUUUGAGCGACUUGGAAGCCUCACUUUCUUCACUAAUCUUAGAUACUUCACGAUUAGAGAUAUAUGUAGGACUCAUAACAGUAUUGUUAUUUCAGUCUGCAUGCUACAUACUCCAAUUGGUGUGCUAACUAAUUGUAUAUUAUUAUCAAAAUCGGCUCGAAAUAAAGUUUGCUAAUUCUUGGGAUUAGAAUCAACCAACUAUAAUUUUUUGUCCACCUCAAGUUCUUCAAACGGAUUUGUAUAAACAACCUCAUUCGGUUCAUUAUAUUGCGCUACUAGAUUAGUAGUUAGCUAUUGCUUAUUUUCAAGACGUGGAGAUUUACUUCGACUUGCAGAGGAACUAAUACACAUAGAAUUUUUUUGUGCAAUUGUGUUCCAAUUCCCAGUUGCAUUCUAAUCACGACCGGAAAUUUCGAACUGCAAAUCGACAGGUUCAAAAGGUUGCAAAUCACCUAUUUUUGAUCCAUCAAAUUUUUGUCCAUCAAUUGCCAAAUUCUCAAGUUGCACAUCAGAUUUUGGCUUCUGUAUUGCAUCGUGAAGUUUCUCAAGAGUAUGCUUAUCACCUUGCCUCAUACUUGAAUUUUCAGCAACAACUCCCUUCUCUUUUAUCUUAUUAAUUUUUUGCGCAAAUUUUGCAUCAUUUGAUUUACUUGUAUCCACAACGAGUUUCUCUUCAAAUUCAACAUGAUCAGCUGAAUUACAGCUUUGUUGAUUGGGAGAAGAGUAGUCGUCUAACGCUGCCAGAUGCUGGACCGAAUUUCGCGGCACCAAAUUUUGAUCUUCACUAUCACUCUUUUCAGUCCCUAUUCAUAAAUAUUUAAUUGUUCCUUCAUCAUCCUUUUCACCAAAUACCAACCUGUUAGAAUUAGAUUUUUUAGCAUUGAGAUGAUUAUGAAGAUCACCUCAAAAUUUUUCUCCUACAAUAUGACUAUCACUGACCGUCGCAUCAACUUGAGCAUCAGUGAGAGUUUUAUUAAGCUUAGCACUCCAUUUUGGUAAACCAUAUCCCACAAAUUGAGCAUCCUCAAACAACGUAUUUAGGGCCCUUGAAAGCAGUUUUGCUAAUAAUAUAAAGAGAGACAGAGAUAGAGGGUCUCCUUGUUUCACUGUCCUAGUGGAAUCAAAGAAACCAUGUGUUUGGCCAUUGAUCAAGAUUGAAUACCGGCUGUUGGAAAUCAAUUUCAAAAUCAAACCAGCAAACAAUUCUGAAAACCCCAUGUUUCUUAAAACUUUCAUUAGAAGAAAACAAGAUACUGUAUCAUUUGCCUUGGUCAUAUGAAGAUUUAUGACCACAUUUGAUGGUUUACCCGUCUUUCUUAUGUUAGUAACAAUCUCUUGUGUCAAUAGCACAUUUUCUAUGAUGCUUCUACCUUUAACAAAAACUGAUUGAUUGUGGGUGAUCAAUUUAGGUGAUUAAACUUCAAUUAUGUCAUGAACAACCACAUAUAGAAUCUUAUUAAUGAAUUUACUCAAACUAAUUGGUCUUAAAUCACAAAGAGUACGAGUUUGUUCCUUCUUAGGUAAAACGACCAAAUUAGUGUGAGUUAUGGAUUUAGGAAGAGAAUUACAUAUGAAAAAAUCUUGUACCAUUUUAAAAAUAUUGUUACCCAUUAUAUCCCAGCAAUGUUGGUAGAAUGCACCUAAUAAACCAAAUGCUUAUAAACCAGAAACCGAAAAAGGGUGGCUGCCGGUGGGUUGAGUCAUUUUUUUAGAGGAAGAAUCGAACUGUUUCACAAGGGACAACUAGUAGUAGCUCAGGGGUGAGCACAACAAGUAGUUCAGGGGUGAGCAAAGGUUUAAGAAGAAUUAUGUGCAAAUUGUGAUUUCUACUAAUGUAGAGACCACAUCAAAGAGUUCUGCUACAAAACUGUUGGGUAUCCACCUGACUUCAAGUCUAAAAGAGAGGUUCAUGGUAGUGAGUCUGGUCAGUAUGGUCAGACUUCAGUACCCGAGGCUCAUUUCUCUUAUGCUCUUAACACAAAUGUACAGAUUUUUGAGUAGGGGAGAAAGGUUAGUGAGUCUCAAAUUGAUAAUGGUGGUAAUUAUGCAACUGAAUGGGUAAAAAUUUACAUCAUUAAGCCAAGCUGAGAAAGAUGUCAAACAACUACUUCAAGGAUGUACAUUCAUAAAAGACCAAUAUGAUCACAUCCUCAAAAUGUUCUAGCAAAAGUCAAAUUAGGCUAUGUUUGGUUGCAGUUGUUGACACCCAAUUUUGACCCACGCAGGUAUAAAUUAGUUUUCGAGCAUCUUAAAUUUCCAAACAAGUUAAAAUAAUUAGUUUUAUAAAUUUUAAGAAAAUAUACAAAGUUCGCGUUAUUUUGAGUAAUUUUGUCAUUUCUUAUAACUUGUAGAUAAUAUAUAUAUUUUACAUAAUUAUGUGUAUAAUUAGUAUGUUUUAUGAUUACUCGAAAUAUAUAUAUAUAUGUGUGUGUGUGUGUGUGUGUGUGUGUGUGUGUGUGUGUGUUAAUAGGUAUUCUAUUAAACUAAUUUAGUUUAAAAUUAUGAUUAUAUUUUGAAUCACUAUUGUUUAUAAUUUAAAUAAUUAUAUUACUAAAUAAAGAAGCUCGUUAGUAAAUUUAUACCAAGUUCGUUUUAUUUUAAAUCAAUUGGCUAUUUGUUAAAUUGAACCCAUUUUCCCUUUCAAUUUUAAAGAACCGAAUUUGGGCCUUCUCCCAAUUUACCCGAGGCCCACUUUCGACCUCAACCCAAUUAAUUCCCUUUCCCAGCCCCCUCUUCCAUCCUCAUUUCAGACGGCCCAAGUCCUUUAACCAGGCCCAAUUGCCUUCUCAACCCAACACCAAUUAAUUCCCACUCCAUUCCAUUAACUUCACAGCCCAAUUAACCUCAGCCCACUUACAUUUAACCCCAUAGAUCCAACCCAUUUUAUUCCUUACCCGACCCGGCGCCUACAACCCGACCCGCUUCCCCUUCCCCUUCCUCAAACCCCCACGCUCUUCCCUUUCCUUCUUCCCUGCUCUCACGCUCCUUCCCAGAAACGGAAAACCCCGACGCAGCAACACCCACGCGAGAUUUCUCUCCCCCGCGAUUCCCAACAGCCUCACGCGACCCCGUCUUCCCACGCUCUCUCCCUCAUCUCCCACGCUCCCAUCCUCUCUCUCCUCCUCUCUCCAUAGCGCGUGGAGGAACGAGAAUCCGCAACGGACAUCUGCAGCUGCAGUGAGCACAAAGGGACAAGUCCCGUCCUUGCCACGCCAAGAUGAUGACACGUAACUCGCAAGGAUGGUUGAUUGAUCUCAUUCCUCCGUCUCCCUUCCGUUGGAAUAGUCCUCUUGGAUAAAUUUCGAUUUUUGAAUUCAAAAUGGGGAAAAAUAUCGUAUGACCCACCCCCAAGAUUGAAACCCUAUUUUUCUUUCAUCUAUAUAAACCCCAUUCCCUUUUUCAGUUCAAGGGGGGAGGAUUUUUAAAAAAAAAAAAAUUUCGAGAGUUCUAUCACAAAGGGUAGAGGCGAAUUUUGGGAAAGAGAAAGAAUCUUGAAAACAUUUUGGUUCUCUUCUGUUUCGCGUUCGCUGUAGGAGAAGAGUAGGAUUGAAGAAUUUUGAGUUUUGGAAUUCUGGAGGUUGGGAAACAUUGAGUUGAAGUAAAAUCCUCGAAAACAUUGCGAUUUCUUUCCUGUCUGUUUAGAAGAGCAAGACAGUUCUCUCCGCGAAGAGUCACUUCGUUCGGACGCCUUGCCGUGGUUCGAGAGGGAUUGUGUGGAAGCCUGUCGCUGCUCGUCGACGUCCCCGUUCGCUGCCGCCCGGAAAAGGUAUCGUCUAUCUUUUUCCAACCUCUUUCGUCUACGUGCGUCGAUGUGCUGGUUCUUAGCUGUGAUUGUUAAUGUUUGCUGGUGAUAUUUUGAAUCCUUAUAUGUGUUGUUGUUCAUAUUGCUGUCCUUUUGUUUCGUUCUGGGAUCAAAUCUGUUGAUAUUCGAACGUUCAGUAUAGGGUCAAUGUUGCUGUGAAUAUGGGAGUUACAUCUUGUUUGUUGUCUGAUUCUGCAAGACGUCUCGCAUAAUGGUUCUAUUUUUUUUUAGUUUAGUUUUGUUACGCUUGCUCGUUUGUGCUGCUCAUCUAUUUAUCACGAGUUCAUCAUGGCGUGGGUUGUUUAUGCAUUAGUGUUUACGAUUGUUUUGGGUUGUGUUAAUCUGUGUAGUGCAGAAACUGUUNNNNNNNNNNNNNNNNNNNNNNNNNNNNNNNNNNNNNNNNNNNNNNNNNNNNNNNNNNNNNNNNNNNNNNNNNNNNNNNNNNNNNNNNNNNNNNNNNNNNAUACAAGUAAUGAACAUUGACUAUGGUAACUUGAGGAAUUCGCUUAAUAUAGGUAGUGGUUCAGGACGCUACCUAGGCAUUGCACAAGUUGACUCAAAGGGAACUCCUAGGUGAUUGUUCUCAAGUAAUAUGAUGAUGUAAAAAAUAUAUUUUUAUGAUAUAUAAUGUUACUCUUACAUGAAUAUUAGCUAUUAUAAUGAAUAAGUUAUUGGGUUAUACUGUUAUAUGAAGCAAUUCUAUACUUAUGGUCUCCUAUCUUAUAUACUUGGUUAUGUGGGGUUAUGGGCUUCUCAUGAUCUUUGCACUUGUAGGUUGGGGAUGGUAUCAUUGGUAAGUGUUUCGUAUGUUAUGUUUAAAGGAUUUAUUGAAUAGGAAUUGUUAACGUGACUGUAUGAGGAUAUGCCUUUGAUUAUGAUCAUGCUUUAAGUGAUGGAAUUUUUACUUGUAUUUGUUAUCUGCUAUGUGCACUUAAAACUUUCAUAUGAGUUUGCAUAUUGUCUAAAGAAUGAUAAAUGAUACUUUUCAUGCAUGUACCUAUGUGUUAUGUCCAUAUACCCAUACUUAGUACAUGUGGCGUACUAACCCCAUUACUUACAUUACUACAACUGUAGGUUCCGGCCAUUGAAACUUAAGGAGGUCAAUUUCAAGAAGCUUGGAACUAUUUCUUUAUGUCUUGGCAGGUCCUCAUGUUUGGGGAUGCCAUCUUUCAUAUUCUAGCUUACGUAGAUUUUUAGUAGUUUUUAGAAUACACUAUUUUCAUUAUGUUCUUUGGAUUCUUUUGUAUUAAGGCCUAUAUGGAAUAUUGACUAUUAAUGGCUAAGUUUAGAUUGCACUCUUAGAUGGUUUCUAUAUAUGUGAGACAGUUUUACAAUAUCGUAUGUUUUUUAUAAAUCUUAAGUGUGAAGUUUAAGUAUACUUCAUUAGUAUAUUAAAUUCUUUUAAAUAUUUCUGCAAAUUUAACUCUAUGAUUGUGAUGAAAGCUAAGAAGAGGCUUGUCUGCAACCUCUGAGAGGUUAACAACAUCGAUCGCACCGGGGUCUAGAUUCCGGUGUGACAAACUUUGUAUCAAAGCAUGAGAUUAAAUAUCCUUAGGAUCAAUGUCUCACUAAAACAUGUUACUUAGUGUUCAGUUCAUGGUUGUGAAGCGUGCCACAAUAAUGGAUGAGACAUUGUGUGAUUAUCAAGAAACUUCUCUUUUAUUGAUACUCCUAUAUCGUGCCUUUAGAGCUUUGAAAAUAUGUGUCUUUUAGCAUAUGAUUCAUAUAUUGUCAGAAUCUUUUCAAGGGAACAAAAGGAAUAUAAGGUAUAGGUGUUCAUCAACCUUCGUCAAGGAGGUUGAUGGUUCAUGUUCAACAGGUUGAGGAUAGUUGUCUAAGGAACAGGAAUAGGGAAGAUAAGAUGGCGAAGUCUUUUAAAGGUAAUUCUUCUAAGAGUACGCAUGAUGUUCAAGACAAGCCUAAGUUUAAGAAGAGGUUCUUAAACCAAUUUCAUUCUAAUUUCUAUAAGAAUCGCAAUGGUAGAGGUUCUAGUCUUAAUUGUAAGGAGGGGAGAAAUGUUGAUCCACAAAAAGAGAGACCAACUUGUGGUAAGUGUGGUAAGAAACAUGUGGAUGAAUGUCUUGUUCGAACUAAUAGUUUCUAUGGUUGUGGAAAAAGUUGCCAUAUAAUGAAGGAUUGUCCAAAUGUUAGAAGUCAAGGUAAGUGUAGUAGCCAAGCUCAACCAAGCGUCCUAAUUCUGAACUUCCAAAAAGGAACCGUUUCUAUGCACUUAAGGCUAGGGGUGAACAAAAAAUCUCUCCCAACGUCAUGACGGAUAUGUUAUAAGUUUUCAUGUUUAUGCUUUGCUUGACCUAGGUACUAAGCUUUCUUUCGUUACACCUUUGGUAACUAGGAAGUUUGACGUACUUUCCGAUGUUUUCAUUGAACCCAUGUUAGAAUGGAAAGGGGGAAAUUAUAUGCCAAGGGAUCAAAUUAUUUCUUCUUUAAGGUCUUGUAAAAUAAUAGCCAAGGGUUGUAUAUUCAAUGUGGUGAGGAUAAAGGAGGCUUUUCAAACGUACUGAAUUCAAUAAAAUUGAAACUAGGUUUUUUCCCAAUUGAAUUGACGAAUGUUAGUAUCAUUUAUUCUCCCUAUUUCUGAUUUUAGUAGUACGUAUAAUGCUCAAGAUUUCAGUAAGAAAGUAAGAAAGAACUUAGCAGAAAUAUAAGUUCAAAGUGACCUAAGUAAACAAAGCAUGAGAAUGUCAAAUCCUCAGUGUUUGAUAAGAAUGAACUUUUAACAGUUAUUGUUUUUUUCCAAUCUUGUAGUAUGAAUAUAUGACCCAAGAACUAUAUCUUAUGCAAAUAAUAAAAGAAUGGGCAUAGCCAAUAAAGAUUGGCUUAUAAAGACUUCAUUCCCAAUUUAACAAGAAUGGAAAAUAUUAGGUUAUUUACUAAAUAGGUGCAUGUUUUGGUAGAAGAUAGUACAAAGAAGAGUUUUAAGAAGAUGUUUUUGUACUCUAUUCUUUCUCUUAUGUGAAAUUUGUAUGCAUAUGUUUUCUUGAGAUUUUUCUGUUUUGUUGUUAUGUCGAGAAGAUUGAUAGCAUGGCAACUUGUUGAUGCAUUUUAAUCUUAUGAUAAGUUUGAGAACGAAAUUCCUCAUUAUGUGUUAUGAAUAUGUAGCUCUUAUAUGUUUGUGCUUCAUUAAUUGAGUGCUAAGUGUAAUGAUAUGUUAUGCGCUGGUUGUGCUUCUAGUAUUAAGUCUUUUUCUACCGUCCAAAAUAUUUUAGUGUAAUCCGCGGAUGAAUGUUCCUAAGGGGCGUAUAAUGUAACACGCCAAAAAAAUUCAUGACUUAUACUAGAGCUUGAUCUAUUUAAUAAUUCUUAGAAUGAUGUUCCAAGAAAAUGUACUUGUUUAGCGAAGAGUCUAUUAUAUUUUAAAAAUAUGUACUGAGAUACAUAGGCAUCCCAAUUCCCAAUAUUGAGUAAUAUUGGGCAUGUUAGAGACUAUUGACUUAAGGGUGUUAGCCAAAUUUUAUGUAUUUACGAGUAACUUAGAAUACACCUUGAUGUUCAAAUUCCCCAUCCAAGCUUGUUUAAAAAUUGUACCUGCAAUGAAGACCCUAAGCUAAAAAAAUUUAUUUCAUAGCUUACAACAUUAGGUAUGAGGCAUCAAAGUGUCAAGCGUAGGUACCAUAGCAUAUGAUCAUUUAAAAUGAUCAUGUAGAUAAAGAAGUUCCCAAGGAUAUAGUGAAGAUUCUUGGGAUAGCAAGAAAUAAGCAGCAACACAUGUGCUAACCAGCCAACGGACAAGUCCAACCGAGUUCAGUUAAGGAGGUUGGGGGUUUGUCGGGGGACCAGGAGCGCGCACAAGUCAAGCCAUGUGGGGCCUAGAUUCCUAAUAACUUCUAGGCUCUAACAAAGUUACCUAGAUAGAUAACUAAUCUACGACUAACCGAAAUUAACCUACUAGUGUGCCCAAAAUCCUAAGACCUAACUGGGUGACACUAACCAAAUAACUAACUAAAGAAACAUCACAGUACCUAACCUAGGAUGGUCCAAAGGGAUUUGUUAUGAUCCUAACGAUUUAGGGGUACUUUGGUAAUUACCCUAGAUCACAUAAGUUAUUAAAUUAUCAACUUAAUUAAUUAAAUUAAUUCCUAGUCAAAACUCGAGACCCUAAGUCAAAUGUUCUCCUAGUUAGUAGUUAACUUGGGAGGGGCAUUUUAGGUAAUUUAAGUGAAGAAUCUUUAGGGUAAUUCUUGUAACGUCUAUAUAUUGAUAUUAUGUCAGUUUUAGCACACUUCAACAUGUCCCAAACCAGAUCAAAACGAAAUUUCUCUCAUUUCUCAAGAACGCUCUCUUUUCCAAACUCCAUUGAAGAACAAGAAAAAGCUUAAAGAAGAAGAAGAACGUUUCGAAGUUUCAAUCAGAUUUCAUGGAUUCUUACAUAUAAGGUAUGGGUUUUUCACUGAUAUACCAUGGUUUCACGGUAUUAUUAUUACUUUUUCCUAAAGUUUAGUGUGUUCAAAAGCCUUUUUGUGCUAAUUUUCAUAUAAAUUUCUUUUUAUUUUGCAGGAAAUCUGUCCAAAGCUAAAUGCGGAGAUUUUGAGCAAAAAAAUGUAGAACAGACCACCUACGGAACUUAUGACGGUCCGUCGUUCUUGUGAUGGUCCAUAGGUGGCAGCGUAGUGCAGCUUCUGAAGGAAGAUGGGGAAGUCUGACCAAGUGUGGGGUUAUGAAGCUUGUGAUGGUCCGUCGUGUCUAUGAUGGUCCGUCCUACAGGUUCGUCAUGAAGUUCAUAGAAGUGAUCCCAGUACCCAUAUUUCAAGAGUUGAAGUAUUUUGAAAUGAAGGCCCUCGACGGACCGUUGUGCCUAUGACGGUCCGUCAUACUUGCCGUCGAGGGUAAUGAAGAAGAGAAGUUGAAGAAAUUGCAUAAGUAUGGGACGACGGAGUCCAUGACGAUCCGUUGUGACCAUGACGAUCCGUCGCGAGGUCCGUCGACCCACCGCGUUUUGGUAGAUUUCUAGCAAAUAGAGCCCUUAUUUUAUUAGGUUUUUAUUUUUUAAAAAUAGUUCGAAAAACCUCAUUUUUGAUGUUAGACUAUGGAUUGUUAGACAUCAUACUAUUAUACUUUGUGUAUUAGUGUGAGAUUCUCUAUGAUUAUUAGACUUUUGAUUAUCAUUGAUUGUUGGUGAUUUAUCAAGCAAACUUUCGGAUUUUACUCUUUCUCAUUGAAGUAAGUACAUGAAUUCUUAUUUGAUAUAUUUGAAUAUUGUGAUUAUUACUAUGAGUAACUAAACUCCAUAACUAGGGUUGUGGGAACCAUAGGCAAAUAUUGAGAUAAAACCUAACUAAAAUAAAAAUUCUAGAAUGGUGUCUUGCUUGUAUUAAUAAUUCUUUCGCUUAGAAGUCUUUUUAACGGAUGGCCAAUGUUAGAACUCGCCUUAAUGCUACUUUUCGGACCAAGGAGGUAGAUAAUAGGAAAAGAAUUAUCAACAUAGACUUAGUAUAUACUAUCUAAUAGGCUAGUAUUGAUUGGUACGAGGUAAUAACUUAGUCAAAUAUCGAAUACGAUGCUUAAUAUGAGGUAAAGAUAAGGGUUAGGAAAGCAACACACGUAGCCGGACCAAGGUGCGCAGUGAGAUUUUCUAGAUGCCAGACCAAGGAUAAAGAAAUACAUAACUUAUCACUUUGCAUGCAGGAUACUAGGAAAGAACUGUUAUUUUUAGAACUAUCAAGUUAUGAACCUGUGGGGAACACGUGAACCCUAGUUACUUCGAUUAAUUGAUUAAAAUACAAUAUUCAAAGUUGUUAAGUGUCUCUUUCAAUUGUGUUAGUUAUUUUCAUUCAUUUAGAAUUAGAAACGCCCCUUUUAUUGUAUUUUUGCUUUUCAAGGAAGUCAUUGACCAAAGAAUAGUAAUAACAGGUUGAAGUUAAGUCUAGACUAUUUUCCUCGUGGAAACGAUCCGAACCUCACUUGUUGGAUUAUUUACUUGACACGACCACUUUACUUCUUAUUUGAGAAUUAAGUUUGAGCGUAUCAAAUUUUAGUGCCAUUGUCGGGGAUUAUAGCUUUUAGAUUAACUUGAACUUAUUACUAUAGUUAGUUUAUAUUUUCUUGAUUUUACUUUGUUUUAUUGUUUUUGAUUUUUUAAUGAACUAUCCUCCUUGUAUGCCAAAUACACGGAGAGGAAGAGAACCCUUGUUUCCCUACGAUCACGAGUUAGAGCGUACACUGCGCAAUAUGAAUCGAAACUUGGGAAUAAAUGAUGAUGAUCCAAAGUAGAACAUCCCAGCUCCGGUUGAUGUUCAUGGUCAGAUAUUACCCGAUGCUCCGGGUGAACACCAGCAGAGGGGACAAAAUCCUGUUCCAUGGCCCCAAGCAUACUACAGAGGUUAUGAUAACAUAGCAGACUCGGAUGGGCCACUGGUUUUGUCUCCCUAACCACAGGCCACACCUUUGUGGUAACUAGUAGCCUGAUGCAAAUACUCACUGCCAGAGGUUUUUUUCAAGGCUACCUUCUGAGGAUCCACAUGCCCAUAUAGCUAAGAUAAGGGCAGUGUGUAAAAGUUGUGUAGGGAGGCCUGAUUUGGAUUUAAAUGUAAUAGGUCUCAGAGUGUUUCAUCUCUCACUGAUGGGAGAGGCUGCUAUGUGGUUCACUGAGCUCCCAUACAACUCAAUUUUCACUUGGAACCAACUAAGGGAUGUCUUCUUAGCACGCUAUUAUCCGUUCUCCAAGAAACUAAACCACAAAGACAAAGUGAAUAACUUUGUGGCACUAGUAGGAGAGUCAGUUAGUAGUUCUUGGGAUAUAUUCACCUCAUUCUUGAGAAGUGUUCCAAAUCACCGUAUAGAUGAUGAGUCACUGAAGGAAUACUUCUAUCGGGGACAGGAUGAUAACAAUAAAGCGGUGUUGGACACUAUAGCAUGUGGAUCUUAUGGGGAGUGUCCUUAUGCUUAGAUCGCUGAAAAAUUAGAGAAAAUCUCCCGGGACAAUAAAGCUUGGAGUACUAGGAAGUCCGAUACUGGGAGAAACACCUUCGCAGUGCAGUCCACUAACAACCCAGCCACAGAUGAGAUUCGUGAAGAAAUGGCUCAGAUGAGAACUGAGCUUGGGUUGGUACUCAAACAUGUCACAGGGGUGCAGAAAAGAUAAAUGCAGUCAAAUACUUAUCGAAACCACCGCCACAAAAUGAUGAGUGUUAUUAUGAGGAGGAUUCCUAUGCGGUAAAUGAGCAGACGACGGGUUUCCGACCGAGCGCCCAAGGCUCAAAUCAGGAUAAUUGGUGCAAAGGUCAAGGAAACCAAGGUCAGAACUAUGGUAACUACAAUCGUGAGGGUCAUUAUGUCCGAUAUGGACACUACAAUCGCGACAACAACUUCAACAUGGGUAAUUAUGGUAAUAGAAAUGAGGAGGUUCGAUGCUAGUGAUGAGCACAAUAAAGAGUUGAGGAAUGAUUUAGCGGGUAUUAGGCAAAAAGUCGAUACACAUGCAAUAUCGAUUAAGCAACUUGAGUUACGAUUGGCCCAAUUAUCUGCAACUGUGAACACACGACAACCAGGCACUCUUCCAAGCAACACUAUCCAAAAUCCGAAAAUGAUGGACAUUGUAUGGCAAUUACUAUUUACGGUGGCAAGCAAACUAUUGACCCACCUAUGGCGUCUAAUGAGAAAAAGGUGACAGAAGAUACUGAUAAAGUGGUAGAUGUUGAUGGUGAAUUAGAGGAUAACACUGUAAAAGAUGCUGAAGUGCCUAAAAAGGUAACUCCCAUGCCUAGGCCACCACCCCCAUUUCCUCAAAGAUUGUUGAAAAAGGUAAAUAUCGGCGUUUUAUAACAAUGUUGAAGCAACUUUCUAUCAACGUCCCUUUGAUAGAAGCUUUAGAACAAAUGCCCGGUUACGCCAAGUUUAUGAAAGAUCUGGUCACUAAAAAAGAUUGGUCACUUUUGAGGAUGAUGAUAGAGUGCAACAUUGUAGUGCUAUUGCUACAAGAUCUCUGGUCCAAAAGAAAGAAGAUUCAGGUGAGUUCACUAUUCCUUGUACAAUCGGGCUAUUACACUUUGCAAAAGCAUUAUGUGAUUUGGGGGCAAGCAUUAAUCUCAUGCCCCUCUCGAUUUACAAGAAGUUGGGUUUGAAAUCCCAAUGCGAUGCGGCUAGUGAUGGCUGAUCGAACAGUAAAAAGUCCUAUAGGGAUACUCUACGAUGUGCUAGUAAAAGUGGAGUCGUUCAUAUUUCCGGCAGAUUUUGUUAUUCUUGAUUGUGAAGUCGAUUUUGAAGUGCCCAUUAUUCUUGUGAGGCCAUUCCUUGCUACGGGAAGAGCCUUAGUAGACAUGGAAAAAGGGGCAGAUGAAAUUUUGGUUGAACAAUAAGGAAGAACGUCUAGGUGUAGAAGCAUUAGCGGCAGUGAUAAUGAAUUCUAAGAGCGAUUGCAUUAAAGAGUAUGAGUCAUUAGUCGCGGAUCUUGACCGAGGUGAUGUUCGGUUUAAGCCGAAGAAAAAUGAGCUAGAUAUGAAGAAUCGCGAGUUCCCACCAGCGAAACCAUCUAUAGAAGAGGCUCCUAAAUUAGAACUAAAAGCUCUCCCACCUCAUCUCAGGUAUGAAUUCUUAGGAAAUGGUGACACUUUGCCAGUAAUCAUUGCAUCAGACCUGAAUAAACAACAAGUUCAGAGUUUAAUGAAGGUGCUAAAAGGUUCAAAAGAGCUAUUGGGUGGACUAUUGCAGACAUUAUUAGGAUCCCCCCUGUAUUUGCUAUCAAAAAAUCCAACUCAUGCCUAAUCAUAAGCCAAGUAUUGAGCACCAGAGACGCUUAAAUCCUCAUAUGCAAGAGGUCGUGAAGAAGGAAAUCAUUAAGUGGUUGGAUGCUGGAGUAAUCUAUCCGAUCGUCGAUAGUAGUUGGGUAUGCCCGGUCGAGUGUGUACCUAAGAAAUGGGGAAUGACUGUGGUCCCCAACGAAAAAAAUGAGCUUGUUCCAAUGAGACCGGCUACUGGAUGGAGGGUGUGUAUGGAUUACCACAAACUAAACUCAUGGACUGAAAAGACCACUUUCCUAUGCCCUUCAUGGAUCAGAUGUUGGAUAGACUUGCCAGAAAAGGGUGGUACUGUUUUGUUGAUGGAUAUUCGGGGUAUAUUCAGAUUUCUAUUGCACCAGAAGAUCAAGAGAAAACCACUUUUACUUGUCCAUAUGGGACUUUUGCGUUCAGAAGAAUGCCGUUUGGGUUGUGCAAUGCACCCGCCACAUUUCAGAGAUGUAUGAUGUCGAUAUUUUCUGACAUGGUGGAGGAUACUAUAGAAGUUUUUAUGGAUGAUUUUUCUGUGGCUGGUGAUUAAUUCGAGCGGUGUUUGACCAAUUUUAUCUGAGGUCCUUAAGAGAUGUGAAGACUGCAAUUUAGUACUAAACUGGGAAAAGUGUCAUUUCAUGGUGAACGAAUGUAUUGUGUUGGGUCAUCGCAUUUCAGAAAAGGGCAUAGAGGUUGAUCGAGCUAAAGUCGAGGUAAUAGAGAGACUUCCCCCACGAUCACUGUGAAAGGUGUGAGAAGCUUUCUUGGGCAUGCAGGUUUUUACCUGAGAUUCAUCAAAGACUUUUCAAAGAUUGCACAUCCAUUGUGCAAACUGUUGGAGAAAGAUUGUAAAUUUUGUUUUGAUGAAUUUUGUCUUAAAGCAUUCAGUGAGCUAAAAGAAAAAUUGGUGUCUGCGCCUGUCAUUAUUUCUCCGGAUUGGAACAGUCCAUUUGAGGUGAUGUGCGAUGCUAGUGGGGUGUAUUUUGGUGUAGUAUUGGGACAGGGGUGGCUUUUGGUGUAGUAUUGGGACAGAGAAAAAAUAAAAUCCUUCACCCCAUUUACUAUGCUAGUAAAGCCCUGAAUAAAGCUCAGAAGAACUACACAGUAACCGAGCAAGAACUCCUUGUAGUAGUCUUUGAUUUUGAGAAAUUUUGCUCCUAUUUGUUGGGUACUAGAGUUAUAGUGCAUACUGACCACUCACCAAUGAGAUAUUUGAUGGCAAAGAAGGAUGCAAAACCAAGGCUAAUUCGUUGAGUAUUACUGCUACAAGAAUUUGACUUUGAAUUGAUGGAUAGAAAAGGAAAUGAAAAUCAAGUUGCUGAUAACUUGUCUCGUCUAGAGAGAUGAAGCUAUGCGAGAGUUAAGGGAUAAGACUGACAUUGAUGAUACUUUUCGCGAUGAGCAUGUAUUGGCUGCUUCACAAGACUUGAUCCCAUGGUUCGCAGAUUUUGCGAACUAUCUGGCUAGUGAUAUUGUUCCGUCAGACUUGUCCUUUCAUCAAAGAAAUAAAUUCAUGUACGAUGUGAAGAAGUUUUUUUGGGAUGAACCAUACUUGUAUAGGAGUUCUGCCUACGGGCUUAUUCGGCGUUGUGUGCCAGAAUGUGAGAUGUUGAGUGUGUUGGAGGCAUGCCAUUCCUCACCCGUUGGUGUACAUCGCAGUGGUAUCCGAACCACUCAUAAGAUAUUACAAUGUGGUUACUAUUGGCCAACUCUUCAUCAAGAUGCUCAUGAGUUUGCUAAAGCAUGUGACAGAUGCCAACGAAAUGGCGACAUUUCAUGAAAGCAAGAGCUCCCUCUAAACCCCAUUCUUGUGAUUGAAUUAUUUGAUGUUUGGGGUAUUGACUUUAUGGUCCCUUUUGUGAGUUCUCAUGGAAUGAAGAACAUUCUAGUAGAAGUUGAUUAUGUAUCUAAAUGGGUCGAAGUCGUCGCCCUCGCAAACAAUGAAGGGAAGAGUGUCACUGCAUUCUUGAAAAAGAAUAUAUUCUCUCGUUUUGACACCCCAAGGGUCAUUAUUAGUGAUGGGGGCUCCCACUUCUGCAACAGAUUGUUCAAGGGGUUAUUGGAGAAAUAUGGGGUUCGCCAUUAUGUAGCCACUCCUUACAACUCUCAAACUAGUGGGCAAGUUGAAGUGUCGAAUCGGGAGAUCAAAUAGAUAUUUUCAAAAACAGUGAAGGCUAGUAGAACGGAUUGGUCAAGGAGGCUUCACGAUGCUCUUUGGGCCUACCGGACAGCAUAUAAGACUCUCAUAGGUAUGUCUCCAUACCAACUUGUAUAUGGGAAAGCUUGUCGUCUUCUGGUUGAGUUAGAGCAUAAAGCCAUGUGGGCUAUGAAGAAGUUGAAAAUGGAUUAGAGCGAAGCGGCAGAGCAACAGUUAAAUGGGUUGAAUGAACUCGAUGAAUUUCUCCUGAAAGCCUAUGAAAGCUCAGCCCUAUACAAAGAAAAGAUAAAGAAGUACCAUGACAACAAAAUUGAAAAACGAGAGUUUAUGGUCGGGGAUUUGGUGCUUUUAUUCAAUUCUAGGUUGCACUUGUUUCCGGGGAAGCUCAAGUCAAAAUGGACUGGUCCUUACUUGGUUACCCAACUAUUCCCUCAUGGAGCAGUUGAGUUGGAAACUAAGGAGGGUGUUCUGUUCAAGGUGAAUGGACAGCACAUAAAAAUCUAUUUCGGGUAUGCUGAAUCGGUGAAUGAAGUGAUUGAGGCAUACCAUCUUGAUAAAGUCUGAGUAUUCAAGUGUCCCCAGUCGUGCCGCAAUAUUAAAUCAGGCGCUUGUUGGGUGGCAACCCAAUAAUUAUAGUCUUUUUAGUAAUGGUAGCAUUUUUCUACUAAUGGGUUUUUAAAUUUGCAGGCACAUCACAAGGAAAUUCAGUAGAAAAUUACUCUGCAUCAGUCACUGAUGGAUACAGCGACGGACCGUUGCUCGUGCGACGGACCGUCGUAUGCAUCCGUUGUACCAGGUAUGUCUUUUUGUUAUUUUCAAUCUAGGGCACACACGACGGAAGAAACGACGGUUCAUAAUAGCUGCGACAAAGCUUCAUCGAGGAAUCGUCGCGUGAUUAAUGAGACAUACCCGACCCGACCCGGUUGGAGUUUAUUAUAAACUUUCACCAUUUAAACUCCCCAACCCCUCAUUUCACCCCCAUUCCUUCAUUAUUCCCCCAUUACCCUCUCUUUUCAACUUCCACAAUCUCUUCCUCUAUCAACCGAUCAUUGUCCCCCCCAAAAUUCUCCGAAGCCCUAAAAGUGUUCAUCUACUAGUCAGAGUUGCUCCUGUGGGUGACUGCCUGACCACUGAGUACUUGCCCAUUUGAUUUUCUCCAAUUCUAAGGUAUAUGUCUCUAAUUUCUACUCAUUUAUCUUGCAUCUUUGUUUUUUAGUAAGUAUUAGCUUAGUUCUUAGUCAUAUGUUUUUUGUUUUAUACGAUUCUAUCUAACCUAGGUUAAAAAUGUUCGAAAUUGCCAUGUUUACAACCCUAGACAUAGGCGCUUUUGCAUUACUAGUUUCCUAGGUAGUUGGGUUAGACAAAUGUAGGUCCAUAACACUACAAGUUCGAUGUGGGUUCAUCGGGGAUGCAUGGGGUCCCCCCAGUUCUGUCACUGAUAUACAGAACGAGGCCCGAUGACAGACCGUCGUACCCAUGACGGACCGUUGUAGAGUCCGUUCCAAAAGCUUAACACUCUGUCCCAACGGACACAUGUGACGGACCGUUGUCUUCACGACGGUCCGUCCUGCACAAUCGUUCUGGUUGUCAGAGACCCUGUUUCAAAGGGUCUCUCAUUGUUUCCUAAGUGUCCUCCAACGGACACAUGUGACGGACCGUCGUAGUCAUGACGGUCCAUCAUGCAUGACCGUCAUGCCGGUCAGAGACCCCUCUCCUAAGGGUCUCAUUUUUUACCCAAGUGUCCUCCAACGGACACAUGUGACGGACCGUCGUAGUCAUGACGGUCCGUUCUGCAUGGCCAUCAUGCCGGUCAGAGACCCCUCUCCUAAGGGUCUCCAUUUUUUUUUCAAGUGUCCUACGACGGACCGUCAUACUUGUGACGGUCCGUCCUGCACAUACAGUCAUACUAGUAAGAGACUCUCCUUCAGGGUUCUCCAUAUAUACGUAGUUAAGUAAAACACGACGGACCUCUUGACGGUCCGUCAUAGUCACGAUGAGCCGUCACCAGGCCCGUCGUGUGUCACUGUUUCUAUAGCAAUGACAUACUAUUUUCAAUAUUUUGUUUAGUAUGGUUUUACUUGUCUUGUUUGCCACUACUCGUACUAAUAUUGUCACGACCCAACUCGAUGGGUCGUGACUAGUGCCCGUUUUGGACACCCACAUACAAACCUGCUAAGUAUAACCAACUGAAACUAAGACAAUAUGGAAUUUAAUCAAAUCAAGCCAACCCCAACGUAAUAUAUAUAUAAAGAGGACCUGUCUCAUAAGGAGUCAUAAUCAUUCAACCAUAACAGCAUAUGAAAGCCGACAAGGACGCCACUACUCAAAGCAUAAUAACAUACGUAAGCCGACAAGGCUACCACUACACAAUACACAAUGAUGUAUGCAGCCGACAAGGCUGCCCCUGUACAAGCGGAAAUCCCAAACAAACCAUGUCCAGACCAUUAUCCAAAACAUAUAUAUACAACCCACAUAAUGUCCACAGACCUCUAAGAGUACAUUAGUGAAACUCGACGGGACAGGGCCCCGCCAUACCCAUAGACGAGCAAAAGACUACACAAAAGUUAUGUACCAAAACGACUGGGCUCCGAAACAGUGGAGCUCUCCCAAUCAGCAGAGUAGAUAUCAUAGGCGGGAGGAUCACCGAACUGUGCAUCUACACCUGCGGGCAUGAAACGCAACCCCCGAGGAAAGGGGGGUCAGUACGGACAAUGUACUGAGUAUGUAAAGCAUAAGGUAAAGAUGACAGGAUACCAAUAUGGCAAGUCGAAACAAAAUAUCGCUACACAUGUACCCACCCUUUUAAGUGAAAAUCAUGCAUAUCUUUAAUGUAUAAGGUGCCCAGCUUCCCUAGUAAGGGGCUCGACAAAAUAAUCAUCACGUCAUCUCCGUCAUCAUCAUCAUCAUAACCAUCCUUAUCACCAAUCAUAUAUAUAAUAUACAUACCCGACCCUCUAGUGAGGAACUCGGUGACAUAUGCAAGAAACUCCGCACGAACAUUACCCGGCCCGGGACUUGGUGAAAUGAUAAAUGACUCUAUGCACGAGCAGAAUAUUAUGAGCAACCAUAUGCAAUUAAAAUCAUUUCUUAUAACUCAAUAGAACAAUCAACGUGAACUAGCAAGGAGUAUUACCAAAGAUUAAUGUUUUAUCAAUAUUAUGAACCUUUAAUACGAUAUGGAAACGUAAAAUCUCAAUGACUCUAAGAAGCACUACCAUAGAUAUUAGAGAUCAUCAUAGCCUUAGACAUAGACGAUAUAUAGAGGAAUAAUUGUGGAAGCAAGAAUAUACGUCACCUAGACGCUCUAGAGGUAAGUAUCAAACCUGUCCGUUAUUCUCUUAUUUUUAAAAGUCAUGCCAAACAAAGAAAGAAGGGAUAACGUUACAUACCGUAUAAUCGGGCCGCACGUCCAAUAUUUACUGCUCAAGAUAUUAGUCUAUAACAAGCAACAAUCGUGCCGCAAUUAGAUAAACAUCGCGCUUUACUUUCUUGUAAGCUAGCUAAUAAUCUAACGAAAAUUCGACAGCACUCCCCUAUUUUCCUUACUUCGUCCCAAUCCGACAACAACCCAAAUUAUCCACUGCAAUACCAAUAACACAUAUAACCCAACGAAUCAUAUUAAACAGCUCCCCUCCCCAAAACAGUUCCGUCUCGGCAGCCAUAACAGCGAAGCAAUGACACACCGAGCGAUAACUCGUUUUAUAAUUCGCAACACAUCUACCUUAUCAUAUUCAUCCUUUGGAGUAUAUACUCAUAAUCACAUUCAACAUAUACAUAAUGCCAAAACAGAAUUUUUCUGCAGUUUGCUUUAAUCAAAACAGCCCAAGCACCAACACGACACCACUAAUAAUCCAAUUAUGGUUUCCGUUCAUACUUAGCACAUUCAAUAACUAAAACAAACUUCCUAAGCUACUGGUCACGCCCCCUUCUUAAAAUUAAUGGGUAAUUAACAAAGGUAUUCUAAAGAAUUAACACACCAAACAAGGAGAUUACUAAUCAAAUUAUUUGCAGCUGCUGGCCAAGAGUUGCAGGGUUGGUUUCUCCAUUUCCAUGGCUGCCUAAGACAAGUGGUGAAGAAGAAGAUGAUAUGCAGAAAUGCAAUUCACCACUUUAUUUAGCAUGGAGUGGAUUUCCCCACCUCAUUUAAUAGUAUGAAGUGGAGGCAGCCCCCCUCUACACCUGCCCACUAAGGACAGCUCACAAUCUGAUCCCCUUUUUAAUUUUUGCCUUGAGUGGUGGGGCCCACUGGAUUAAAUUAAUCCUAAUCAGCCACCAAUUAUGAGUGGUUGAGCCCAUUGGAUUAAAUUAAUCCUAAUCGGUCACUAAUUAAGCCCUCACUUUAAUUGCACUUACAUUAGCCAACUCAUACUUAAUAUCACAUUUGGAAAUAACAUCCUUGCCUAAUAUUUCUUUAAUCACUUGGAACUUAAAAUAAAAUCUCAUUCCCCGGACUUACGUCUACUAGAUCAUGAUGCGCACUACGUAUAAAAAAAUACGAGGCAUAACAUCCUUCCCCCCUUAGGAACAUUCAUCCUCGAAUGUUAAGUUAGCGUCUUGCAAAAACAAAUUCCAGCGAGGUCUCUCUAGAAGUCAUACCUAUCAACCUGCAUUCCGUAACUUAGAGAUGCCUCACAGCUACAUAAUCUCAUUAUCAAUCAAUAUAGUCAAGCUAGGAAUUGAAUUACCUGCAGGUAUGGGGAACAAGUAUAGCUACGAGUUUCUCCUCAUAUGACAACUCCUCUGUUACCUGAACAUCAUCUACGGGGAAUACUCUAGAAGGAUCACCAAUACAUUUACGUAGCAUCAAUACAUGGAAGACUGGAUGUACCACCUCCAAAUCAGAUGGUAGAUCCACCUCAUAGGCAACCUUGCCUAUCCUACGAACAAUCUGAUAAGGCCCAAUGUAUCUCGGACUAAGCUUCCCCUUCCUGCCGAAUCUCAUCACACCCCUCAUGGGUGAUACCUUCAGGAAUACCCUGUCACCAAUCUGAAACUCCAAAUCUCGACGCUGAUUAUCUGCAUAUGACUUUUGUUGACUCUAGGCUGCUAAUAAUCUUUCUUGAAUAAGAUUCACCUUGUCAACAGCUUGCUGAAUCACAACCGGGCCUAUUAACUUAGUCUCGCCAACAUCAAACCCACCAAUAGGUGAUCUGCACUUCCUCCCAUAUAAGGCCUCGUACGGAGCCAUCUGGAUACUAGAAUGGUAGCUAUUGUUAUAGGUAAACUCAAUGAGCGGCAAGUGGUCAUCCCAGCUACCUUUGAAGUCAAUAAUAUAGGCCCGCAACAUAUCUUCUAGUGUCUGAAUAGUACGCUCAUCCUGCCCAUCAGUCUGAGGGCGAAAUGUUGUGCUAAGGUUCACUUGUGUCCCCAAUCUCUUCUGAAACGAUCUCCAAAAGUUGGCUAUAAAUUGAGCUCCUCUGUCUGAUAUAAUGGAUGUGGGAACCCCAUGAAGUCUCACUAUCUCCCUGACAUAUAACCUCGCAUAAUCUUCAGCCGAAUAAGUAGUCCUGACUGGAAGAAAAUGGUCUGAUUUCGUCAGCCUAUCUACAAUAACCCAUAUAGAGUCAUACUUCCGUUGAGUGCGAGGUAAGCCUGUAAUGAAGUCCAUAUUAAUCAUCUCCCAUUUCCAAGUCUGGAUCUCUAUCUUCUGUAAUAAUCCACCAGGCUUUUGAUGUUCGAACUUGACUUGUUGACAAUUCGGGCACUAGCAACAAACUCCGCUAGGUCUUUUUCAUGCCAUCCCACCAAUAUAAGCAUCUGAGGUCAUGAUACAUUUUCGUUGACUCUGGGUGAAUAGAAUAACGGGAAGAGUAUGCCUCUCCCAUAACCUGCUGUCGUAGCCCCCCAGUAUCGGGUACAAACAAUCUACCUUCAUAUCGUAACACUCCAUCAGGUGUAACCUUAAAUGGGGUGUUUUCCUUUUGAAGAGCUGCAUCUCUAUACUCUGCCAGAAUAGGGUCCUUGUAUUGGUGUAUCUUUACCUCAUCUGUGAUUGAGGACUCAGCAACCUCUCGAAUAGAAACUCCACUAUCUUUCGAAUUAGCUAGACAGAAUCCAAGGCUGGAUAGCCACUGAAUCUCCCGAACCAUAUACCUCCUUUCUGGUUGUACAUCUAUCAAGCUACCCAUGGACUUACGGCUAAGAGCAUCUGCUACAACAUUCGCUUUCCCUGGAUGAUAUAAAAUAUCAUCAUAAUCCUUUAGCAACUCUAACCACCGCCUCUGUCGUAAGUUCAGCUCCUUCUGUUUAAUGAUAUAUUGGAGACUCUUAUGAUCUGUAUAGAUGUCCACAUGGACACCAUAUAAAUAAUGUCUCCAUAUCUUCAAGGCAUGAACCACGACCGCUAACUCCAGAUCGUGAGUAGGAUAGUUCUUUUCAUGCUUCCUAAGUUGUCAGGAGGCACAGGCUAUAACUUUGCCAUGCUGCAUCAAUACACAUCCUAGCCCAACACCCGAAGCAUCACAAUAAAUAACAUAGCCGUCUGGUCCCUCCGAAAGAGUUAGGACUGGAGCUGUAGUCAAUUUGUCUUUCAAUAGAUGGAAGCUUCGCUCACAAGCAUCAAUCCACUAGAACUUGGCUGCCUUUUGAGUUAGCCUUGUGAAAGGCGCUGAAAUUGAGGCAAACUUUUCUACGAAUCUCCUGUAAUAUCCUGCUAACCCCAGAAAGCUGCGUACCUCAGUAGGUGUCGUUGGUCUGGGCCAAGUCUUUACCGCCUCAAUCUUCUGCGUGUCUACUCGAAUACCAUCAGCUCCAAUAAUAUGCCCCAAGAAUGCCACUGAAGUCAACCAGAACUCGCACUUAGCAAAUUUAGCAUAAAAUUUCUGGUGCUGAAGCACCCUAAGUACCGUCCUUAAAUUGUCUGCAUGCUCCUGUUCUGAAUGUGAAUAGACCAGAAUAUCGUCUAUAAAUACAAUAACAAACAUAUCAAGGAAUGGUUUAAAUACUCAAUUCAUUAAAUCCAUGAACACCGCUAGAGCAUUAGUCAACCCAAAAGACAGCACUCUAAACUCAUAAUGCCCAUAUCGGGUCCGGAAUGCCGUCUUUAGAAUAUCUGCCUCCCUUACCCGCACCUGAUGAUAACCUAACCGCAAGUCUAUCUUUGAAAAACACUUUGCACCCUGCAACUGGUCAAAUAGAUCGUCAAUCCUUGGGAGGGGAUACCUGUUCUUUAUUGUUACUUUGUUCAACUGCCUAUAAUCAAUGCACAUCCGCAGCGAUCCAUCCUUCUUCCUCACAAACGGUACCGGUGCUCCCCAAGGUGACGUACUAGGCCUGAUGAAGCCCUUUUCUAGCAAAUCCCUCAAUUGCUCUUUCAAUUCUUUCAACUCAGCAGGUGCCCUUCUAUAAGGAGGUAUAGAUAUAGGCUGGGUAUCUGGCAGUACAUCUAUAGUAAACUCUAUCUCCCGUUCUGGAGGAAGGCUUGGAAGUUCUUCGGGGAAUACAUCGGGAAAUUCAUUAACUACCGGGACUGAUUGAAGAGUAGGUGCCUCUGCCUUUAUGUCGUGCACCCGAAUUAGAUGGUAAAUAUAGCCUUUUCUAACCAUCUUCCUGGCCUUGAGGUAUAAAAUGAACUUACCUUUUGGCGAUACUGUACUUCCCUUCCACUCUAUAAUCGGUUCCCCUGGAAAUUGAAAUCGAACUAUCUUUCCUCUGCAAUCAACAUUAGCAUAACAAGCAGCCAAUCAAUCCAUGCCCAUGAUAAUAUCAAACUCAAUUAUAUUUAACUCUAUUAGAUCUGCUACGGUAUGACGACUAUAUAUAACUACUGAACAAUUCCUAUAUACUCGCGUAGCUAUCACAAAAUCUCUUACAGGUGUAGCUACCUCAAAUGGUUCUAUAAACUCAGACUCUAUUCCAAUCUUACUAGCAACAAAGGGAGAUAUAUAUGAUAAGGUGGAACCUGGGUCUAUCAAUGCAUACACACUUCGGGAGAAUAGUGAUAAUAUACUUGUGAUCACAUUAGGUGACGCCUCCUGAUCUUGCCUAUUAGUCAAAGCAUAUAUACGGUUCGAGGGACCGCUAGAACUGGAAGCUCCACCACGUCCUCUACUACGGCCUGCUGGCGCUUGAAUACCCUGCCCCGUAGGGCGCAUAGCCAUAGAAGAAGAUGAACCAGCAACGGACCUUGUAGGCUGUGCCAUACCACCUGCACUACCUCUAAGGUGACACUCCCUCAUAGUAUGGCCCUGACGGCCGUAUGAAAAACAUGACCCUGUAGCCCAACGACAUUCCCCAGGAUGGGACUUACCACAGCGAGAACACCGAGGCAAAGGUGGCCUCGACUGGCUUAAACCCCUGCCCAUCUGUGACCCUGACGCCCUAGAGCUCUAACCAAUUUCCGAAUAUCCCAUACGAUCGAACCCCCUACCCAUGAAAAGUGGGGGUUCACUCUGUGCUGGCUGGGAAGAAAAUCUAACAUGCUGCUAAGACUGCCCGCUUCGAAACUCGUUAGGAUAACCUGCUGAUCUAGCCCUCUUAUACUGACCUAACCCUCUUAUGCUGACCUCUAUUAUAAACUCUAUCUGGCUAACGUCCCCGUUGCCGAUCCUCUACCCCCUGUGCAUAUGCCUGCACCUAAGCAAUGUCCAUAACUGGCUGAAGAGUCACUGCCAUACAACCGUCAAUCAGAUAACAAUCCAAUCCCAUCACAUAACGAUGUACCCUGUCUGCCAUAUCAGCCACAAUAGUAGGCGCAUGCCUAGCCAAUGAAUCGAACUUGAGGCUAUACUCUCGAACGCUCCUGCGAUUUUGCUUCAAACGCAAGAAUCUAUUGACUCUAGCUCGCUUCAUCUCAGGAGGCAGGAAGUUGCCCUGGAAAGCCUCCACAAAUUCAUCCCAUACCGCUAGAGGAGCACCCUCACCCCUAGAUAACUCCCAAGACUCAUACCAAUUAAUAGAUACAUCCCGCAAACGAUACGUAGCCAACUCAACAGACUCGGUCUCUGAAGCCUUGAUUAUCCUCAAUGUACGCUGCAUCUGACGAAUAAACUCUUGUGGAUCAUCCUUGGGCCUUGACCCAAAGAACUCUGGAGGAUUACAACUUAAGAAGUCACGAGCCCUCAAGCUAUCAGAUCUGUCCGCAUGAUCAACUCCUAGUCCAUGCCUGCGAGCCUAAUCUGUCACUAAUCUAGUCAGCAAUUGAACCGCAUCUCUCAUGGCCCUAUCAUCCGCCCCUGACUGAGGAGCUGGAGGUUCAGGUGUUGGGGCCUUGGGGGCUGGUGGUGUCCCCCGAACUGGAGUUGCUGCUGCUUUAAGCUCCUCUGGCGGUGGCGGUGUAGCAGAGCUCUCCGACUGGAGCAUAAUACCAUGCAUAGACUGGGCACGAGCCCUAGUAACUCUCCGGGUCUAACUAGUACCUUCUGCUACCGAUUUUCCCUUCGUGGCGGCUAUCGCUUUCUUUGGAGGCAUAGCUGAAAACACACAGAUUCGUUAGAGAGGGAUUAUCCUGUUAAUAUAGCUAUUGCACGAUCUAGAAUAAAAAGAAAGAAUGACAUCCUAAAUGUCCUGUAGCUUCCUGUUUAUAGAUGUGGUGCACAACACACCGAUAAAAAAGACUCUACUAGACACGGUCUGCAGACACUUCUGAUAAAGAACCGCUCUGAUACCACUCUUUGACACGACCCAACCCGAUGGGCCGUGACUAGUGCCCGUUUUGGACACCCACAUACAAACCUGCUAAGUAUAACCAACUGAAACUAAGACUAUGGAAUUUAAUCAAAUCAAACCAACCCCAACGUCAUAUAUAUAUAAAGAGGACCUGUCUCAUAAGGAGUCAUAAUGAUUCCACCAUAACAGCAUACGCGAGCCGACAAGGCCGCCACUAUUCAAAGCAUAAUAACAUACGUAAGCUGACAAGGUUGCCACUACACAAUACACAAUGAUGUACGCAGCCGACAAGGCUGCCCCUGUACAAGCGGACAUCCCAAACAAACCAUGUCCAGACCAUUAUCCAAAACAUAUAUGUACAACCCACAUAAUGUCCACAAACCUCUAAGAGUACAUUAGUGAAACUCGAGGGGACAGGGCCUGCCAUACCCAUAGACGAGCAAAAGACUACACAAAAGUUAUGUACCAAAAUAACUGGGCUUCGGAACAGUGGAGCUCUCCCAAUAAGCAGAGUAGAUAUUAUAGGCGGGAUGAUCACCGAACUGUGCGUCUACACCUGCGGGCAUGAAACGCAGCCCCCCGAGGAAAGGGGGGGUCAGUACAGACAAUCUACUGAGUAUGUAAAGCAUAAGGUAAAGAUAACAGGAUACCAAUAUGGCAAGUCGAAACAAAAUAUCGCUACACAUGUACCCUUUUAAGUGAAAAUCACGCAUAUCUUUAACGUAUAAGGUGCCCAGCUUCCCUAGUAAGGGGCUCGAUAAAAUAAUCAUCAUGUCAUCUCCGUCAUCAUCAUAACUAUCCUCAUCACCAAUCAUAUAUAUAAUAUACAUACCCGGCCCUCUAGUGAGGAACUGGAUGACAUAUGCAAGAAACUUCACACGAACAUUACCCGGCCCGGGACUCGGUGAAAUGAUAAAUGACUCUAUGCACGAGUAGAAUAUUAUGAGCAACCAUAUGCAAUUAAAAUUAUUUCUUAUAACUCAAUAGAACAAUCAACGUGAACCAGCAAGGAGUAUUACCAAAGAUUAAUGUUUUAUCAACAUUAUGAACCUUUAAUACGAUAUGGAAACGUAAAAUCUCAAUGACUCUAACAUGCACUACUAUAGAUAUUAGAGAUCAUCAUAGCCUUAGACAUAGCCGAUAUAUAGAGGAAUAAUUGUGGAAUCAAGAAUAUACGUCACCUAGACGCUCUAGAGGUACUUAUCAAACCUGUCCGUUAUUCGCUUAUUUUUAAAAGUCAUGCCAAACAAAGAAAGAAGGGACAGCGUUACAUACCGUAUAAUCGGUCCGCACGUCCAAUAUUUACUGCUCAAGCUAUUAAUCUAUAACAAGCAACAAUCGUGCCGCAAUUACAUAAACAUCACGCUUUACUUUCUUGUAAGCUAGCUAAUAAUCUAACGAAAAUUCGGCAGCCCUUCCCCUAUUUUCCUUACUUCGUCCCAAUCCGACAACAACCCAAAUUAUCCACUGCAAUACCAAUAACACAUAUAACCCAACGAAUCAUAUUAAACAGCCCCCCUCCCCAAAACAGUUGCAAUGACACACCGAGCGAUAACUCGUUUUAUAAUUCACAACACAUCUACCUUAUCGUAUUCAUCCUUUGGAGUAUAUUCUCAUAAUCACAUUCAACAUAUACAUAAUGCCAAAACAGAAUUUUCUUGCAGUUUGCUUUAAUCAAAACAACCCAAGAACCAACACGACUCCACUAAUAAUCCAAUUAUGGUUUCCGUUCAUACUUAGCACAUUCAAUAACUAAAACAAACUUCCUAAGCUACUGGUCACGCCCCCUUCUAAAAAUUAAUGGGUAAUUAACAAAGGUAUUCUAAAGAAUUAAUGCACCAAACAAGGAGAUUACUAACCAAAUUAUUUGCAGCUGCUGGCCAAGAGUUGCAGGGUUGGUUUCUCCAUUUCCAUGGCUUCCUAAGACAAGUGGUGAAGAAGAAGAUGAUAUGCAGCAAUGCAUUUCACCACUUUAUUUAGCAUGGAGUGGAUUUCCCCACCUCAUUUAAUAGUAUGAAGUGGAAGCAGCCCCCCUCUACACUUGUCCACUAAGGCCAGCUCACAAUCUGAUCCCCUUUUUAAUUUUUGCCUUGAGUGGUGAGGCCCAUUGGAUUAAAUUAAACCAAAUCAGCCACCAAUUAUGAGUGGUGGGGCCCAUUGAAUUAAAUUAAUCCUAAUCAGGCAUAAAGUUAAUUGCACUUACAUUAGCCAACUCAUACUUAAUAUCACAUUUGGAAAUAAUAUCCUUGCCUAAUAUUUCUUUAAUCACUUGGAACUUAAAAUAAAAUCUCAUUCCCCGGACUUACGUCUACUAGAUCACGAUGCGCACUACGUAUAAAAAAAUACGAGGCAUAACAAAUAUUGAUCCUUUGCAGGUACUAUCUACUAUGGCACCCAAAAAUAGAUCGAAUGUACGCACGCGGGAGAUCGAAGUCUAUCGCUCGGUCUGCCCGCAUGGUCAUUGGCUCUGAUGAUGAGCGUGACCCUGAGUAUGUGCCCCCAGGCACUUCCACCCCUUCCCGUGCUGCACGUGCUCCAAGAGCCACACCCAAAAAGGUGGCGUCCGGCGUAGUCACUGCCUCCCAGUCUGAUGAGGAGCGCAAAAUGACCGGCACUCCCUCUGGGUCAGCCACAAAUGAAGAAGGAGCGUCUGGCUCCUUAGGAGUAUUAUGGUCCGAGGAAGCCUCCAGCUCUGCUGAGGUUCCCGCACCUGCCACCGCUGCAGAGUCGGCCUAGUCUAAUGAGGCUGACAAUUCAGAAUCUACAUCAGGCUCACCAGCUCAGGUCCCCACCGCAGCCACUGACAAGCCCACCCAGUGGUGUGUCGAUGGGCCAUUUCAAGUCUACGCCGACGCCAAGUUCCUGAUUGAUAAAGGAGUGAUAACUCAAACAAUCACCUUGGAGCGGCAGGUCCUUACAGGGAGCCUCCCGACUAUGCCUGAGAUCCACAAUCCCUUCACCAGGCAUCGCUUGGAGUGGACAACACAUCCGUUGGGACGUUACAGUGAAGAAAUGGUCUGAGAAUUCUACGCAUCCUACAUAGCGACUCUCCGAUCGCAGAUAGAUAGGCGGGCUGCCCCCUCUAAAAAGGCCCCACUGGAGCAGGUCUGAGUACAGGGCGUACAGGUUGACAUUUCCCUGCCCGCCAUCCGCCGAUUUCUAUACGGCCAGGGUGUUCAUGCUACUCGAACCCCCUUCACUGCUGAGUUCGACUACCGCUGGCAGAUAGUUAAAGAUGGCCAGUUCCUGCGCGAGCCAUCACUGAGAGAGACCACCAAGAGGUGGAUGGCCCUGCACCUGUCAGUAGAUGGAUAGGGUGCCGACUGGGUAACUGAGCCAAAGGGGGCCAUCAAGAAGGCUAACCUCACUUUCACGGCGAAGUUCUUGUGGCUGCUUGUCCGUCACUGCCUUUUCCCCACAGCUGAUGAUAAUAUCGUUACAUGGGAUUGAGCAGUGUUGAUGGAGGCGAUGAUAGCCAGGUUCGAGGUGUACUUCACGUGGCUUCUACAGGCAGUCAUGCAUGAGAGGGCAUUCAAGGUCACUACUACUUACCAUUUCCCAUGCAUGAUCUUCGCUCUCUACAAGUCCGCAGGUGUGCCUACAUGGCACGUAGAUUAGCUCAAGACCCCGCAGGGCACUAUUGACGUCGGCCUCAUCAGAGACGAGGCCAAUCAGUUUGCUUCACGCAGAGGGCCCCGUCCAAAGCUGCCCCCACUUGCUGAUGAUCUUGCUGAUACGGUAGCCCAGGCCCGCACAGCUACACAGCGGUGUCAAUGACACUAUCCCGGUCGAUUCCAGGUAGUAGCACUGCCCCGAGCUUCUCUCGCACAGCCCCUCUACCAGCAGUGGUCCCACUUGCUAGGGUCCAAAAAUUGGAGGCACAAAUGGCUACACUUCUGCAUCAUAUCCAACCGUGGAUGCAGAAGUCGAUUACUGAGUCAAAAAAGCAUCUAGAGCAGAAAAUGGUACAAUAUACAGAGCGGAAGAUCGUUGAGGAUAACCAGCGCUUGGACACCUUCGAGUUGAGGGUGCUAGCCCGACCAGCCCCUUCGGUGGAUGUGUUGACUCUUUAGGCUGCAGUUGACAGUGUUCGUGCAGAUAUCGACACGAUCUUAGAGGCUAGGGUGCCGGAGUCUGAGGCCCCUUCUAUCGAGCCUGCUGAGGACACAGUGCUAGCGGCCCUAUUCGCCACCUCAGAUAUUCCACCACCUCCCCUUGAGAGAAUGCCAAGAGGUGUAGGGGUCGAGCAGAGGAUGAGGCGCGAGCACGGAAGAAGGAGCACCGAGAGUUGGAGGUUGCGAGGAGAGCCUCACUUGCUGAGGAGGAGGCGCACCAGAUGAGAGCAUCAGAGUUAGCGGCUGGGGAGUCUAGCUCCCAUAUUGUGGAGAUAGCAGGAGACACUAAUGAUAGUGCGGUUGUUGCUGAGGACACUAUUGAGGGUGUCCAGAUUGUAGAGGACGUGGGUUUCGGGGAACCGGACCCACCAGCUUGCUGAUCGACAGCGUUUUGCGCCAUAUGUUUGCUUCAUCUACCACUCUAGUAUUUAAAUUUUUAUACAGUGGGGACAAUUGCAUGCUUUUUUUAUGGGGGUGGGGUGAAUGGAAAUUGAGUGUUAGGGUUAAGUCUGAGUAGCCCAAUUCACUAUCCUCUUUUGGGGUUUUCUUGCCUGUGUUCUUUUUCCCCAAAAGACUGAUUACUUUUUCUGUUGAACCGGCAUGUUUAUAUCUUUUGUACAUAGUUUAAUUCUUGAGCUUGAUGGCUAAAAUGAUAUCCUGAUAAACUGGAAAAUGAUGCAUGACUAGGCAUAGUAACUGAUAAUUGUGUGGCUCUAAACAGAACAUAGAGUUACACCAUUGCAUUACCCUAAGUCUUAAAUUCGAACUAGGUGUCUGAUAAUCUGGUGUAGUGAUGAGAUGUCAAGUGAGUGUGAGGAAAAUUCGAAUAAGUCAACUAUUGUUACUGAGCUAGAACUUGCUUGGUUAAUCCUGCUAAAAGUAAGCUGUAAUAGACAAUUAGGAAAGGAUCAUAGGCCCUUAUUCAAUGUAGCCCAUCUUUAGCCUAAAUAGAGGAAAACCAAAUGAAAUUUAUCUUUCUUUGAUCCAAAUGAUCUGAGCUUAAAAAUAGACCUUUCUUUUUCACCCCAACCGAUCUUUUCUUGGAACAAUUCGUUGGCCCUUGUCCCUCCUUGGACAUGUGCACCUCAGCUUAUGCCAAAAGCAUAAGUUAAGGGUGGCUACUGCAGUAAACAACCUUCGUAUGUCCCUGACCCAACUUUGGGUAUUCUGUACCUUGACUCAUCGCAAAGCCAUGAGUCGAGGGUGUCUAUUAUGAGGAAUGCUCUAGAAAGUGGGGUUAAAAUAACAAAGAGAGAGAAAGAAUGUCACGACCCAACCCGAUAGGCCGUGAUUAGUGCCCGUUUUGGACACCCACAUACAAACCUGCUAAGUAUGACCAACUGAAACUAAGACAAUAUGGAAUUUAAUCAAAUCAAGCCAACCCCAACGUCAUAUAUAUAUAUAAGAGGACCUGUCUCAUAAGGAGUCAUAACCAUUCAACCAUAACAGCAUACGCGAGCCGACAAGGCCGCCACUAUUCAAAGCAUAAUGAUGUACGCAGCCGACAAGGCUGCCCCUGUACAAGCGGACAUCCCAAACAAACCAUGUCCAGACCAUUAUCCAAAACAUAUAUAUACAACCCACAAAAUGUCCACAGACCUCUAAGAGUACAUUAGUGAAACUCGACGGGACAGGGCCCCGCCAUACCCAUAGACGAGCAAAAGACUACCCAAAAGUUAUGUACCAAAACGACUGGGCUCCGGAACAGUGGAGCUCUCCCAAUCAGCAGAGUAGAUAUCCUAGGCGGGAGGAUCACCGAACUGCGCGUCUACACCUGCGGGCAUGAAACGCAGCCCCCCGAGGAAAGGGGGGUCAGUACGGACAAUGUACUGAGUAUGUAAAGCAUAAGGUAAAGAUGACAGGAUACCAAUGUGGCAAGUCGAAACAAAAUAUCACUACACAUAUACUUUUUAAGUGAAAAUCAUGCAUAUAUUUAACAUUUAAGGUGCCCAGCUUCCCUAGUAAGGGGCUCGGCAAAAUAAUCAUCACGUCAUCUCCGUCAUCAUCAUCAUCAUAACCAUCCUCAUCACCAAUCAUAUAUAUAAUAUACAUACCCGGCCCUCUAGUGAGGAACUCGGUGACAUAUGCAAGAAACUCCGCACGAAUAUUACCCGGCCCGGGACUCGGUGAAAUGAUAAAUGACUCUAUGCACGAGCAGAAUAUUAUGAGCAACCAUAUGCAAUUAAAAUCAUUUCUUAUAACUCAAUAGAACAAUCAACGUGAACCAGCAUGUAGAGGUCCAUUGCUGAUGCGGAGGAGCGGAUAAAAAGGAAGAUGUCCCAGCAUACUAGUAGUAGAUCAUGGAGGUCCACUAGUGCUUGGAUGCAUUUGAGUUGCGGGUUCUCGCCCUGCCAGCCCCUAUUGUGGAUAUGAAGACACUCCAUGCUGCUGUGGAGAGUAUUAGAACAGACUUGGAUAACAUACUGGAUGAUCGAAUGCCUGAGUCUGAGGCCCCUUCUGCAGAACCAGCUGAGGACACGGUGUUGGAUGCCCUGUUCUCCACCACUGUUGUUCCACCUCCUCCCCAUAAAAUCAUGCCAAGAGCACCGAGUUAGAGAUGAGGAUGAGUCUCGGGCAUGGAAGUAAGAGCGCGCUGCGUUGGAGGCUCCGAGGAGAGAUUCGUUGAUUGAUGAGAAGGCUCGCCAAUUAAGGGUUCAGGAAGUUGCUUUAAGGGCAUGGUUGUUUAGGCUGAGAGGUGCACUACUAAUGGUGUUGUUAUUUGUGAGGACACCACUGAUGCUGUCAUUAGUACAGAGUGAGCCGGUUUCGGGAAACCGUACCCAUCACAACAUGUUGAUCGUCGGUGCUUUGCGCCUCAGGUUUGCUUCACUUACUACCCUAUUAUAUAUACUUUUAUAUAUUGGGGACAAUUGGAUGUCUUUUUUUGGGGUAGGGUAAAUGGAAAGUGUGUGCUAGGGUGAAGUCUCAGUAGCCCAACUCACGAUCCUCUCUUGUGGUUUUCGUGCAUGUGUUCUUUUUCCCCAAGAGUGGUUAUUUUAUUGUUGAACCGCAUGUUGGUAUCUUUUGUACAUAGUAUAGAAAUGGAAUCUGAAGCAUGAUGGCUAAAAAAAUGAUAUCCUGAUUUAAAGAAAAUAUUGCAUGACUAGGCAUAGUAACUGAUGAAUGUGUGGCUCUAAGCAUGACAUAGAGAUACAACAUGACAUGACCCAAAUCUAAAACUCGAACUAGGUGUAUUAUAAUUUAGUAAAGUAAUGAGAUGUCAAGUGAGUGUGAGGAAAAUUUGAAUAGUCCAUCAUUGGGACUACGCUAGAAUUCUCCUGGUUAGUCCAUCUAAAAGAAAGAUGUGCAAGACAAUUAGCAACGGAUUGUAGGCCCUUCUUCAAGAUAGCCAAUCUUUAGCCAAGAUAACAGAAAACCGGAUGAAAUUAAUCCCUUCUUGAUCUAAAUGAUUCGAUCCCCAAAUAGACAUUCUUGUUUUCCCAACUGAUAUUUUCUAGGAACAAUGUUUUGGCCCUGGUUCCUCCUUGGACAUGUGCACCUCAGCUUAUGCUAAAAGCAUAAGUUAAGGGUGGCUAAUAAGAGUCUUGUCAUUGCCUUGACCCAACCUUGGGUAUUGUGUACAUUUACUCAUAGCAAAGAAAUGAGUUUAGGGUUGCUAUUAUGAGUAAUUCUCUAGAAAUUGGGGUUGAAAUAAUAAAUAUAGAGACUGAAGAAAAGAAAAGUGACCCAAGAAAAGUUUAAAGCAAAGUGAAAAAUUUGAAUAUUUGAAAAUACAAGUAAGAAAAGAGAAGAGUCAAUAACACAAAAGAGUGAGAAGGGAGAAUAUCAAGGUGAAAGAGUACAAGAAAAUUAAGAAAUAGGGCGGAAGAAAAAUGAUGAAAAGGUAGGACGCUUAGCCAUUAAGUCAUGAAGGGAUAAGUCACUAAAAUACAUCUAAAUUUAUCCUACUUGACCCCGAGGCUAUAUUACAAGCUAAUAAAGUCCUAUCGUGAUCCUAAGAGUCUAUUACUGUGAACUUGAAGCAGUUAAAUAAGUGAAAGACUAUGGCAAUAAGAAUAAAUAAGGUGUGAAGUUGUUCUGAGACUGAAUGUUGAAAAAUAAUCCUUAUACUCAAACUGAAAUCAUUGUGUGAAAAAUGAGGAUGUUGUUUUGAAGUUAGGACACUAGUGGCAAUACUGGAAAAUUCGUACCUUAGUGAGAUAUCAAAGAGGAUAGGUGUCGGCGUGUUGCGAGUCUGUGUCAUGGUUUGAUCCACAUGAGCGAGCCUAAUAGUGAUAACAUGCAUAAACUUAAUGAAAAUAAUUGGGAUUGAUAUCCAGAUUAUUGCGAAAUCUAAAAUAAGGAUACUCAUGUACAAUUAUUUUGUGGUGUGUCAUAGUGCGUCGCUUGAGGACAAACAAUGAAUUUAAGUUGAGGGUGUUGAUGUACCGUAGUUUCACAAUACAUUUAAUGUUUUUUUCCUUAUGUUUAGAUUGUGUCUAAGGCCUUUUUGUAUUAGUUUUAAUAUAUUUUUUCUCUUUGUUUGCAGGAAUUUUAUCAAGGAUGAAAACGCAGAAGAAUUAUGUUGAAAUUGCAUAAGUGACGACCUACGGAGUCAUCGACGGUCCGUAGGUGGUCACCGUCGGUUCAAGUAAAUGCUGAUGAAGGAGGAUCGGGGAAUUCAGACUAAGUGUGCAGCUACGGAGGCUCUCGACGGACCACCACCUCCACGACGGACCGUCGUGCACAUCCAUCAUCGUUAGUAACUCUAGUACCCGACUUGAAAAGAUUCUAAGUGUGGAGAAAAGGAAGCCAUCGACAGAUCAUCGUGCUCUCAACGGACUGUCAUCCUUGUCUGUCGAUGGUAACACUGAGUCGGAGAAGAAAGCAUCUGAAAAAGAAGCUAAGUGUGGAAUGACGGGGGGCCUCAACGGUCCAUCGGUCCGCUCAUCCACUCAAACGCGUGUUUUGGGAGUAUUUUCCUUAAAUAGAUUUACUUUUUAUGUUAGGACUUCUUUAUUAUAUAAUAUUGAAAAAAACCACGUUUUUGAGAUUAGACUCUUGGGUAUUUUUUAGUUUUAUUGUUUUGUUUGUUGUACAUGAGAUUUUGGAGAAAUUAUUCUAUUUUUCAGAAAUCAUUUGUUGCAAGAGUAUUGAUUAAUUAAAGUAAUUUUUUGGAUUUUCUUCAAACUAAUCAAAGUAAGUACAUGACUUCUUAUCAAACUAAUAUGAGUUUUGUGAUUAUUAAAUGGGUAACUGAAUCCAUAUAUAGGGUUGUGGGAACCAUGGGUAAUUGAAAAGGUAAAACUAGCUAAAAUAAUAAUCUUAGAAUAGUGUCUUGCAUGUAUUCAUAAUUUUUUUGUUUCGAAGUCUUUUUAAAGAGUGCACGUUUUAGAACUCGCCUUGUUGCUACUUGCCGGACGAAGGAGGUCGAUAAUUAGAAAAGAAUUAUCAAAGUAGAUUUAGUAUAUACUAUCUAAUAGGCUAGUGUUAAUUGGUGUGAAGUAACAACUAGUCCAUACAUCGAUUAUGAUGCUUAAUAUGAGGUAAAGGUAAGGUUUACUAAAGCACACACACGAAUCCAGACCAAGGUGCAGAGUGAAAUUCCCUAGUUGCUGGACCAAGGAAUUAGGGAUACAUUACUUACCACUUUGCAAGCAAGAUACUAUGAAAGGAUUGUUAUAGCUAGAAUUACCGCGUUAUGAACCUGUGGGGAACACUUAAGCCCUACUUACUUUCAUUAAUUGAUAAAAAUAAAAUCUUUGAACUUGUCAGUUGUUUACUUAGACAUAGCUAAUUACAUUCGUUACUUUAAAGCCCCUUUUUGUUACUUGUUUUCUUAAAGGACAUGUAGGUUAAAGUUAAGUUUAAAUCAUUUUCUAGUGGGAUUGACCCCAACCUCAUAGUUUGUUUCUUUACUUGAUAUUACCACUUGUACUUCUAUUUGAGAAGUAAAUUUGAGUGUAUCAUCUCUACGACACAACAUAGAAGUAGAACAUAAGGGAAACUCUAUUGUCCUAUAUCCUGAAAAUCAUAGAUGUGUCGUGACUAACACCGAUGAUCAAGACACUACUAGACAUGAAUUGAUGAGACUUUUGGAUAACUAAGACACUUUUAUAACCUGUGAUAUUAUACAAUGUUUGUGAAGACACACACCUAUAACCUAGAAAUUAGGGCAUUUUUAGGUCACAACACGGUGUACGUGACUUCUCGGAGGUCUUAAACGAUCCCUUAUGUAUCGUUCAUCGCAUAUACAUAAAUGAAAAGUAGUUUAGAAUUAAAUCUUUUCACGACAUGAGAAUAGUCUUUCAAAAUAUUAUUCAUAUGAAAACCAUAGGGAGUACUAAGUCUCAUGUCAUCAAAACUGACUCAAAAUAUACUGUGGACAUGGCCUAUACAAUUGAAAUAUACUAUUAGAUCUAUUGCUAUGCUUCAAUAAAAGAAACUCUAAGAUAGUGAUGCCUCUAGUCAAAUGAGGACAAACUUAAACCUUUCUUCAAAGAUCCUAUAAUCGAAGCUUCGCUCCCCAAAGCACCUUCACCAAUAAAUCACUUUAGAGACAGAUAAAAGCAUAUAAUUAGUAAAAACACAUGUACUAAGUAUGGUAUAAUGCAUAAAAUCGUGAUGACAGACAUUUAAAGAAAAUAUGCUCUUUUAGAUUAAACAUCGUAGUAUAAGCAUCAGAAAAAUAUUCAACACCAUAGAAACACAUAGGAUACACUUAAGCAUUUUAUCACAUUUUAAGAACAUUACCGUGAACUAUGUCACUGUUACAGUGAAUUAAUUCCACAUUACAAUGAACUAGUUCAACUUCAAAGUGAACCCUUUUUAACAUGUAACCUUCUUAUUAAAAGUAUCAUAAGAGUAACUUAAGUAAGACUUAGAGAGAGCGCCCAUAAACCCUAUCAAAUCACACUAAAUCAUCCAUAAGACGACCUAUAAUGUGAUAAAUACACUUAGAAUACACCAAUACUCAUAACAUGAGAUUCUCCUACAAUAUGUGAUUCUAAGGCUCACUUGAGUGAGUAUUGACGCAAUCGCCCAUAGAAUUCCUUCAGACACACUUAACAUAUCCUUUAACUACCUAGUAUAAGAUCAUUGUUUCUUCAUUAAUCAACCUUCCUAUCUAGAGACCUUCUUAAGACUUCCCUAGGUAAGACAUGAACACACAAUCCUUUAUGCCGCAUUUACACUUUAAAUAGGCAAUAUCUAAAGUUAUUCUAGGCUAGGUACUUAUUCACUUACAUACUUUCUUACUUUAUUUCACAACUGGCAAGUACUCCCUAGAAGUUAAGGAGAACCCUUGGAUCGAGAGAAGGCAUACUUGACCCUUUGGGUCUUGUCCAAGCCCUUUAACUAUCGUUGAUUACACAUGACAUGAAAAGUAGUGCGUAGUUAAAACAUUUCAUGACAUUUAAUAUAAAAAGGAAUUCUUUCAUAAAUAUUGAGAAAAUUUCAUCGUCACAAGCCAUUAUAAAUACAUGAAAUAAAAAUCAUAGGCACUCGAACCUUCACAUUUGAAAGGAAUACAUAUUAAGAACGUCUACAAAAGUAAAAGAAUUAAGAACUACGCCCUCGAAUAUGUGAGGAUACACUUUGUCUUGUGAGAACAUCUCCCAAGCUUUGCGUUCUAAACUUCAAACUUGCUUCGAAACCUAUAGUUAUAGAGUAAAGAAUAUUAAAGUGUUAGUACAGAUAAUGUACGAAGUGUGACAUAUAGAAAAAUAUGAAAAAGGGAAAUUUUAGUAAAAUUACACUUUGCUGCCAAUUAAGUAAAAUCUUCAUCAAUUUAGAGGUAAAACAACAUAGGAAUCAUCAUUUAUCACUUAGAGAAGUAUUCCCAAUAUUUUAGUGAAAAGGAACAUUUUACAGUGAAGUACCUACAUUUUACAGUAAGUUCCUUCAACAUUAUAGUGAACUACUUCAAUACAAAAACAGUGAACUGCCUAAGUGUUUCCACGAGCAAGUGAACACAUUUCCCAAGAAAAGAUUAUCCUAAGGCUCACCAAGGUAAGACAUGAAGGAAACACCCACACUCCUUCUUCAGUACACACCUAGGUGAUCACUAAGACUACCCCAUCUAGGCUUACUCACCUCGGGAGAACAAGCCCCCACUCAAUGAUAAAAACAUUAGAAGAAUACUCAAAGAACAUAUCAAGACAUCUCUUUUGGAAUGACAAAUAAGUUCAAUGGUAGAUGGCGUCCCAUUCUACCACCUACCUUGAGUAAUACACUCUUUUAGAAGACUUAGCUCAUUCAAUUUAUAUAAGAAUCACAAAGACUCCCAUUUUGGAAUGCCUACCUAGUGCAAUAGAAGAUAGAUAGUGUCCCAUUCCAUGAGUUACCCUAAGUAGUACACUCUUUAAGAAGACUUAGUACUUUCACUAAUUUUGUGAGGAUUUAACUGAUAUAGACCAAGAGAGCUAAACAUGGAAUUCCGAUACUUCCCUUAUCGGAGAAAUGACCCCCGAAUUGCCUAGAGUGGGGUCUUUCUGUUAGCUUGUACAUGGAUUUUCCAAUCGCUACACCUAUGGGGGCGCAUAGUUAAGGGAUGAGGAAAUUGCUACUAGGUGACUUAUUCUUUAUAUACAAGGAUAAAUUAUCUCAAGAGGUAGAUUGGAAUACAACAUCUUAAGUCACAAAGUGUAUCCACCCCUUCUUCAUAUCCUCUCGGUGCUAGGCAUAACUUCCCACAGAUUCUCAAUAUUAGAAACUAUAGAUUAAGGAUAACCAAUAGACACUACAUCUCAACUCACGAAGGACAUCCAUCUUAUUACUUAUCUUAGGAAUCCCUUGGAAGACAAUGAGGUUGCUAUUAAACGCUUCAGCUCAACUCACCAAGAGUGUUAACCCCAAAAAUCUCCUUUAAUUCACAUUAUUUAACAUCAUUCAUUUAUUCAUUCAAAGUGUGUGUGUACAUGUGUGCACACCUUUCAAAAUAGCAUCAUUUCAUUUACAUUAAUUUUUAUAUAUGCUAAGACCUUCAUUAAUCACAUAACACACUUUAACAUACUUCAUAUAAUCAUUUAAUUCAUUUGAGCAUACUCUGUAGCCUAUUUCACAUAAUAAACUUCAUAAAGCACAUUUAUCAAGAAUAGAAUCAUUAUCAUUUUACUUCACAUAGCAUGCCUUCAAUGCCUCAUUCACAAUUCACAAGUAGCUUCACAAUCACAUAUAUACCAAGUAAACAUCUCCACAAAAGUUGGACCAUAUCACUCAAGAUCAUUUCAUAAUUAAAGUUAAACAAGAUAAACAACUUGCCCUUAAAUACAAGUUUUCAUCCCCUAUAAUAAUUACUUCAAAAAUUCAUCAUAAUAUAGCCCUUAGGGAAAUAUGUAAACUAUAAAUUUAAAUAAAAGGAAACCAAAGCUCAAAGACUACAAUAUCAUUAUCAUUUAACCCAUUUCUUAAGUCAAAAUUUGAUACGAAGUUUCAAAAUUAUUUCAUAGAUGUUUUAGCAUUAAAAUCACAAAAUACAAUUAGAAACAUCAAAAUUUAAUCAUUAGAAACAUUUUAAUGCAUGGCCCAUACUUUGACUCAAAGAUAGAAGAAGUUAGGGUUGGAAAACCUUUUUUGAAAAUCUCUUAGAUGGAACUAUUUAAAUGGAAGAGAGUUAAAGGAUUAUUACCAUUCCUCAAGUAGAAUAAAAACAAUAAUUUUGAUGAAGAAAUACAUCCAAACCAGACCUCCUUGUUCUCCUUGAGUCUUAGCUCGAAUAAUGACUUUGAGAGAGUUUGUUUUUUGAGAGACAGUUUGAAUAUUGAAGUGAGGGAUCUUGUGUAGGUAUAGUACUUACAAAUUAUUUAAUAUAACAUAAAAACACUAAAAAAAAUUGUCCUUGAGUCAUAAAAUACUAGGGGUGAAUUUACAAAACACCCCAAGCAAAAGCUGCAAUACGUGACAACUUUUGGGCUGUCCUCACAGACGGUUCCAACCAACGGAUUGUUCGUCUAUUGACGGACCGUUGGUGGAGGGUUGUUGGUUUGUACUUAUGUCCAUUGAUUAGAAGUAAUAUACUUCCUUGAAUGUCUAAUCGACGCCCCUGGUCGUCAGACCUUUUGUUGACAAAUGGACCAUCCCUUGGGUCGUCUUUUGGUCACUGCUUGAUAGCUUCUUGCAAAGAGUUGAGAGUCCUAUUCUAGGGACCAUCAUGGGUACUAGGUGAAUUCUUACUUAGGCGUUAAAUCCCUUUACAUAGUCAUAUAGGUCUUAUGAACAUCCCACACCAAUUUUAAAGAAAACAAACACGUAAAACUCACUCAAACACAUGAGAACACACAAGCACUUUCUAAGCUAUAUCUUCCGAACGUCGUGGACGCUCUUGGACUUUUGACCUCCAGUCUUAAACAAAAUUUGCACACUGACUAAAGAAAUCAAUAUAACUCCAUUUUAAAAAAAUUAAAUUGAGAAAAAAAAUGAAGAUCUAGUUAACCUUAGUUCAUUUUAGGUUGUUACAUUCUUCCCCAUUUGGAACAACUUUCAUCCUCGAAUGACACAAAACACUUUAAGACCAUAAAGGAUUUAAUUAGAAGAACAUUAUACAUAAUAUUAAGGUCAAAAAAUUCAUAUUCAAGGCACCAACAAACAAAGAGCACAAUUUAACAUUGAUGAGCAUUUGGUAGCAACAUAGGCAACUUUUGCAAAACUUCACAAAUUCAAAACUCACUUUCAUUUCUUUAUUUAUGGAGGAACUACCUUCUACAACAUUAAACAUUAUUAUACACAUCAUUUUCAUACACGUUGAAACCAUUAUCCAUGAAAAUGGAAUUUUGUCAAAUUUGAACUUUUGUACAGUAAAUUCAAAACUUCAUUGUGUCACAGGCUUAAAAUUCCAAUAAUGCACAUUUCAAGCAACUUUAACAAGAAGGCAUGACAAUAUGAAAGACAAGGCCAUACUAACUUACUCCAAAGAUACUUAGUAAAUUACACUAAGUGCAAUGUGAGAGUAGCAUCCUAUACUACCACUCAAACUUAGUGACCCUUGUCGAUUCUCUUGGACUAAGUUUACUACAUGCAAUUCUACUUAACAUUCAUUGUGCAAACUAAAGCUUUAACAUGCUUCUUAAACAUUAGACCUUAAUUCAUAUAAAUUCAUUUACAACACAAGAUAACUCAUCCAUACACUUCAUAUUCAAAAAAACAUGAAGCAUUUAAGCACAUAUCAUUAACUACAACUAAAUGAAGAGAACAUAGGUUUACUACCAGUCAUUCCCAUACCAUAAUGAUAACUUCAGUAGCCACCCAAACAUUAUGCCAUCAAGGAUAUGGUCUCAUACUAUUAUACAAGACUCUUAAUCAUUACCAAACUACUAAGGAUUUGGUCUGAAGAUUUUAUAAGAAUAAAAAGGAAUCAUGAGGAUAUAAACUACAUUUCUACUCAACUCAUUCUCCCCCACUUAGGGUAAAGCCAUCUUCAAAGGUUUCAUACUUCAAAGUCUCACUAUGCUUUUCAUAAGAUAGUAACUCAUAGUACUCUUAAAUCAUGAUCAUACUAAACAUCAACUCUACUAGUGAAACAUAACACUCUCCUAUUAGGAUUCAAGUUUAGAUAAUCUUUGUUAAACAUCACCUCAUUCAACUCUUAUGCACCACUUAACUCAAUCUAAUGAAACAAAAUUCCUCCUUUCCAUUUCCACCAGUUUCAUUUGUAAAUCAAAAAUCUUAUAAUAUAAACUCCACUAUUUUGUAGCAUAACUUUACAACUUCCUCACUAGUUAAUCAUACCAUAUUUCCCCUCUUAAAGUAAACCUACACAAGAAUUUCAACUAAAUAACAAGAACAAUUACAAAACAUUAACCAAAUAACAGGGUUUCCCUCUACUCCUACAAAAUCUCCGUAUCUUCUAAGCAUUCCCUAAAAUUUACACCUUAAAGAAUUUCUACCAUCACUGCGCAUAAUAACAAGAUAACUCAUUUUCCCGCCAAGGAACUUUAUUCAAUCAUUAUUAUUCUUACCAUGCAUAGAAUUAAAUCACCAUAAAGUUUCUCAUUACAACACUUCCAAUCUCAUAAAUCACACCUAUCCAUAAAUAGCAUCACAUCAUAAUUCUCAAAACUCAUCUUCAUAUUUAUUUUUCUAGCCACAAAACCAUCAUAAGCUUGAAAACUCACAAUUCUCUCCCUGAAAAUUAGAAACAUCUCCCCUUUCAAGCCAUCAAACCUAGAAGACCACUUGACAAGGGAAAAUAACAAAGAGACCUUAUUGAUUUAAGUUCUAUGGCAUGAUUCAAUAGUAAUGAAGAAAGUGAAACUCUAUCGUCCUAUAGCCUCUUUUCCAUGGAUGUGUUGGGACUAUCGCCAAUGACCAUGAAUCUAUACACGUGGCUUAUGAUACUUUUAGACCCUAAACUAUUUCCCAUAAACUUAUUCUCUGAUACAAAGUCUAUCACAACCCGCAAGUACCCCAUAGAAGUUAGGGAGAAGCCUUGGAUCAGAACAAAGAAUACUUGACCCUUUAGGGUCUUGUACAACCCCCUUUAAUUAUCGUUCAUUACAUAAGACAUAAAAAGUAGUGUGAAAUUAAAAAUUUUCAGGAUAUCUAAUAUAAAAAGGAGUUCUUUCAUAAAUAUAAAGAAAAUAUCACUACAUAAGACAUCUUAAAGACAUGACAUAAAAAUCAUAGGGACACGACCCUUUACAUUUUAAAGGAAUACAUAAUAAGAAAUUAUACAAAAACUAAAAGAAUUAAGAGGUAUGCCCUCAAAUAUGUGAGGACAUACAUUGGCUAGAGAGAAUCUUUCCCAAGCUUUGCUUUCUAUACUUCAACCUUACUUCCAAAUCUAUACUAGAGUAAGGAAAUGUCUGGGCUUAGAACAAAUAAUAUUGUAAGUAUGACAUAUGCAAAACAUGCAGAAUGGGACAUUUUAGUAAAAUUAAACUUUCAUGCCAAUUAAUUAAAACCUUCAUAAAUUUAGAGGUAAAACAACGUAAGUGUAAUCAUUUGAAACUUAGAGAAAGAUUCCCAAACAUUUAGCAAAAAGGAAUAUUUUAAAGUGAAUUACCCAAAUUUUACACUAAGCUCCUUCAACAUUACAAUGAACUCUUUCUAUACCAAAAAAAGCGAAGUCAUUUCCCUAGAGAAGGUUAUACUAAGACUCGCCAAGGUAAGACAUCAGGGAAAUACCUAUGCACCUCCUUAAAUACACACCUAUGUGAUCCCCAAGACUACCCCGUCUAGGCUUACUCGCCUCGAAGAACAAUACUCUUUAAAUGAAAAAAACAUUAGAAGAACACUCAAACAACAUACCAAGUCUUCCCUCGAAAUGCCUAGAUAGUGAAAUGAGUAGAUGGCGUCCCGUUCCACCACCGACCAUAAGUAGUACACUCUUUUAGAAGACUUAUCUCAUUUAAUUCAUAUAAUACUCACGAAAACUCCCCUUUUGGAUUGCCUAUCUAGUGCAAUGGAUAGAUAGUGUCUCACUCCACGACCUACCCAAAGUAGUAAACUCUUUUGUAAGACUUAAUACUUUCAUUACUUUUGUGGGGGUUAUCUUAACCUACAUUAAUCAUGAAAGCUAAACAUGGAAUCCCAAUACUUUCCUUAUCAAAGAAGAUUCCCUCCACUUGCCUAGAGUGAGGUCUUCUUUUAAGAUUUAAUAUGGCUUUUUCCCAAUAGCUACACCAAUGCGGGCGCAUAGUUAAGGGAUAAGGAGAUUGUUACUAUGUAACUCAUUAUAUACUAAAGGGGAGUACUCAUCUCAAGAGGUAGUUUGGAUACAACAUCUCAACUCAUGAAGUGUAUCCACCCCUUCUCAUAUCCUCUCGGUGCUAGGCAUUACUCCCCACGAAUUCUCCACAUUAUAAACUAUAGGAUAACGAUUAAUAGUGGACACCACAUCAGAACUAACGAAGGGCAUCCAUCCUCCUACCUAUCUUAGCAAGAUCUUGGAAGACAAUGAGGUUGCUACUGAACACUUCAUCUCGACUCACGAAGAGUGUUCACCCCAAACUCCGCUUUCAUUCACAUUCUUUAACUUCAUUCAUUCAUUUAUUCAAAGUGUGUAUGUGUGUAUACACGUAACCACACCCUGCACAAUAGUAUCAUUUCAUUUACAUUCAAUUCUAUACACGCUUAGACCUUUGUUUAUCACAUCACACACUUUAACAUACUUUAUAUAAUCAUGUAAUUCAUUCAGGCAUACUCUCCAGACUACUUCACAUUAUAAGCUUCAUAAAGCACAUUUAUCAAGAAUAUAAUCAUUAUAGCCUUACUUCACAUAACAUGCCUUGAAGGCCUCAUUCACAAUGCACAAGUAGCUUAACAUUCACAUAUAUACCAAGUAAACAUCGCUACCAAAGAUGGACCAUACCACUCAAGAGAAUUUCAUAAUUAAAGCUAAACAAGAUAAACAAAUUACCCUUAAAUCCAAACUUUAAUCACCCAUAGUAAUUCCUUCAAAAAUUCAUCAUAAUAUAGCCCCUAGGGAAGUAGCUAAAAACCAAUAUCAAUAAAAGGAAACCAAAUCUCAAAGACUACAAUAUCAUGCUCAUUUUCUUAAGUAAAAAUUAGAUAAAAAUCUCUUACUUGAUUUCAUUUAUGUUUUAGAAUUUAAAUCACCAAAUAACAUUAGAAACAUCACAAUUGAUCAUUUAUGUUUUAGCAUUAAACUCACCGAAUAACACUAUUAACAUCACAAUUGAAUCAUUAGAAACAUUUUAGUCAUUAUUGUCAUUAUUGGUAAGAACUACUAACCUUAGUUCCCAAAUUGAUGAGUGUAACGGGAUUUCAUGUCGGUCUCGGCCUUUACGAAAGCCACUUCUUUAUUCCUAAAUUUCUUUACUUGCCUAUGAAAAAUUUGAACCGAAACCACCUCAUAAGAGAGGUUAUCUUUUACACCAAUGCUCUCAAUAAGAAGAAUAAACUCGGGAUCACUGAUACACUUCUUAAGCAUGCAAACAUGGAACACCAGAUGAACCGAAGCCAAUUCACUAGGAAGCUUUGAUUCAAAGGAAACAUUACCAACUCUUUGCAAGAUUUUAUAGGGACCCACACAACAAGGACUCAACUUCCAUUACUUCCAAAAUCUAACCAGACCUUUCAUAGGAAAAUUUUCAAAUACACUUUAUCACCUUCUUCAAACUCUAGGUUCUUUUUCCUAUGAUCAGCAUAAGACUUUUGCCGACUAUAGGCCAUUUCAAGUGAUUGCUUAUUAUAUGAACUUUCUCCAAAGUCUUAUAAAAAAAUUGGCACCAAGAAGCGAAGUUUAACCCACUUCAAACCUUCCAAUAGAAGACCUACACCUCCUACCAUACAAGGCUUCAUAAGGAGCCAUGGAUUUAGAUGAACUAAAACAAUUAUUAUAAGCAAACUCCACCAAAGUCAAAUGCUUUCCCAAUUUCCCUUGAAAUCAAUAAAACAAGCCCUAAGCAUAUCUUCAAGAGUUUGAAUAAUAAGCUCCGCUUGACCAUCCGUCUGGGGAUGAAAAGCGGUACUUAACUUUACCUUAGUAUCGAACCCUUCUUGGAAUAACCUUCAAAACCUAGAUAUAAAUUGUUCACCCCAAUCCGAUAUGAUGGAUAAUGUAUUGUAAUAGAUAUUAUAUUGUUACAUUUCUAUGGUAUAAGAUGCUGCCCAAGUAUUUCUUAGAGUCUAAGGAUGACAUAUAUUGAGACUUAGAGUUUUCUAUUGUUUUUAAUGUUAAAUAUAUUUUCAGAUUUUUUUGUGUGAAAAAAUUUAAUUCUGCAUUACGUCUCAUACAUGUAUGAAAUGAAUGAUAUCAAAAAGCUUGUACAAGACCUCUAAGAAGUCAAGUAUGCUCUGUUUCACUCCAGGAGUAUUAUAGCUUUUAGGAUGUAGUCUCAGGUCAUGAGAAACUUGUUAUUAGAGAAUGGUUAUGGAAGUGGUAUUAGGAAUAAAAAAGUCUCAUAAAACCACUUCUGGUAGUAGAGUCUCCAUCAUCGGUGUGAGUCCCAACACAUUAAUGGAUGAGAGGCUAUAGGAUGAUAGAGUUUGCCUUCUUUCUCUAAUCUUAUGUUGUGCCAUAGAGUAAAAAGUUAUAGGUGUCUUUCUUAAUGAUUUUCUUUGUAUUUUUUUGGAAAUGAAUACUAGAAGGAUGACCGCUAGAAGGUCGGAAAGGAGAAGGGUUAAUGAGGAGAUUCCUCCUCAAGUUGAGAAAGUUCAUAGAGGUGCUAGAAAUGCUCAAGUUCCUAUUGUGGAAGGAGGUGAAUAUGUUCCGGUGUUUCCCCCGGGAAUGACUAAUUGGGAGGUUAGAGAGGUUGUACUUUAUUUAGCCUGAGUUGCAACAACUCAUGUGAGUAGAGGUGUUGAGAAAAGAUUGAAUGCUAUUUAGAGAACCAUGACCUCUAGAUUGAGGGACUUUGUGAGGGUGAAUCCUCCAAUCUUUCAUGGCUCUAAGGUGGGAGAAGAUCCCCAAGAGUUCAUAGAUGGUGUGUCUAAGAUGUUGAGUGUCGUUGGGUGACUUCUAGGGAAAAGUCAGAGUUAGAUUUUGUACUAAUUGACUGAGGUUACUCAAGUGCGGUAAAAUCAAUGAAAAGAUAACAAGUAAGUUGAGUCGGGUCUGAUAGAGUUGGAGGAGUUUAUGGAGAUAUUUCUUGGAAAUUACCUUCCCCAUGUGAGAAGGGAGGCUAAGGUUGAAGAGUUCAUUGACAUUAGUCAUGGUAAUAAGGGUGUUGAAGAACACAAACUUACAAAGAGCACAAGGUUUUUGAACAAGGUUAAACCCAAUAAGAAAGGUCAACCCGUGUUUAGGAAGAGAUCCCCAUAUCAAAAUGGAGCUAGUGCUUCAAAUCAGAAGCUUGGGAUAGGUAGUGGUUCUCAAAUUAUUAACGCCACUUGUUUUGCUUGUGGGAAGAGGCACGAUGGGAAUGUCUAUCCAUUAUUAAUAAUUGCUUUGGUUUUGGUGAGGAUGGUCAUAAGGUAGAGGGAUUGUCCUACUAAUGCGGCAAGGAGGAAGGAAGGCCAAGCAAGUUUCUCCUAAUACUUUGGAUGGUGAUGUUGGUAAGUUCUUGUACUUCUCUCUUUUAGUUGUGAUGAGUUCCUUCUAUAUGGAGGAGUAUGAUGAGUAUAACAAUGAUGAGUUGUUGUCUCAUCUAUUCUAUUUAGUUCAAGCUUGAAAGUUGAAAAUUCAUAAUAGCAUCAAGCAUGUUGCAUUGUGUUAAGGAGUCUUGUAGGAAUUUUAUUUCAUUUAUUCCAUACAUUGUUCAUUUCACAAAAUUAUGAUUAUGUUGUAAAUUGAGUUUAUAUGAUUUUAUGUAUUAUAUUGUAAUGCUUUUAUAAUCAAUUGCCUAAGAAUUGCAUUUUGAAAAAUUCAGCAUGUUUCAUAGUGUUGUUAACAGUUCACUCUAAGAAUUUUCAAAUUUAGAUUAAUUUGUUUUUGUUGAAAAUGGUGAUAGUUUGUAUAUAAUUGAUGUAUAUGUGCAAGAUAAUGAAUAUAAAAACAGUUCUUGCUAUUCUAAAUGUAGAAUGUGAUUCUUGAUUGCAUCAUAAGUUGCAGAGUAAGUUUCUAGCUUUGGCACAUCCGUGUUUACCCCCUAGACAUAACCGUCGUCGUCUUCCUUUUCAUGGACUAAGACUAGCCUCUUAGUUUCAUGUCACUACAUUCAUAUGUUGAAAAGUGCGGAAAAAUUUAAAACUUUCAUUAUAAGUACUUGGAGGUUUACAUAGGUCUCCACAUACAUAUAAUACAUAUUCAUAUCGAGUAUACAUAUACCCUUCGUAUGUGAAGGUUACAUAGCCUUCUACUUUUAUUGCACAUACGUAUACAUAAAAUAUAAAUAUAGUAUCAACAAUUGUAUCAUCUCAUACCAUCUAAACGAUUAUAAAAAUAUGGGCAUAGACCUUACAUAAAUUCAACAAGACCACAUAUAGGUCAUACAAAAGUAUAGUAUGCAAUUGGUAGGAAAGAAACGAUAGAGUCUUUAAGCUCAUAACAGGUUCUCAAGCUAGAUGAUUGAAUCGGCCUCGGAAGAUGAGGACCUACCCCACUUGGACGAAACGAAGAAUCCAAGACUUCAAUAAUGUCUCCUUCGAAACUAUUCGAUGACUCGAAUCUAAAAUAUUUGGGAAAAGGGAAGAAUAUGGGGUUAGUACUCCACAUGUACAAAGUAUGAGACCUUAUGCACAUAUACAAGUAAAACAUUCUAAAUAUAGACUUUUAGUUAAAACAUGAAAUUUUACCCUUUUAGGAAAUUAUGGUAAAGUCAAGCAAGUCAUAUAAACUAACCCAACGUGCUUACUAUCUGAACAUGUAAUGCUUAUCCCAACAUACUUGAAACCAUGAUUUUCUACAACCCUAUCAUCACGGAACAAUAUCACAAGAAUGAAUAAGAGUCAAUCAUAUUAUACUAAGCAAGACAACUACUCAUGAAUCCUUAUCAAGUCAACAAGUGCAAUGACCAAACAAAGCCCCAUAACCUUGCCCAACAAAGUAAAUUUAACAAGAAAAUAUAAGAAAUAUCCAUCUUUUAAAAUAUAGUCCAACUACAUAUAUAAAGAGGAUAAUCAUCAUAAUAUAUAGACAUUUACAUUGUAGCAUCAACAUAUUAUCAUCAUAUACAUCAUUAUCAUAUAGUUAUAUAAUAUCAACUUUCUAAAGCUUCAACCAAAGUCAACUAGUGCAAGGCAUAGUUAGAGUCCCAUAUCCCUACCUAGGCUAAGUUAAACCUCUCAAGUAACCUCAAUUUGUUUAUAAUCCAUUACUUUAUUUUACUUCAGGGAACACUUGCCUUAGACAACAUAAAUCGUAUGACCUAAGCGUGGAUCUGGUGUUGUAAAACCUUACACCGAUGGGAGGUGGUCUACCCAGCCAAAGUAGAACCAAACACAAAUGUAGCCUUCUAGGUGGAUCCAAUAUCUAGUCUUCCUAUGUGGGAAGCAUAGUUCAAGAACUAAGAGAUAGUAUAUUCCCUCUUGAUACGACUUAAUAAUUGGGGCCUCCUCUCAUGGGAAGCCAUUGGAUAAGCAUUCCUCUUUGGGAAGUCAACAUCUUAUACAAAACUAUAGGGCUAAUCUUCCUCUUUGGGAAAUCAUCACCUCCCAUUGUCAAAUUUAAUCGAUGCUAAUCUAAGUUCUUUUAUCGAAAUGUAUUUAAGCCUUUGAUUAACAAUCACACAUUAGUUUUGGUCAUUGUAUAAUCAUCAUCAAUAGUUCAAUAAGAAUUGUAUGAGUAUAAGUCCUUUCAUGACAAUUCAUAUAUGUGAAGACGUUAGCAUUCAGUAACAUAUCAACGCACAUUGGUAGUUUUCAUCAUCCUUAUAUCACAUACACCUUAAUCAACCUCACAACAUAGUCAAGACUUUUUAAUUCAACAUCAUACCAUCCUACAAAUCUUAAUACGGGGAAUACUCAAAUAUAAUAUCACAACUUAACCACAGUUAACAAAAUAUGGAAUUAGAGAUGGAGAUUCUAAGACUUACCAAGUCAUCCUUAUAAAUCAUCAAGGUCUUACCAUCAACCCUUAACUCAAUCCAAUUUAGGGAGUAACAUCAUCACACAAUGAUAACCAAUAAGAUUAGAAGUCCAAUUGCAUCUCUAUAAUACAAUUCAACACUAGAUUACAACUUAAUACAAGAUACAUAGGUUAAUUUCACAAUACAAUUUGUAACGUAAAGAACUUCUCAAGAACUAGCAUGAUAGGCCUAUAUUUCAUCUUAAUAUAAACAUAAUAACACCAUAGAGUAGUAAUCUAAUAAAACAACAAAAUCAAUUGAAUGAUCAUAAUAUAAUAAAGGUCAAGGUCACAACCUAGGGUUAGGGAGUGAGGAUCAUGUUCUUCAAUUUAGUCCAAAUCAUCAUUAAUUACGAUAUACAAGUUAAAUUACAUGUUAAUGUAUUCAAUAUAACCUAAAAAAUCAAUAACUUAAUUCAUAACUUCAUUCUGUAAUUGGAUGAAACCCAUAAGAAAACUCAACUUUUAACAUCCAUUUUGAAGGAACCCUUUGUGAAAAGAGCUUGAAAGGUGAAUUAGAUCCCAUACCUUAACGUUUGACAACAAAUUGAUGGUGAAUUCAUCCCUUCCAUCCCCCAAACAUUAAUCCUUGCUAGUCUUCAAUGUGAGUUCAAGUAUAGAGAGAAAUAAGAGAGAAAGAAGAGAGUUUAUUGUGUGAGUUGUCUUUAGAUUAAUGUUUGUUGGGGGUAUUUAUAUUGGGGCUUUAUAAAAAUAAUUUUACUCCCUUAAACCCCUGAUUAAUAACCUACCCCUAACUAAUUAAAUGAAACUAACUUAAAUUGUGCAGAAAUUUGACCCUCACAGACGAGACCCUAAACAACGUGCCUUCUAAGAGUUGACGGUCCCUCAUCCCUCCAUCCUUCACUCCUUCGAUGAGUUUAGAGACUGUAUAGGCGGAGGAGUUCCUCAACUUGCCUAGGUAUUUCAUGAUGGCAUCGACGUCCCGUCAGUCCAUACACGAAUCGUAGCUGGUCACGUCGAUGCCUACUGCCCAGGCCUUAUUUCUUCAAACACAAGGGUACUCUUUAAGGGCUCUUGAUUGGUCCUGGGGAGUUGUAAUCAGACAUUUUAACCAUGAAAAAACUCAAACACCUAUUAUAUACCCUUCCAUAAAUUUUCAUACAUUUCCGACCCCUAAAAGUUAGUCAAAUAGGCUAAGUCACACUAACACCCCUUUCAACUAACUUCCCGGAUGUCCUUGACGUUCUUGGACGUUUUGGUUCAUAAACAUUUUAAAUGGUCUAUAUUCAUUUAUAAUGGACUUAAAAAUAGUAAUUAGACCUUAUGACACCUAUUUUAGGCUUUAUAACACAUCGUGGAUUUUGAAGGUAUUACAUAUCCCCUCCCCCCAUUUAGGAACAUUCGUCCCCGAAUGACACCAAAGAUCUUUCGAAGGAAGGAAUAAACUCAAGAUAGCAGCCCAACCAAUCAACAAUAUUAAACCAACAUAAACCAUGUGAUUUAAACAAGGCAAAUAUCAAAACUCAUAUUACUACACAUAAGGCUCAAAUCACUUCAUUAUGAGGCAUUUCCUUCUCAUAACACAAAUAAGCUCAACAUACAUUGCAUGAAUCAAUUAGCACAAAGUUUAACUUAACAACAUGCUACGUAUCAUUUCAUAAAGAUUCAUUAUACCAAAAUAAACAAUAUAACUCAAAACAAGCAAAAAGCAAAAUUUCAUGUCUUCAAAAGAAAUAUUACAGUAACUUCAUUGUAAUGUUUUCAAAAAUGCAUAAUUUGCAAAACUUCACCCAAUAACCAAGAGACCAUAAAUUCUUGUCAUAUUUAUAUAAUUAAAAAGAUGACUAACUUUAAUUCUCUAAAAGAUGAGGGUAACAAGACUUCAUGUCGGCCUCGGCCUUCGAUGUUGCAUCCUCAACUAGAUGAUUCUUCCAAAAGACCAUUAUGAAAACCACUUCUUUAUUCCUCAAAUUCUUGACUUGCCCAUCAAGAAUCUGAUCCAGGACUUCCUCAAAAGAGAGGUUAUCCUUUGCACCAAGACCCUCAAAAGGAAGAAUGGACUUGGGAUCAUCGAUACACUUUUUCAACAUAGAAACAUGGAAAACCAAAUGAAUCGAAGCCAAUUAACUAGGAAGUUUCAAUUUAUAGGAAACCUUACUAACCGUUUGCAAGAUUUCAUAAGGACCCACAUACAAGGAACAAUUUUCCUUUCUUUUCAAAGCUAACCACCCCUUUUAUUGGUGAAAUUUUCAAAUACACCUUAUCACAUUCUUCGAACUCCAAAUCACUUUUCCUAUGAUCGGCAUAAGACUUUUGCCGACUAUAGGCCGUUUGAAACCACUUCAUUAUGAUAUGAACCUUUUCCAAGGUCUUAUAAAUAAACUCACGACCAAGAUUCAAUGGCUCACCAACUUCAAACCAUCCAAUAAAAGACCUACACCUCUACCAUACAAGGCUUAAUAAGGAACAUAGAGAUUGAUGAAUGAAAAAACUAUUACUAUAGGAAAACUCCACCAAAAGUAAAUGUUUAUCUCAAUUCCAUUUCAAAUCAAUAAUGCACUCCUUAAGCAUAUCUUCAAGGGUUUGUAUAGUACUCUCAGCUUGACCAUCCGUUUGGGGAUGAAAAGCAGUGCUCAACUUCACCGUAGUACCCAACCCUUUUUGGAACGACCUCAAAAAUCUUGAUGUGAAUUGUGUGCCCCGAUCCAAUAUGAUGGAUAACAGAAUGCCAUGGCGGCACAAAAUAUAAUCUAGCAUAGACCUUGCAUAAUCAUCCGCCGAAUAUGUAAACUUGACGAGAAUAAAGCGAGCGAACUUAGUCAAUGGAUCCACAACCACCCAUAUGGAAUCAUAUGACUUUUGAGUCCGAUGUAAACCUAUUACAAAGUUAAUAUUGAUGUCUUCCAACUUCAAAGUAGGAAUUUGGAUCUGUUGUAGUAAGACACCUGAAUUUUGGUGAUCGGUCUUUACUUGUUGGAAAUUCGAACACUUAGCAACAACUCUGUUAUGUCCUUUUUUAGACCUUUCCACCAAUAUGUCUCCCUUAUGUCGUUGUACAUUUUUGCCAAACCCGGGUGAAUUGAGUUUCGGGACCCAUGUGCUUCUUCUAGGAUUUGAUAACCCAACCCAUCUACAUUGUGAAACACACAAUAUACCUUGGUACCUUAGUACAACAUCCCCUCAUAAGGAGAAUGAUUCAUUCAAACUUGCCGAGAACCGAUUCUUUCACAUCCAUUAAGGCUAGAUAAAUGUGUUGUUUUGACUUCACCUUAUCCACUAGAGAUAACUCGGAGUUAUGAUGAACUAAAGCACCUCCAUCCAGAGAAUUUUCAUAACUCACCCUCAACCUAGCCCAACCUAUAUAUUCACUUAUUAGGUCUAUCUUGGCUUUGUCAAUGUGGGAUACACUACACAUAGUCAUACAACUUAGGGCAUCCGCAACUAUAUAGCCUUGCCGGGGUGAAAAAGGCCACUCAUAUCAUAAUCUUUCAACAACUCUAGCCACUUUAUUUGUUGGAGAUUCAACUCUUUUUAGGAAAAAACAUAUUUUAUUAUGGUUGGUAAAGACAUCAACAUGAACCCCAUACAAGUAAUGCCUCCAAAUUUUCAUAGAAAACACCACAGCCGCUAACUCAAGGUCAUAAGUAGGAUAGUUUCUAUCAUGUACCUUAGUUGCCUAGAGGAAUAGGCUAUCACUUUCCCGUUUGCAUAAGCACACACCCAAAACCCACUCGGGACACGUCACAAUACACAANNNNNNNNNNNNNNNNNNNNNNNNNNNNNNNNNNNNNNNNNNNNNNNNNNNNNNNNNNNNNNNNNNNNNNNNNNNNNNNNNNNNNNNNNNNNNNNNNNNNUCUAUAAAAAAGCCCUUUCUCCUUUUCUAAAUAAGGUAAGCUUUGAAGCCGUAGCUUGCUGGUUUUUCCAUCAUCCAAUCCACAACAAAUCGAAUGAAACCUGGCGAAAAAGAAGUGAACACUUUGCUGAGGAACGAAGUAGCUCGCCUAAAAGGAGAGGAACGAAGCUUCGUGUUUGUUUUUCUUCAAACCCCAAUCCGCUCUCGCUCGCCGCUACUAACGGGGUCUCGGUUGAUUUCCCUUCCUUUAGCUACUAAGAUGUUUCAGUUCGCUAAGUUUGAAAAGUCCAAAGAGCGCAGACUAGCCACGGAGCUUGGAUACGGUUUCCCGAUCGGAGAUCCAUGGAUCACAGACGGUAUCUCCCCAUGGCCUUUCGCCUCUGAAAGCGUCCUUCCUUCUCAAUGCCCGGGCAUCCAUCCAAUGCAUUCUUUUCGAUCUUGUACCCUAUGUAGGCUUGCAAAGCAUAGGCUAGACAAGCGGUACACUUCACACCAACCCAAUCUCGACGAAAAAAAGGAAAAGCAAGUACAUCCUUAACGGCCUCUAUUCCUGACGUGAACGGCCGCUUUCUUGGAACUCAUUCAUAGGCACUUUCCAUUAGUUAGACUUCACACACUAUAUAAACAAAUAGUUGAAGCGUGCGAUAGAAAGCGGAAAAACGAAUUGAUUGACUAUUGAGUGCAAGCCCGUAAAUAGACGACUAUGGGUAGUUCAGGUGCGCUUAAAGUCAACUACAACUAGAAGGCAUGCCGAUCUUGCCACCAACAAACCUUUGACUUUGGCUGUGAAAAGCUCCAAAUAGGCACACAGUAGUUUAGAGUAGAAGGAGUGAAAGCCACUUGACUGUAAGGAAAGGAGCUCUAAGUUGGAAUUCAAUAGUGACAGAAAUGGUCAUCUGUGCUCCACAGCUACUGGUGUCAUCACCCUGCAAAGAGGUGGAACCAACCAAGACUGAACACUAGCCCCAUUUUGUAGACGGGUUGGGACCGGCCUUCUAUCCCGGUGAACAAUGUUCCACUGAUUAGGCGGGGACAGGAUUCGAACCUGCAAUCUUCAGGUCAUGAGCCUGAUGAGUUGACCAAUUCCUCUACCCCGCUUCUUCCCUUCUCUUUCGAACUCCGAAAACCAAGGUUCGACUUGCAUGUGUUAAGCAUAUAGUCUGAGUAGCAUGAUGUUCACUUCUUAGCGCUUAGGCCACUACCUAAAAGUAAGCUUUUCGCUCUUUUCCUCUUACAUAACAACGAUGGAGGAGAUAGUAAGCACGACUUUCUACGCAACGAUUUCUUCUUCUCUUAUGAUUUCUCAAGUUACAGGGGGGAGACCAAGAGAGUAGAUUGGCUGGUUUUUCCAGUCAAGUAUAGUUGAUAAUCCCAUUUUCGAAUAUGAAUUUG
rnacentral:lncRNA from 1 species